rnacentral:lncRNA from 1 species
GUGUUUUUUUGUGUGUGGAAGUCAUUGGGAUUUCAAUCAUAAUCGUGUCAUGUGGCUUUGGUGGUAAGACUAUCCACAGUGGUGCAGAAAUAAUGCAGCCUUAGUAACCUUACCUCUCUCCACGUAGUACAUUGGGUCCCAGCAGUCAGAGGGUGAAACAAACAAAUUAAUAAGAAAAAUUAAAAGUGCCAGCGGUGUUUCUUACCUCACACAUCUCGCUACUACUCGGGAACACUGUCCAAUUGAUCCCUCUGUUCGCUCACAUACUAUUUUAAGUGAAUCCUUAUUAUAACAUGCACACAAAUUUUGGGCACUUGUAUUUGACUUAAGUCAGUGUGCCACCGUAUCUCGUAUACUUACUACUCCCUCCGUCUAGGUGUAAUAAGUCACGUUAGAAGGUGCAACGGGACCAAGGUGCGUGUGUGUGUGUGUGUGUGUGUUUAACAGCAUGUGUGUGUUAGAGAGAGCGACAGAUCGACCUACUCCUAUAGAGAGAUGUUGUGUAGUGUACGAUUUUAGCCGCAAGAGUCGGUGCAUCCUCUCGUUUCCGGGCGUGUCCAGUAGGGACAUGCGGACAGCUGCCACACCCGCUCCUGACCAGCCUGGCCCACCCAAAGCCCCUCCAUCGCCCGCGCGCGCUUCCUGCCUAAAACGGUCAACGCCGCUCCAAAGAACCGGUGCCGCAUUCAUGCCUGGGCAGAGCGAACGCGACCUCUCACUGGCGCAAGAGUGAUGGUUGCUUCAUCCGUCCAACUUACUGUUGGGUCUAUGUGAUUUGAUGGCUCAUUGGUCUUUAUUACUGAGGUGGUAGGACUGUUGGAUGUCCCCUGCUUUCAGCGAAAGGAGGUACUACUACUAGAUUACAAUUUACUCCAUUCUUAUAGCGGAGGUGUGCAAGAGCAGUGAAAACACGCAGGCUCAGUGAUUACAUGGCCCACCUCACACUAUCACCGUGCGACACCUAACUCUUUACAUAGUACUCCCUCCGUUCCUAAAUAUUACUAGAUGAGUCCCGCGCGUUGCCGUGGAAUAGCGGUUUAUCUCUCUGCGCAAAAUUAUCAAUUUCAUAGAACUAAAAAAACUCUAUAACCGCAUGACAAAUGUGGUAGCCAAACUAAAUAAACUCCCAUCAUCAUUUAGAUCAUCCCACGUAAGGAAAAAAGAUCAGCCAACUCCUACUGCAUAAUGGGAUUAUAUAUUUCUUUUUGACAUGUUAAUGGGACUUAAAAGCUCACUUACAUGCAUGCUACCGAUGCAUGCUUGCAUGUAGACAUGUUGAUGUGAUUUAAAACCCACUCACAUGCAUGUGCCACGGUAUUUCUGCAUGCUUGCAUGUGGUUUAGUGCGGAGCCUCUCAACGUCUAGAUCGGACGGCUAUUAUGGACUGAUUUACUUCAUCUAACAGCUACAUCAAUUUUGAUUAUGUGGCUCAAGGAGAGGAUAGAGAAUUCCUAGUAGUGGGGGCUAGCUAUUACUAGUAGAUAAGUCUUUGUAGAGAUUCCACUACAUACGGAACAAAAUGAAUGAAUCUACACUUACAAUGCAUCUAUAUACAUCCACAUGUGGUUCAUGGUGAAAUCUCUGCAAAGACUUAUAUUUAGGAACGGGGGAGACGGUGUACUAAGCAAGCUUUUCCUUGUUCUGCGAGUUGAUGGGACACAUCAAAAGUACUCCAGUGUAUAGAGCCUUGCCUCUAAGGUAGGCCCCACAUGGUUUGCCUCUUUUUUUAACAUAACAUGUCAAGUCGCAAUUUGUUUGUUCACCCGUGGUAGACGAUCCUCCCUCCACCAAGUGGACAACCAGUACACGUGCCAAAUUACCACAUGGGCUGCCUUUUUCGUAUAGAAAUGAGCUCCACCGUGUACCCGCGCGGGUGUGGUUGGGAAAGAGACGGGAGUACGUGCGUCGUGCAUGCACCUCUUCUCUUCAUGCACGUCCCCCACCUACGUGGGUGUGUGUGAGAGAUACAAACUGCGUUCGUGAGUGCUUUUUGUUUUGGGGUGGGGGUGGGGUGGGGGUUGAUUUCGUGAAUUAUUUGUGGGAAUAUGUGUCGAUGACAUCUCAAACAAAAUUUUGCAUGCAAUGUGUGUGAAAUGGAGGCCUAUCCAUCUCAUACAUAGAGGGUCGGGCAAUCCAUGAGAAGAGAGGGAGGGGUCAUAGCUAUCGAUAGAGUCGAAGAGAGGAUCAAGUGGGUGGGUGCGAGAUCGAUGAAUUGAGCCAUCGAAAUUGUGUGUGUGCAAGUCAAAGAUAUAGGGCGACUAGCCUACCGGAAUGUUAGAGGGUACAUGUUAAGUUUGUGUGUGGCAGGGAGACAUGACUAGAGCGCUCGAUGUAUCGGUGUGUGUGGGGGUGGGGGAGGGGUAGGCAGAGGCCUAACUAUAGAGGUAGAAUGACUCGUAUAUGUGUUGAGAAGGAGAGACCCAGCUAUGUCUUGAGGGAGAUCGGUCGACAUCCAUACAUAACUGAAGGACGGGAAAUAUGAUGGGACAGAGAGAGAGAGGAGAGAGGGAGGCAGGGAGAGGGAGGGAGAGGGGUAGAGUGCUGGAUGGGUGAUGGAGUUGCUUCUCAAAGAUGGUGGGCGAGGCCUACUAGAGAAACUGAGGGUGGAACUGCAAUGUUAUCAAUAAGAGUGGGGAUGUGUUUCUGUGUGUGCAUGUGCGUGAUAGAUCUGUCGGGAUGCAUCCAUGGAUGAUGAAGGGGAACCAUGUGUUUGGUAAGCAAACCUAACUAGAUCGGUAGAUCAAUUGUUGUUUGUCAGAGGAAGGGAGAGACACAACUAAUGAGGUAGAUCGAUUGACAUGUGGGUAAAAACGAGUUAUAAGGACCUAGCUAGCUAUAUGUAUAGCGAGAGAUCGGUCGGUGUACGUCCAUUUGUUAGAGGCAAAUAAGGCCCAGCGAGACGGAUAGACAGAGAGAAUGGAGCUAGGAGGUGGUGCGAGAGGCCCAACUACUAGCUAGAUAGGGGGAGGAGUGUGCGGUUGUGAGAUCGAUGAAAAGAGGGGCGAGAGUUUACACGUGUGUCUGACCGUAUGAGAGACACGAGGCAAGGACACAUAAAGGAGGAGAUGAAGGUGUGUGUGUGUGUGUAUGUUGUAUGCCUCUGGAGAGGUUUAUCGAUUGGUGUGUGUCGGAAAGGAGUUGUGGAGACUCUGGGAGAACGACCUAAAGAAAAAAAUGAAUGUGCCCGGUGGAUAGAAUGCCGAGGGAGGGGGAGGGCGAGGAGGGUGUGUGCAUGCACGAGAGAAAGUUAGUGGUAGCUACAAAGGUUAGAGGAUUGUGUGGGUGUAAGAGACUAACAAAGAUCAUAAUUUGAUAUGAAAGCGGAUUCAUAUAUUUGAAUAGGAGAUCAUAGUGUUUUAAACAUUGAAUGCAUGAAUAUAGCGGUGAUACAGGUGUUGUGCAAAUGUUAUACCAUAAUGUGAUAAUGCAUGGCGUUUGCAACUCACAACUAAAUGCCGAACAAUCUAAACCAUACUAUACAUCAAACAAUCUCACAUUUUAUUUGAAUUUGUGAUAAUGUGUGGCAUUUGCAGCUUACAAGUAAAUAUCAAACAAUCUAAACAAUACUAUAUAGCGAACAUUCCCACAUUUUAUUUGAACUUGUGGUAAUGUGUGGUGUUUGCAACUCACAUCUACAUACUUGUAGGCGUAGGGGGCGGGGCACCAUACAUAAUGUGAUAAACACAUUAUACAUAUGAGACAUGGUUUAGAUUAUGAAGAUCUAGCUAGAGCUAGAAAUGUAAUGUGAUUUGAAAUCAAAAUAAAGUGGAUUCAAAAAAUCUAGUUCGAGUUCAUAUAGUACACAUAGUUCAUAUGUAACUCGAGACUAAUCAUAUGGUGUGCUGUGAAGAUAAUACAGAAACGAUGGUUUAACUUGACAAUAAUGAUGAUUGUAGUUCUUAUUAAAAUAGAGAAAUGAAUUCAAAUGCUUUGACUUCACAACAAUCAUUACUGUAUAUCUUAUUCAAAUAGAGAAACGAAUUCAAAUUUAGUUCAUAUUGAAGCGGUAGUAUAUACGUUUGGAAUGCACUAAAACGUUCAUUUGAGUAGUAGGUUGCAUGCAUUAUACACGUAGCGAAAUAUUUUAAUUGAACAUAACAUGAAUUCAAAGUUUUGAAUGACAUUUGUAGUGCGCAAUGAUUUGGUACAGUACAUGUUAGGCUUGUUCGGAAAUUUCAACCCGCACCUUGUUAGCCCGAAAUAUUUAAGAUAUAUCUUUGUCUCGUUAUGCUCCGACAACUCCCUCCAUCUCAACCCGCGCCUUGCUAUUCCGAAAUUACAACGCAUGCAAAAACUCCCACCUCCUGUGAAAUCCCGACACGCGAAAUGCCUGUGGUACCCCUGAACCGAAAGAACCGCCUCAAAUCUGUGGGGUACUUUCGUAACUUACCCCACAUUUCGGACAAGUGCGUCUCUAAGCCAUGGUUCCCCACUGCCAUCCCAUCUGCCCACCCAUUCGUACACCGAGGCCGCGAAAACCUGCGACUAAACCCCACACCCUGCUCCAUCCGCCACCCAGCCGGAGCCUCUUCCCCGACGACGUCAUCCACAGCAACACCUCGAUGUCCCUCAUCCACCGUACCAGAUGAGGAUCCGUCGUCGAUCUCAUCGUCCCGCCGGUUCAGCCACCCCGUCCUCCACCUCCAAGGAGCUGCCCCGAUGUUCCCCUCGUCUUUUGCGCCACCUCCAUUCCCACACCGCCGUCUUCACCUGCACCACCGGAAGAGCAUCAUCAUCACCAUUUCCUCGGAUGAAGCUAUGGCCUAAUCGGCGCCACCAAAGAGGUUGUACACUAAUCACCGCAUUUUCUUCUAGAUUCGAUCUCACGGUGCUGCCGGCGCUCGGUCCCGAGCCAACACGGCGCGGCUCCAUCCACGGCGGCGUCGCCGGACACUUCCUCCAUGGCGUCGCUCCCUCGGCGGCGACGUCCACAUCAGUAGGAGUUGCUACUGCUUUAGCUCUCGCUAUUGCUCCGGUGGUCCCCUGCCUGGUCUGCUCUUGCUAUUGCUUGCGCUGCUGCUCUCGCUCUUGCUCUUGCUUGCGAUGCUGCUCUGAUUUAGCUACACUUCAGUCACUGAAUCGACUUUUGGGUCAGUCGAUUUUCAGGGGGUGGGGGGCUCGCUGGGGUGAAGGAAGAACCAGCCGCAGCAGGGAGGGGGCUCGCCGGAGAGGUACCCCACUAUCUAUCUUAGGGUUCAGGAUGGGGGCGGUGGUCGCCGGCGGUGGCGGGGCGGUGGCAUGGGGAUCACCGGCGAAAAAGCUCGGCAUAGGAGGGGCCUAGAGGGAUGGCCGGGGCGGCGGCGGACCGGUGGUGGGGAGUGUUUUCGGGGUGGGCGGGGCAGCGCACCGCUGGCCGGACGAGGCGGAGGGCUGCUGUUUGGCCGAUGGUGGCUGGCGGCUCAGGGGGGUGGAGGUUGAAGAUGAACCGCAGGCCCUUGAUUUCGUAUCCAACGGCUGCAAAAUCGACUGACCAGAGGUGAAAAAGUCAGUCAACCGACGUGUAGCCUCACCUUGCUAGUGCGUUCAGUUUCGACAGCAAAAUUCAGUUUCGACAGUUAAGUUUAGUUUCGACAGUUAAGUUCAGUUUCGAUAGUUAAGUUCAGUUUCACAGUUAAGUUCAGAGAUGAGCGGCUGAUGUAUUUUACAUCUAGCACUUUGUGGUUAUGUAUUUUACAUCAUGUAUUGGAGAUGCUAUUAGAAUUCCACUCAGGUUAAUGUUGUUCGUUGUCUCUCUUGUCCUGCUUCAGCCUCGGCAUCAUACAACUCACCGGAGCUGCUCCAACGACGAAACCCUCCAUCACAGCGGAGCAGUACCUCGGGCUCCAUCUCCAGACGCCUAAGAUCUUCUUCCCCUCCUCCGACAGCAAAGUUAGCCGGAGCAUCCUCACCGGCCAACCCAAUCACGCUGAGAUCGACAUGGCUUCGCCAAAGAGGUUGUACACUCGUUGCAUCUCUUUUUUACUCUACAUGUUAUAUAUAUUAUCCACUAAGCACACGGAUUUGUUCCUUUAGUGUCUCCUUGAAAUAAAAAACAUAGGAAUUUUAAUUUUUACUUGUCCUCCUUUUCAAAUUCCUAUUCAUGAAGCACAAGACUAAGAGAUAAUAGCAUAAUAGCAUUAUAACCGUACAUUUUAUUAUGGUUUGACUUAAUCUCACCAUGCUUCUUUGCAUCCUGUGAUCUUCCAAUUGUUGUGAAUCAAACACCUAGAUUUGCAGAAAUCCUAUGUUUUUAAAUUCUCUGUUUUGCACGUGCAUUCCUAUCCUAUUCCUGUCUAUUUCCUAUCCCUGCAUUAUUGGAAUCCUCCAAUUCAAACGAGCCCUUACAGAACUACUUCUCUUACAGAUAGUUGUCAAAGAAAACCUUGCGUGGUUUGUCCCGCUCCUGCUGCGCCGUUGUCCACCCCAGCUCAGCUGCUCCAAUGACAGAAGGGUCCAGCACAGCAGGGACCCGACCUCCAGACUGUCUUUCGCCGCCUCAAAUCUUCUUCCCCGCUGCUGGCAGCCAUGAAAACUGCAUUACCAUCAUCAACCGAGCAGAUGACCUCGAGGACUACACGGGUCCGCAAGAGAGGUCGCACUCUUUCGUGUCUGCUUACGUUAUGCAUCGCUUAAUAUUACAUGCUACUUUAUCGUCUUGUUCACCGAUUAGACUCUGAGUCAGCUCCAAACUAAUGGUCAAACUUGAGUUUUUAAAUGGUUGUGGGGUACAUAUCGGGGCCGCUAUCAAUAGUAUUUAUCUACUAUCUGGUUAAUCUCCGGUGUCUACUAUGAGUUUCAUGUUGGGUGAGAAACAAAUAGUAAAGAAGCCAUUAUCUGUAUUUUUAACUGAAGCCAUUAUCUGCCUGCUAUUAUUGGUUUCGGGUCUAUCCACAGGUUGCUACCAUCACUCUGGAUUUCUGCAUGCACUCCUUACAUAAUCUCACUAUGUUUUAUUCCUAUGCAUGACAGUUAUUGUAAACAAUGGAACUGAACAUGUAGAGCAAAAGAUAUGAGCCUUGCGUGGCAAUAAAAUUUCAUGCAAAUGUCGCUCCAUGGUAGGCGCAAAGGCAGCCCCCCUCCAUGCAUUUCGGAUUGUAAUCGAGAGGAAGAUAUCUGUUCUGAGGGGGAUUCAGAAGGAGAAGACAACUCCUAUUUACCCCCUGAGGUGUUCGCUCUAACUUGGCAUGCAGAUGUUGGUUAUAUCAUGCAUAUGGUGUCUUGCAUUGCUUACUUUAUACAUCAAAUAUGUCAUCUGCUUAGUUUAGACAUCCUUUGUGCGAAUGCCAUAUGCUUAGUUUAUUCAUCGUUUAUGUGAAUUAUGCAACGCCAUCUUGUUUAGCCAGGCAUCAUAUAUGUGAAUUUUGCAAUGCCAUCCUGCUUAGCCAGUCAUCUUAUAUGUAAAUUAUAUCAGGCAUCCUUUUUUUCGUUACAUAUUACAUUUGUCAACAAUGUUAGUACAUUCAACUGCUCUUCGUGUGCAUCAGCCAUUUGACACGGUGAUGGCAAAUUCUGGAGUGAAAACAAGGUCUUCAGAGCAGACUAUGCUAUCUGACGAAGCGCAUAUCUCGCUAGUUACGGAUAGCUCCUCUGAGGAGGAUUCAGAGACAGAUGACCAGUCAUAUCCCCCCCGAGGUGUAUGCUCUAACUUGGCAGGGUUAUGUUGCUCAUAUCAUGCGUAUGGUGUCUCGCAUUGCUAUGUCAUUUGAUUAGUUUAGACAUGCUUUGUGUGAAUGCCACAUGUUCAUUGUCUAAUUACCAUAUAUGUGAAUUAUGCAUUGCCAUCUUGUUGCAAGACAUUAUAUAUGUGAAUUAUACAAUGCUAUCUUGUUGCAAAGGCAUUAUAUAUGUGAAUUAUGCAAUGCCAUGUUGUUUAGCCAAUCAUCAUGUAUGUGAAUUAUAUCAUGCUAUCAUUUUUUUGUAUUAACGUGUUCCAUUUGUCGACAACGUUUGUAUAUUCAACUACUCUUCCUGUGCAUCAGCCAUUUGAAGCGGUGAUGGAAGUAUCUGGAGUGAAAACAAGGUAUUCAGAGCAGACAAUGCUACCUGCUGAAGCAGACAUCCUGCUGGUUAUAGAGAGCUCCUCAGAGGAGGAUUCAAAGACUGAUGGCCAGUCCUAUUUCCCCCCUGAGGUCUAUGCUCAAACUUGGCAGAGUUAUAUUACCCAUGUCAUGCAUGUUGUCUUGCAUUGCUUAGUUUUUACAUCAUAUAUGCAUUGCCAUCUGCUUACUUGCUUACCAUAUAAAUCAUAUACUUGAAUUAUAUCAUGCCAUCAUGUUUACAUAGUACAUACACAUCAUCUAUCUGAAUUAUGGCAUGGCAACCCAUUUAAUAAAGACAUCAUAUAGUUAUAUCAUCUCAUCCUGUUUAGUGUUUACAGUCAUCAUAUUUUGAAUUAUGGCAUUCUAUCCGUGAAUGUAUGUGAAUUAUGGCAUGCCAACCUAUUUAAUAAACACAUUAUAUAGUUAUGUCAUGUCAUCCUAUUUACAUAGUCUCAUAUUUUGAACUAUGUCUUUCCAUAUUUUUUAGUUAGCCGUCAUAAUGUGAAAUUGUGUCAUGCUAUCCUGUUUAGUUAGCCAUCAUAUAUGUGAAAUUGUGUCAUGCUAUCCUGUUUGGUUAGACAACAUAAAUAUGAAUUAUUUCAUGCCCUCUUUUAUUCCCCACUAUCCAUUGCACUUGUCUAUCAUACAAUGUCUAUACUUUCAAUUACUUUUCUUUUUUAUCAGCCAUUUGAAUUGGAGAGCGCGAUGGCAGUAUCUAAGGGAGUAACAACACGGUCUUCAGAAAAGAUGGUGCUACCAGUUGAUGCACAUAGAACCACGGUUGUACUUGCCCAAGGACCAGAUCCACCACACAUAACCCAGACUCUCGCAGAUUGUACCCCUACCCAGUUGGACAGAGAACCAGCUACACCCCUUCUAACCCCAACCCUGGCAGAUAGUAACCCAGUUCCAGUUGACACAGCACCGUCUCCACCAUAGAGCACCCAAACACGAGCAGUUAGUAAGGGAACUGCAGUGCCCAAAGCACGAGGACCACCACUCCGAAUCCCAACUCAACGCUUAAAGGAGAAAAGAUUUGUUCUCAGGUCAAGUUCUGUAGCUAUGGUUCAUACUCCUUUGCUCUUGCAUUACUGUAUUUACUCAUACCAACUAUUUUCAAAUUUGAAGGAUGGAAUUGAAACUCCAAUGGCGCAACAGGUAUGUUUUAAACCUGUUUCUUUAACUAGUUUGUUGUUGUAACCUGCUCUAUGUUGAUUUCAGUUUCAAUUGAAUAAAUAGUUAUGUUCUCAUGUCAUGCACAUUACAAGUGUUGUUAUUGCUCUAUAGUUACCCACACUUAUAUUCUGUCUAUUCUGCUUUGUCUUGAACAAAUAUUAUUUUAACUGUGUCUCUAUCUUGAUUUGGCAACAAAAACUAUAAUAAUAUAGACCAUAAAGUGACCAUGGUACAUAGAUAUAUGUUUGUUUCAUGUUGUUAUCCUGUCCACUUUACUACUGAACUCAUUUACCAAAAUGAGUUUCAUAUACAACAUGGUAAACAUGUGAUGCGUCUGCUUGUUUCUCUUUUAGAAUGCGGACAAAAUAUUGGAGAACAGUACCGCAUUAUCCAAUGGUAAAGGAAGUAAUGCAGAUAAGGUUCAAGAUAGUGAGACAUCCCUGUUGGUCUCCAAGUAAGCUGAUAAAAACUAUCUUGACGACAGUGAGGGAACCCAAAAGUCCUAUCUUGAUGUAGUGUUCGAGUUACUGGCCACUACUGCUGCCACAAGCUCUUUGAACUCGCUGCCUGAAUCAGUUCAUCUUCUUGAGUCUCAACUUCAAGUUGAAAGACAUCGAUCAGAUGUACUGCAACAGGAAGCUGAAGGACUGAGAAAGUCCCUGCAGAAUUCAGAUGCAUAUUUUCUGGUGCAAUAGCAAGCGCUGGAGGAUUUAAGCGUGAAACAAGAGAAAGUUAAUAAGCUUGCUAAGCAUCUUGCCAGCAUUAUGGGUACCCAGGAUAUUGUUUCUUGAGAUCUUCUAAAGUGGUUUCAGUUCUGGAUUUGUUUUGCUGUGGUGUUUAUUUGCGCUGGUCACCAACUUUGACAACUAGUGUAUAUGAUAUGCUGCUUUGUUCCCUAUAUUUGCACUAGUGGCGAACUUUGAUGCCCAGUGGAUGUAAUAUGUGUAAUAGCCGUGAUAGCCUAGCAUUAGUUGCUUGCUUAUUUAUUUCCUUGUUGUCUUGUUUAUUUGUUUACUUGUAGUCAUUGCAGUUCUUUUUCCGCGGUUAGCUAGUGGCUGCAAUAACCUAUUUUUUAAAACUAGGCCACAAUAACCAUGGGCUAAUAUUUACCAUAGUGACACUGGGCCUCCUACUGGCCGUAGAAACAGUGGGCCUUCUACGGGCCGUAGAAACAAUGGGCCUUCUACGGGCCGUAGAAACAAUGGGCCUUCUGCGGGCCGUAUCAUCAAUGGGCCUUAUACGGGCCGUAUGAUCGAUUGGCCAAACAUGGGCCAAACAGACCGCAUUAUGGCCGUAAACGGGCUAGAGUUGGAAUUGUCCGUUCAUGGGCCAACCAUAAUGGGUCAUUGUUAAUAGCCUGUAUUUGAUGAUGCUAUGAAAAUGGCCCAAUGUAUUAACGGACCACAAACUGUCCGACUGUAACCACGGGCUGAAUUUGGCCCACAAGCAGAAAAUGACAGUAACAGGCCGUAAGUAAACGAAUGCUGGAAAUGGGCCCAAGAAUAAAUGGGCUCUGAGAAGGCCAAAAGAUAACAUGGGCUGGAAACGACCCAAUGGAAUAAUGGGCCGUUAAUGGGUAUAAAGUGAUACACUGUUCAUUACAGGCCAGUUUCACCAUGGGUCGUUAAUGGGUGUAAAGUGAUACACUGUUCAUUACGGGCCAGUUUCACCAUGGGUCGUUAAUAGGCCAAGAGUUACAUAGGGCCUCAUAUGGGCCGAAAGACGUCAUGGGCCAUACAUGGGCCAGAAGUGAAAAUGGGCUGGAAUCAUAUUGGGUGGCCCAGAUGACGCUACUAGGCCUAAUUCGGAUAGGGCGUAAUGGGCCUUGGGUUAGCGGGCUGUAAAUGGGCUAUAUGCGAACAGGCCGUUAACAGGCUUUACAUGGGCCAGCCCACCACCUUUUGACCAAGUCAAACGGGCCGGCCUUUUCAUAGGAAUGGUCCUCUGUUGGGUCGUGCCACGUGUCGACGUAUCAUAGGCGUCUUAUGUCCAAUGAGUGGAUGACAUAUAUCCCAACAAUGAGCCGACACGUGUUUCCUCCAGCCAAUGAUGAUUUUACACGUGUAAAAUCCCCAUUGGUCGGGGCUGUUAAUGGGUUAUCGGAUCCAAACCCCGACCCGAUAGCUUAACAGCGUUCCGUUACGGUGGAUGCCACGUGUCGGUCACCCUUGACAAAAGCACUUCUGUGAUGCGGGAUUUAUCGUCUUGGAAGUGGACACUUCUGUGAUGAUAAUUUUGGUAAUGUCAUGGAACACUUCUACGACACCACAUGUAUGACUAUCUUGAUUCUGUCAUAAAAUCGUCAUGGAUGUACAUGCAUGACAGAAAAUGCGACCUACUGUGACAAACACGUAUCAUCACGGCAGUGUAUUUUUUUGUAGUGAUGGUGUUGAUGUAGAAGCCCUCCGUGAUCGAUGCCCCCUCCAGCGGAGCUCCGGAAAAGGCCCCAAGAUGGGAUCUCACGGAUACAGGAAGUUACGGCGGUGGAAUUAGGUUUUUGGCUCCAUAUCUGGUAGUUUGGGGGUACGUAGGUAUAUAUAGGAGGAAGAAGUACGUCGGUGGAGCAUCAUGGGCCCCAUGAGGGUGGUGGGCGCGCCUGGAGGGUAGGCGCGCCCCCUACCUCGUGCCUUCCUGGUUGCUUUCUUGAUGUAGGAUCCAAGUCCUCUGGAUCACGUUCGUUCCGAAAAUCACGUUCCCAAAGGUUUCAUUCCGUUUGGACUGCGUUUGAUAUUCUUUUUCUACGAAACUCUGAAAUAGGCAAAAAACAACAAUUCUGGGCUGGGCCUCCGGUUAAUGGGUUAGUCGCAAAAAUAAUAUAAAAGUGUAUAAUAAAGCCCAAUAAUGUCCAAAAUAGGAUAUAAUAUAGCAUGCAACAAUCAAAAAUCGUAGAUAUGUUGGAGACGUAUCAUGGUGUUAUGUGAACAUCGACUAUAUAACACUUCACCUUGAUUUGGGCCUAGGGGAAGGCAUUAAGAAGUAAUAAGUAGAUGAUGGGUUGCUAGAGUGACAGAAGCUUAAACCCUAGUUUACGCGUUGCUUCAUAAGGGGCUGAUUUGGAUCCACAUGUUUUAUGCUGUGGUUAGAUUUAUCUUAAUUCUUCUUUCGUAGUUGCGGAUGCUUGCGAGAGGUGUUUAUCAUAAUUGGGAGGCUUGUCCAAGUAAGGAUGACACCCAAGCACCGGUCCACCCACAUAUCAAAUUAUCAAAGUAAUGAAUGUGAAUCAUAUGAGCAUGGUGAAAACUAACUUGACGGUAAUUCCCAUGUGUCCUCGGAGCACUUUGCUUUAUAUAAGAGUUCGUCCAGGCUUAUCCUUUGCUACAAAAAGGAUUAAGCCACCUAGGUGCACCGUUGUUACACUUGAUACUUGUUACCUGUUAUGAAUUAUCUUAUCACAAAACUAUUUGUUACCGAUAAUUUCAGUGCCUGCAGAAAAUACCUUGUUGAAAACCGCUUGUCAUUUCCUUCUGCUCCUCGUUGGGUUCGACAUGCUUACUUUAUCAAAAGGACUAUGAUUGAUCCCCCUAUACUUAUGGGUCAUCAGCGCUCUAGCAAAGUUGACUCUUCUUCAGUCCUAUUUUCAUCAAGUUUAACAUUACUAAACAAGGAAUCAAUAGAGAAGCACUAAUCAUUUUAAGAUCUUGAUCAUUACUACGAAAGCAACUGGUAGAAAACACUCUUUCUAAAAAAUUCUCUUUUAGCUCUAAGCAUAGCGGUACACUUCUUACUGUCAUCCAUAAAAACAUAUAAAGCUUUAGUUGAUUCAUUAACAUCAACCUUGGGUGGGAAAAAAAUUAAUCUUGAGAUUUUCUACAUCAUGCAAAAUUCUAUCAAUGCUUCUAGACAUAUCAUCAAGUUUACUCAAUUUUCCUCUAUCAUAGUAUUAAAAACUUUUUGAGCAUUCAUAAACUCUUUAAUAUUAUUCUCAAGAUCAGAUGGAUUAUUGUAAGAUGAAUUACCAUAGGAAUUUCCAUAAUUAUUAGAGGAAUUUCCAGGAAAAGGCCUAGGAUUAAAAUUACCUCUAUAAGCAUUGUCAUUACAAUUGUUCCGCGAGACAAAAUUCACAUCUACGGGAUCACUGUUUUUCUCAAUCAAAGUAGAAAAAUUCACAUCAUUAAGAUCAAUAGGAGCAUUUUUGCUAGCAACCAAUUUCAUAAGAGCAUCCACUUUUUCACUCAAAGUACUAAUUUUUCAACUGAACUAACCUUUUUACUAGUAGGUGCUCUUUCGGUAUGCCAUUGUGAAUAAUUUUCCAUGAUAUUAUCUAGAAAUUUAGAAGGUUCACCCAAAGUAAUUUCCAUAAAAGUGCCUCCCGCGGCAAAACCCAAAAGAUUUCUAGAAAACAAAAUUUAAUCCCGCAUAAAAUUUUGUAUAAUCAUCCAUAGAUUUAAACCAUGAGUGGACAAUUUCUUAGCAUCAAUUUCAUUCUUUCCCAAGAUUAUGUGACAUGUUCAUGCUCAAUUUUCUUGAAAUUCAUUAUUUGAUUUCUAAGGAAAAUAAUUUUUGCGGGCGGAAAAUACUUAGUAAUAAAAGCAUCUUCGCACUUAUCCCAAGAAUCGAUGCUAUUAUGAGGCAAAGAAGAAAAGCAAUUGUUUGCAUGACCCCUCAAAGAGAAAGGAAAUAAUUUCAAAUUCAUAAUAUCAUUGUCCACAUCUUUUUCUUUUGAAUAUCACACAAUUCUACGAAAAUGUUUGGAUGGGACGCGGCAUCCUCAUCAGGAGUACCGGAAAAUUGCUCUUUCAUAACAAGAUUCAACAAAGCGGCAUUAAUAUCAUAAGACUCCGCACUAGUGGCGGGAGGAGCAAUCAGAGUACUAAUAAAAUCAUUAUUAUUAGUAUUGAACAAUCACACAAUUUAGUAUUUUCUUGAAACAUCGUGACUAUGCAAGCAAGACCACACGCAAACAGAAGAUCGAAUGAGAAAAGGGCAAACAAAAAGAAGGCAAAUAAAAAGAAAAAUAUUUUUGUGAUUUUCGCAAAACCGUUUUAUAAGUGGCGGAGAUGAAAACGAGAGGCAAAUGGAAAAUAAUAUAAAUUUCAAGGAGAUGAGAUUUGUGAUUAGGAACCUGAGAGAUGUUGAUGAUGUAUCCCUAGCAACAGCGCCAGAAAUUCUUCCUGAUUGCUUGUAUUUGUGUUGGUAUUUCCCCGAAGAGGAGAGGAUGAUGCAGCACAGCAACGGUAAGUACUUCCCUCGGUUAUGAAACCAAGGUUAUCAAUCUAGUAGGAGAACCACGCAACACUCACUAAUGGAAACAGAGAAUUUGCCAUCAGUUAGAUCUUUGUCGUCUGCUAGCGGAUGGCAAAGACCUUCUUUGUUGUCUGCUUCCAAAAAAGGAAGGCAAAGAACGGGCUGAUGGCAAAGACCCUAUUUGCUAUCAGCCAAAGCUUUGACGUCCGCUAGAUGACAGCAAAGAUUCUUUGUCGUCCACUAGCUGACGGCAAAUAGGUGGGUAGGGCCCAGUGGAGGUCCAAACCCUGGCGGCCCACCAGCCCCACCUCUUUGUCGUCAGCUAGCGGACGACAAAGAUUCAACUAUGUAACGACUGUUCCCCCACCUCCUCUCUCUCUCUCUUCUCUCUCUCUGUUACCCCCACCACGUGCCGCCCCCGAACCCCACCGCGCACCCGACCGCACUCCGCCGCCCCCANNNNNNNNNNNNNNNNNNNNNNNNNNNNNNNNNNNNNNNNNNNNNNNNNNNNNNNNNNNNNNNNNNNNNNNNNNNNNNNNNNNNNNNNNNNNNNNNNNNNNNNNNNNNNNNNNNNNNNNNNNNNNNNNNNNNNNNNNNNNNNNNNNNNNNNNNNNNNNNNNNNNNNNNNNNNNNNNNNNNNNNNNNNNNNNNNNNNNNNNNNNNNNNNNNNNNNNNNNNNNNNNNNNNNNNNNNNNNNNNNNNNNNNNNNNNNNNNNNNNNNNNNNNNNNNNNNNNNNGUUGUUGGGCCUCCAAGUGCAGAGGUUUGUAGGACAGUAGCAAAUUUCCCUCAAGUGGAUGACCUAAGGUUUAUCAAUCCGUGGGAGGCGUAGGAUGAAGAUGGUCUCUCUCAAACAACCCUACAACCAAAUAGCAAAGAGUCUCUUGUGUCCCCAACACACCCAAUACAAUGGUAAAUUGUAUAGGUGCACUAGUUCGGCGAAGAGAUGGUGAUACAAGCGCAAGUUGAUCACCAAAACAUACAUCAAGUGGAUCACGUGAAUAUCCCAUUGUCACCACAGAUAAGCACAUGCAAGACAUACAUCAAGUGUUCUCAAAUCCUUGAGGACUCAAUCCAAUAAGAUAACUUCAAAGGGAAAACUCAAUCCAUUACAAGAGAGUAGAGGGGGAGAAACAUCAUAAGAUCCAACUAUAAUAGAAAAGCUCGCGAUACAUCAAGAUCGUGCCGAAUCAAGAACACGAGAGAGAGAGAGAGAGGGAGAGAGAGAGAGAGAGAGAGGUCAAACACAUAGCUACUGGUACAUACCCUCAACCCCGAGCGUGAACUACUCCCUCCUCGACAUGGAGAGCGCCGGGAUGAUGAAGAUGGCCACCGGAGGGGGAUUCCCCCCCUCCGGCAGGGUGCCAGAACGGGUCUAGAUUGGUUUUCGGUGGCUACGGAGGCUUGCGGCAGCGGAACUCCUGAUCUAGGUUAUUUUCUAGAGGUUUCUAUAUUUAUAGGAAUUUUUGGCGUCGGGAACAAGUCAGGGGGUCCCCGAGUCGUCCACGAGAUAGGGCGUGCCCCCACCCUCAUGAAUGGCCCGGGACUCUUCUGGCCCAACUCUUUUACUCUAGGGGCUUCUUUUGGUCCAUAAAAAUUUAUCAAAAAUUGGCACGUCAAUUGGACUCCGUUUGGUAUUCCUUUUCUGUAAAACUCAAAAACAAGGGAAAACGGAAACUGGCACUAGGCUCUAGGUUAAUAGGUUAGUCCCAAAAAUCAAAUAAAAUAGCAUAUAAAUGCAUAUAAAACAUCCUAGAUGGAUAAUAUAAUAGCAUGGAACAAUCAAAAGUUAUAGAUACGUUGGAGACGUAUCAAGCAUCCCCAAGCUUAAUUCCUCCUCGUCCUCGAGUAGGUAAACGAUAAAAACAGAAUUUUUGAUGUGGAAUACUAACUAACAUAAUUUUCCAUGUAAUUUUCUUUAUUGUGGCAUGUAUAUUCAGAUCCGAAAGAUUCAAUACAAAAGUUUAAUAUUGACAUGAAAAUAACAAUACUUCAAGCAUACUAACCAAGCAAGUAUGUCUUCUCAAAAUAACAUGGCCAAAGAAGGCUAUCCCUACAAAAUCAUAUAGUCUGGCUAUGCUCUAUCUUCAUCACACAAAAUAAUUGAAUCAUGCACAACCCCGAUGACAAGCCAAGCAAUUGUUUCAUACUUUUGAUGUUCUCAAACUUUUUCAAUCUUCACGCAAUACAUGAGCGUGAGCCAUGGACAUAGCACUAUAGGUGAAAUAGAAUGGUGGUUGUGGAGAAGAGAAAAAGGAGAAGAUAGUCUCACAUCAACUAGGCGUAUCAACGGGCUAUGGAGAUGCCCAUCAAUAGAUAUCAAUGUGAGUGAGUAGGGAUUUCCAUGCAACUGAUGCACCAGAGCUAUAAGUGUAUGAAAGCUCAAAAAGAAACUAAGUGAGUGUGCAUCCAACUCGCUUGCUCACGAAGACCUAGGGAAUUUUGAGGAAGCCAAUCAUUGGAAUAUACAAGCCAAGUUCUCUAAUGAAAGAUUCCCACUAGUAUAUGAAAGUGACAACAUAGGAGACUCUCUAUCAUGAAGAUCAUGGUGCUACUUUGAAGCACAAGUGUGGUAAAAGGAUAGUAGCAUUUCCCUUCUCUCUUUUUCUCUUAUUUUUUGUUUUGUUUUUUUGUUUUUUUGGGCCUUCUCUUUUUUUAUGGUCACUUUUUCUCCUUUUUUUAUUUUUCGUUUGGAGUCUCAUCCCGACUUGUGGGGGAAUCAUAGUCUCCAUCAUCCUUUCCUCACAAGGGACAAUGCUCUAAUAAUGAUGGUCAUCACACUCUUAUUUACUUCCAACUCAAGAAUUACAACUCGAUACUUAGAACAAAAUAUGACUCUAUGUGAAUGCCUCCGGCGGUGUACCAGGAUGUGCAAUGAAUCAAGAGUGACAUGUAUGAAAAAAUAUGAACGGUGGCUUUGCCACAAAUACGAUGUCAACUACAUGAUCAUGCGAAGCAAUAUGACAAUGAUGGAGCGUGUCAUAAUAAACGGAACGGUGGAAAGUUGCAUGGCAUUAUAUCUCGGGAUGGCUAUGGAAAUGCCAUAAUAGGUAGGUAUGGUGGCUGUUUUGAGGAAGGUAAAUGGUGGGUUUAUGGUACCGGCGAAAGUUGCGCGGUACUCGAGAGGCUAGCAAUGGUGGAAGGGUGAGAGUGCGUAUAAUCCAUGGACACAACAUUAGUCAUAAAGAACUCACAUACUUAUUACAAAAAUCUAUUAGUUAUCAAAACAAAGUACUACGCGCAUGCUCCUAGGGGGAUUGAUUGGUAGGAAAAGACCAUCGCUCGUCCCCGACCGCCACUCAUAAGGAAGACAAUCAAAAAAUAAAUAAUGCUCCAACUUCAUGACAUAACAGUUCACCAUACGUGCAUGCUACGGGAAUCACAAACCUUAACACAAGUAUUUCUCAAAUUCACAACUACUCAACUAGCAUGACUCUAAUAUCACCAUCUUAAUAUCUCAAAUCAAUCAUAAGGAAUCAAACUUCUCAUAGUAUUCAAUGCACAUUAUAUGAAAGUGUUUAUUAUACCCAUCUUGGAUGCCUAUCAUAUUAGGACUAAUUUCAUAACCAAAGCAAAUUACCAUGCUGUUCUAAAAGACUCUCAAAAUAAUAUAAGUGAAGAAUGAGAGAUCAAUAAUUUCUAUAAAAUAAAACCACCGCCGUGCUCUAAAAGGAUAUAAGUGAAGCACUAGAGCAAAUUACAAACUACUCUGAAAGAUAUAAGUGAAGAUCAAUGAGUAGUCGAAUAAUUAUGCAACUAUGUGAAGACUCUCAAAUAUUUAAGAAUUUCAGAUCUUGGUAUAUUAUUCAAACAGCAAGCAAAACAAAAUAAAAUAAAAUGACGCUCCAAGCAAAACACAUAUCAUGUGGUGAAUAAAAAUAUAGCUCCAAGUAAAGUUACCGAUGAACGAAGAUGAAAGAGGGGAUGCCAUCCGGGGCAUCCCCAAGAUUAGGCUCUUGGUUGUCCUUGAAUAUUACCUUGGGGUACCUUGGUCAUCCCCAAUCUUAGGCUCUUGCCACUUCUUAUUCCGUAGUCCAUCGAAUCUUUACCCAAAACAAGAAAACUUCACGACACAAAACUUAACAGAAAACUCGUAAGCUCCGUUGGUAUAAGAAAAUAAACCACCACUUAGGUACUGUUGUGAACUCAUUAUAAAUUCAUAUUGGUGUAAUAUAUACUAUAUUCCAACUUCUCUAUGGUUCAUACACUCCGAUACUACUCAUAGAUUCAUCAAAAUAAGCAAACAACACAUAGAAAACAGAAUCUGUUAAAAACAGAAUAGUCUAUAGAAAUCUGGAGGUUUCGAAUACUUCUGUAACUCCAAAAAUUAUGAUAAAUUAAGAAGACCUAAAUAAUUUGUAUAUUGAUCUACUACAGUUGGAAUUGGUAUUUUAUCACUCUCUGGUAAAAAACUAAAAUUAUUCUCGUGAGCGCAUACUUUCUGUUUUUAUCAGCAAAAUCAAAAAACAAUCACCCAAGAAGAUUGUAAAGGCUUUACUUGGCACAAACACUAAUUAAAGCAUAAAAAACACAAUCAUAACAGAGGAUAGAUGAUUUAUUUAUUACUAAAAAUAGGAACAAAAUCAAGGAACAAAAAUGAAGUUGGGUUGACUCCCAACAAGUGCUAUCGUUUAACGCCCCUAGCUAGGCAUGAUGAUUUCAAUGAUGCUCACAUAAAAGAUAAGAAUUGAAACAUAAAGAGAGCAUCAUGAAGAAUAUGACUAGCACAUUUAAGUCUAACCCAAUUCCUAUGCAUAGAUAUUUUGUGAGCAAACAACUUGUGGGAACAAGAAUUAACUUGCAUAGGAAGGUAAAACAAGGAUAAGUUCAAGAUUUUAAGCACGUAGAGAGGAAACUUGAUAUUAUUGCAAUUUAUACAAGCAUAUAUUCCUCCCUCAUAAUAAUUUUCAGUAGCAUCAUGAAUGAAUUCAACAAUAUAACCAUCACAUAAAGCAUUCUUUUCAUGAUCUACAAGCAUAGAAAUUUUACUACUCUCCACAUAAGCAAAAUUCUUCUCAUUCGGAAUAGUGGGAGUAUCAUAAGAAACUCGAAUACUAUAAAUUGUUUCCACAUUAAAAGAGUAAUGUUCAAAAAAGGGUAAUCAUAAUCAUGAAAAGUUGUAUAAAUAUAAUCAUCACUACUUUUUAUAGCAUAAGUGUCAUCACAAUAAUCAUCAUAAGUAGCAACUUUGUUCUCAUCAUAAUCAAUUGAAACCUCUUCCAAGAUAGUGGAAUCAUUACUAAAUAAAGUCAUGACCUCUUCAAAUCCACUUUUAUAAUUUUCAAAAUAAGAUUCAACACCCUCCAAAAUAGUGGGAUCAUUACUUCCUAAAGUCGACACUCUUCCAAACUCACUUUCAUCAAUAUAACCAUCAUAAAUAGGAGGCAUGCUAUCAUCAUAGUAAAUUUUCAUAUCAAAACUUGGGAGGUUAAAUAUAUCAUCUUCAUGAAACAUAGAAUCCCCAAGCUUGGGACAAACAUUAAUUGCAGCAAAUAAAAUUUCAAACAUGUCAUUCUCAUCAAACAUAGCAUCCCCAAGCUUGGGCCUUUUCAUAUCAUAAGCAUAAUCACUCUCAUCAUUAAUAGUAUGGAUAGCACCAAUAGUAUAGCAAUUAUCAUCAUCACAAUGAGUAAUAGGAGCAGCAUCAUUUGGGAGGGAUAGCUUUUUACCUUUGCUUCUCCGUCUUUUCUUUCUCUUCUUCACAUCAUGUGUGGGUUUAAUCCUCUUUUUGGAACUCCUUAUUAAUGAGAUCGGUCGAAUAGAAGGCUCCUCCUUGUUACCUGAUUCAUCAUAAGAAAUAAUAGGACGAUAUUGGGAAGUCUCUUCCCUUUCAUUAGUAUUCUCUUCAUCUUCUAUUUUUUUUCUUGUCUUUAUGUAAUUGGCAAUAUAAGGAUUUUCAAUGCAAUUCACCACACAAUACAUAUAAAUUUCCUCUAAAUCAAAAUCAAGAACUUUAUCAAGGACAAAUUAUGGAAGAUCCUUAGUUAUACGUUUCAUUUCUUCAUAACCCACAAGCAAACUAAGUUCAUUAUGAUGUGCAAAGGAAAUCAAGUCAUCACAAUUUUUGGACACGAUUCGAUCAUGAAACAAUUUGCAUUGGAUAUUUAAAUGACCACGUUCAUUGCAAAGUUCACAAGGAUGGCUAAGAAAAUUUAAAUUUUCAGCACAAACAUCUAGCCUUUCUUGCAACCAUUUAGUUUCUAAAUACUUAUGCCUGUUGCAAAAUCUAUCUUCCCUAUUUGGUGUGUACUUGCAAACUCUAUGCACUGCACAAAAAUUGACAUGCUUAUAAGAGACAUUUUCAUCAUGACUAGUGCAAUCAUCAUUAGUACUAUGGAUAUUCAAAGAGUUCGUACUAACAACAUUGCAAUAAUGCUCAUCAUUCAAAGAUUUAGUGCCAAACAUUUUAAUGCAUUCUUCUUCUUGCAUUUUGGCACAAUUAUCGGAAUCCUUAUUUUCACGAAAGAUAUUAAAAAGAUGAAGCAUAUGAGGCACCCUCAAUUCCAUUUUUUGUAGUUUUCUUUUAUAGACUAAACAAGUGAUAAAACAAGAAACUAAAAGAUUCGAUUGCAAGAUCUAAAGAUAUACCUUCAAGCGCUAACCUCCCCGGCAACGGUGCCAGAAAAGAGCUUGAUGUCUACUGCACAACCUUCUUCUUGUAGACGUUGUUGGGCCUCCAAGUGCAGAGGUUUGUAGGAUAGUAGCAAAUUUCCCUCAAGUGGAUGACCUAAGGUUUAUCAAUCCGUGGGAGGCGUAGGAUGAAGAUGGUCUCUCUCAAACAACCCUACAACCAAAUAGAAAAGAGUCUCUUGUGUCCCCAACACACCCAGUACAAUGGUAAAUUGUAUAGGUGCACUAGUUCGGCGAAAAGAUGGUGAUACAAGUGCAAUAUGGAUGAUAGAUAAAGGUUUUGGUAAUCUGAAAAUAUAAAAACAGCAAGGUAACUAAUGAUAAAAGUGAGCAAAAACGGUAUUGCAAUGUGUUGAAACAAGGCCUAGGGUUCAUACUUUCACUAGUGCGAGUUCUCUCAACAAUAAUAACAUAAUUGGUUCAUAUAACAGUCCCUUAAUAUGCAACAAAGAGUCACUCCAAAGUCACUAAUAGCGGAGAACAAACGAAGAGAUUAUUGUAGGGUAUGAAACCACCUCAAAGUUAUUCUUUCUGGUCGAUCAAUCCAAGAGUCUGUAGUAAAAUAACACGAAGCUAUUCUUUCCGUUUGAUCUAUCCUAGAGUUCAUACUAGAAUAACACCUUAAGACACAAAUCAACCAAAACCCUAAUGUCACCUUGAUACUCCAAUGUCACCUCAAGUAUCCGUGGGUAUGAUUAUACGAUAUGCAUCACACUAUCUCAGAUUCAUCUAUUCAACCAACACAAAGAACUUCAAAGAGUGCCCCAAAUUUUCUACCGAAGAGUCAAGAUGAAAACGUGUGCCAACCCCGAUGCAUAAGUUCACGAGGUCACGGAACUCGCAAGUUGAUCACCAAAACAUACAUCAAGUGGAUCAUGCGAAUAUGCCAUUGUCACCAUAGAUAAGCACAUGCAAGACAUACAUCAAGUGUUCUCAAAUCCUUAAACACUCAAUCCAAUAAGAUAACUUCAAAGGGAAAACUCAAUCCAUUACAAGAGAGUAGAGGGGGACAAACAUCAUAAGAUCCAACUAUAAUAGCAAAGCUCGCGAUACAUCAAGAUCAUGCCGAAUCAAGAACACGAGAGAGAGAGAGAGAGAGAUCAAACACAUAGCUACUGGUACAUACCCUUAGCCCCGAGGGUGAACUACUCCCUCCUCGACAUGGAGAGCGUCGGGAUGAUGAAGGUGGCCACCGGGGAGGGAUUCCCCCCUCCGGCAGGGUGCCAAAACGGGUAUAGAUUGGUUUUCGGUGGCUACAGAGGCUUGCGGCGGCGGAACUCCCAAUCUAGGUUAUUUUCUGGAGGUUUCUAUAUUUAUAGGAAUUUUUGGUGUCGGGAACAAGUCAAGGGGGUCCCCGUGUUGUCCAUGAGAUAGAGCGGCACGCCUAGGGGGUAGGGCGUGCCCCCCACCCUCGUGGACGGCCCGGGACUCUUCUGGCCCAACUCUUUUACUCCGGGGGCUUCUUUUGGUCCAUAAAAAUCAUCAAAAUUUGGCACGUUAAUUGGACCUCGUUUGGUAUUCGUUUUCUGUAAAACUCAAAAACAAGGGGAAAACAGUAACUGGCACUGGGCUCUAGGUUAAGAGGUUAAUCCCAAAAAUCAUAUAAAAUAGCAUAUAAAUGCAUAUAAAACAUCCUAGAUGGAUAAUAUAAUAGCAUGGAACAAUCAAAAAUUAUAGAUACAUUGGAGACAUAUCAAACACCGCUCCNNNNNNNNNNNNNNNNNNNNNNNNNNNNNNNNNNNNNNNNNNNNNNNNNNNNNNNNNNNNNNNNNNNNNNNNNNNNNNNNNNNNNNNNNNNNNNNNNNNNNNNNNNNNNNNNNNNNNNNNNNNNNNNNNNNNNNNNNNNNNNNNNNNNNNNNNNNNNNNNNNNNNNNNNNNNNNNNNNNNNNNNNNNNNNNNNNNNNNNNNNNNNNNNNNNNNNNNNNNNNNNNNNNNNNNNNNNNNNNNNNNNNNNNNNNNNNNNNNNNNNNNNNNNNNNNNNNNNNNNNNNNNNNNNNNNNNNNNNNNNNNNNNNNNNNNNNNNNNNNNNNNNNNNNNNNNNNNNNNNNNNNNNNNNNNNNNNNNNNNNNNNNNNNNNNNNNNNNNNNNNNNNNNNNNNNNNNNNNNNNNNNNNNNNNNNNNNNNNNNNNNNNNNNNNNNNNNNNNNNNNNNUUAGGUUUAGUUUAGGGUUUUUUUCUUCUGUUUUUUAGGUUUAGGUUUAUAUUUAGUUUAGUUUAGGUUUAGUUAAGAAGAAAGAAGAAGAAGAAGAAGAAGAAGAAGAAGAAGAAGAAGAAGAAGAAGAAGAAGAAGAAGAAGAAGAAGAAGAAGAAGAAGACGAAGAAGAAGAAGAAGAAGAAGAAGAAGAAGAAGAUGAGGCGGAAUCCGAAGAAGAGGAGAUUAGGAGUGCGUCGGCACCGACGGAACAGGGUCGAAGUUAGGGGUGCGUCGGCGCCGAUGGAACUGGGUCAAGAAUCGCCAGUCGCCAAGGGAUCGAGGGUCAGGGCAGAGGGUCGAGGAUCGAGGGGCGAGGGGUCGAGGGUCUAGGGGUCAAUGGUCGAGGAUCUUCCUGUCCGAGUGCUGACCGACUGGUGUCGAAGCUUAAGACGAGGACGUCCCGAAGCUAAAGGUCAUGAGACUGGGUGAACUGCUUCCAUCCAUGUGCGAAGAACGGAUGGAAGUAGUUCGCCCGUGCUAAUGACCUCCAGCUCGGGCACGUCUGCAUCUUAAGCUAUGACAACAGCCGCACCAUGCUCACGGUGAUGGUGUUCGAUAGGACCACUGAGGGGGCGAGGGGUCGAGGGUCUAGGGGUCGAUGGUCGAGGAUCUUCCGAUUCAAGUGCUCAUCGACUAGUGUCCUAGCUUAGGGCGAGGACGUCUCCAAGCUGAAGGUCAUGAUACUGGGUCAACUGCUUCCAUCCGUGCACGAAGAACGGAUGGAAGCAGUGUGCCUGUGCUGAUGACCUUCUGCUUGGGCACGUCUGCAUCUUAAGCUACGACAACAACUACACCAUGCUCAAAGUGAAGGUGUUCGACAUGACCACUGUCGGUGUCAAAACCGGUGGAUCUCGGGUAGGGGGUCCCGAACUGUGCGUCUAAGGCGGAUGGUAACAUGAGGCGGGAGACACAAUGUUUACCCAGGUUCGGGCCCUCUGAUGGAGGUAAUACCCUACUUCCUGCUUAAUUGAUCUUGAUGAUAUGAGUAUUACAAGAGUUGAUCUACCACGAGAUCGGAGAGGCUAAACCCUAGAAGCUAGCCUAUGGUGUGAUUGUUGUUGUCCUAUGGACUAAACCCUUCGGUUUAUAUAGACACCGGAGGGGCUAGGGUUACAUAGAGUUGGUUACAAGGGAGGAGAUCUACAUAUCCGAAUUGCCAAGCUUGCCUUCCAUGCAAAGGAGAGUCUCAUCUGGAUACGGGACGAAGUCUUCAAUAUUGUAUCUUCAUAGUCCAACAGUCCGGGCAAAGUAUAUAGUCCGGCUGUCCGAGGACCCCCGAAUCCAGGACUCCCUCAGUAGACCCUGAACCAGGCUUCAAUGACGAUGAGUCCGGCACGCAGAUUGUCGUCGACAUUGCAAGGCGGGUUCUCCUCCAAAUCCUAUGUACCUGUCGUAACGAGUUGUGUUCAGCCACCCAUGAAUGUUGCACUCCUCGGCUUCUGUGCCUUAAUAAUAGCUAUCUUCCAUGUGUCAAGCGAAUGCGAGAGGUUGGGGUGUUUUUACAUUUACCACCCUAACGAGGUAGAUGAAUCGUCUAUUUAAACAGUUUGGGAUCUUCACAUCUAGAUCACACCACCUUCCCACAGUGAGUAUCCAUCGGAGCGUGCCCAGAAAAAUCCAUCCCAUCAUGGCCGGCCACCGCAACUCCUCCUCUCGCCCUCGUGGCCCUAAGCCAGGUAGUUGGGAGAAGUGUUCUAUUCCCCAUAGCCAACUAGUAGAGCUGCAGACCCAGGGGUUUCUCCCUCCUGCGUACAUGGUCCCCGUUCGAGCCGAACUAGCCACUUAUAAUGGCGGGGAGCAAGCGGAAAGCUUUCCCAGCCCAUCCACGGGGGAGCGGGUAUGCCUUGUCCCUUAUUUAUUGAGGGGACUAGGAUUUCCAAUCCAUCCAUUCCUCCGUGGGCUCCUAGAGUUCUAUGGCCUCCAGCUGCAUAACUUUACUCCCGCCUCCAUAUUACACAUCGCAGGCUACGUUGCCCUUUGUGAGCUGUUUCUGGGCUGCGAAGCUCAUUUCGAGCUAUGGCAGAGGCUAUUCUGCCUCGUGCCCCGUACACAGAAGGGGUUGAUAUUUCAAGUGGGCGCAGCCAAAAUAUGGCGCAUCGCUGGGACCGGAUACCUGUCUGAUACUCCGAAGAAGACAUCCGAAGACUGGCCUUUGGAGUGGUUUUAUAUGGAGGACGUUCCCCUCCCAGACCCUAUUCAGAUGGGCCUUCCUGAGUUCAACAACGCCCCUUUGAAGAAAUGCCGUUGCUGGUGCCCUCAGAGCCCCCAGGAGAAAGAUAACAGAGAAGUCCUUUACCUGAUGAGCCGGAUAAAGACACUGGCCAAAUCAGGACUGACAAUAAUCGAGGUUAUGUCAAUAUGUAUAAUGCGGGGGGUGCAGCCACUUCAAUACCGGGGACAACCAAUGUGGCACUUCAAUGGAGAAGACGAUGCCACCCGUUGCGGCCGUAAAGGUCCGGACACCGCCGCCGCUCUGGCGACAAUACUGUCCGAUUUAUAUAAGGGAGAGGAAUAGGAGUUCAUCUGUAUUAAGCCACGAGAUGGAUUCUCCAUGUACAACCCCCCAAACUGGGUGAGCUGCUGGUUUUUACUCCAAACCUUCCUGCUUUCUUUGUCAUAAAUAUUUACCUUGCUAUUUCAUAGCAGGAACUACGAAGAGCUGUGAGGGAGAUUCACAGCCCAUCUCCGCAGCCAGAGGACCCUGAUCGGGCCCUCGAUCCCGGACUCGAAGAAGAUCCUGACAUAUUCGUGGAGCUCAUCGACAUGACAUUUUAUCAGUUAAGCUGCGACGGUGCCUUGGUGGCCAUCACCACCGAUUAUCCUGGACUACUCCCUGCAUCGCAUGUAAGUAAAACCAGAGUCUCAACUUCCGAGAAGGAUCCCCUUUUUCGCACUUCACCCACCGCACACAUAUGGUGUCUUGUAGGGAAGGCCCUCGAGACGCCAUGCCGAACCCGCAGUGACUCACCAACGAGGGGCACUGAAACCGGGUAGGCUUAAAAGGAAGGCGGUCAGGACUAAGAUGCCGUCACAGAGGUAUGAAAAAGAACCCUGCUCCGUGGUUAUUGUCUUUAAAAUAUAAUAACGCCCAUGGUUAAAACUAGGAAAAACGCUCGUCGGACCGCAUCCGGAGAGCCUACCGGCCAUGCUUCCACCAGCCGGGCUCCAGAGCCAGACUUGGAGGCAGAUGCUAAUGUGGGGACAACACCGGAUAUUCCUCCUACCAAGGAUGCGGAUAGGCUGUCCGCUACAAAUUCUGAAGUGGAGAGUGCCAUGAAGCACAGGCGUCGCCGGGCCGUACUCCGCGACCCCGGUUUUUCUGAAGAGGCGUUUGAUGCCUUCAACUCAGGGGACGCGUACAUCCGAGCUGCUCAAAAUGGUCUUGCUAGAGCCACAGACCAGUAUGUAAAGGAUAUACGGGUGAGAAAAUCUGAUAAUUAUAUAUAUACCAGUACCCCCUAAGACUUGAAACAGUUAGCACAACUAAUUUAAGGAUCAUUAUUUGCAUAGGUUCUUACUGAGAAGAAUACCCAGUUGUCUCAAGAGCUGGAGGAGUGCAAAGCCCAGCUAUGGGCCGCAGUUGCCAAAAUGGAGGAGUCCAAGAAGGGCCCAUCUGGCAACACUUGUUCCUAUCGAAAAGAAUGAGAUAUACCAGUUAAUAUUUGGUUUGCAUGCUAAUCUAAUCAAUAGAUUCUGCAGAUGAUCCCGGAGUGAAUCCGGAGGAGCAACAUGCCCAACGACAGCUGAAGGCUGGCGAGCGCGUGCUUACACAAGUUAGGCGGGAGAAAAAUGAUCUCCAAUAUGCCAAUACCCGGCUGGAUGUUGAACUGAAAGAUGUUCGGGCCUAGCUGGCCGACUCCGUAAAGGAGAAUAAAAGGCUUCGAUGCGGCAUUUUCAGUAAGUGCUUGAGCGAACUUCUAUAGAGUUCGGUGAAGAAACCAGCUAUCGGAGCUAUAUCUGUAGGUAUGCUGACGGGCCGUCCCGGAGAGGAGAUGCCCGGGUCUACGGGAGAUCUUCUGCCAGAGCUCUCACAACUGCACGAACAAGUUUGGCAGGUGAUGCAGGACCUUGCCCAGGCCUUGUGUCCCUCCGCCUCCCUGCCAGGAGGCAUGGGGGAGCUUGUAGAUAUACUCAAGGGAGCGCGGUGGCGCUUCCGAUUAUGGAAGAUAUCUGCAUGUAGACAAGGUGCAAGGGAAGCCUAGGCCAUGGUGAAGACUCGGUAUACUAAGGCUGAUCCAAACCAUAUGGCCGAGGUCGGACCUGUAGGGCCUGACGGGAAAGAGAUCCCCGUCAGCUUGGUGUAUGACCAGGUGAAAUUAGCCGCAAAGUAUUCCCAACAGGAUUGUAGGCUAGACAGCCUGUUGGAUGGUAUAGAAGAAGAAUUUAGUCAGUCUAAGUGACUGUGUAAUUCGAGUGAAAUAUAUUGUCCCUAGCCAGAUUGUAAAUCACUUGUCAUGGCGGACCUUUUCGCUUCGACCUCCGGACCCGACAGUCCAGAGUGUAUCCGAAUACCCGCUCAGUUAUGUAAAAAAAUGGGGUAUGCGUGGAAACCAGGCGUAGGGGUCAUAAGUGCUUGAACAGACAAGUACCCAACUAGUUAUGUUAUAUUACAUGGAUAGUAAGAAACAUCUUACAUGGAGAAUAGUUCCGUUAAGGGUUCCUUUCCCUGGGUACACAUGCAUUAAUGUGCAUGUCCGACCUGUGACAAGAGACGCGGGAUAUAAACAUCUGGGGUAUGUAUUCUAAUAAGUAAAAAAGUCAUCCUUUGUUCGCCGACCGAAUAUUCCCUUAAGAACGCUAGCUUUUGGCUUCACCCAGUCUUAGGUACACGUCCGGCUGACCCGAUAGUAACAAUCCCAGAGGUGCUCCCCUUAUGCCCUAGCCAAAUUAACGGGAACGUAGGGCAUAAACACAAGAGCCAGGCAACCCAUCUUGAACAAAACUUAAGUCAUAUCGAUGCAUAUAAUGGCAAAGAAAAGGUGCAUGUGUAAAAAUAACACAUGUGUGGCAGGCAUAGAGCCCGGAUCAUAAUUAUAUUAAGCUUCUGUAUAAGAAGCCCCCAGGUAUAAUGAGCGCGCUUAGCGCGUGCAAAUUGUGCAAUCAAGACACAGUUUAACCUUUGAAGGCUGCGAAGAAAAGGAAGAAAGACAGAAAAAUAGAGAUAACGAAUAUAUAUAAAAAAUUGACGGAGGUAAGGAGAUGAACACGGAGUCCGGCACUAGGCGUAGAACCUUCGGAGUCUGGCCGCGUUCCAUGGGUUUGGCUCGAGUCGAUUUUCCGAUGCAUCCCGCAGACGGUACGCUCCACCGGUCAGAACUUUGUCAAUAACAAAGGGACCUUCCCAUUUGGGUUUGAGCUUGUCCUUUUUCUUCUCUGGUAGGCGUAGAACGAGUUCGCCAACAUUAUAAGUUUUGGCAUGUACUUCUCUACUUUGAUAUCGUCGAGCCUGUUGUUGAUAGAAUGCGGAUCGGGCUUUUGCCACAUCAUGCUCCUCCUCUAGGGCGUCCAAACUGUCCUGCCGAUCUAGCUCGGCUUCCUUCUCUUCGUACAUGCGCACGCGAGGUGAGUCAUGAAUGAUGUCGCAGGGCAGUAUCGCCUCUGCGUCGUACACCAUAAAGAAAGAUGUGUAUCCGGUAGUGCGAUUUGGCGUGGUCCGCAGCCCCCAUAGCACGGAGUCGAGCUCCUUGACCCAGUGCGUAUCUGAUUCCUUCAAGGACCGCACUAGUCUGGGUUUAAUGCCGCUCAUUAUAAGACCAUUUGCUCGUUUGACUUGACCGUUAGUUUGAGGGUGAUAGAUGGAUGCAUAAUCGAGCUUAAUGCCCAUGUUGCCGCACCAAGUUUUUACCUCAUCGGUUGUGAAGUUCGAGCCGUUAUCAGUGAUGAUACUGUGGGGGACACCGUAAGGGUGUACAACCCCGGAUAUGAAAUCUAUCACUGGUCCGGAUUCGGCCAUUUUAACUGGUUUGGCCUGUAUCCAUUUGGUGAAUUUAUCCACCAUGACCAAUAGGUAUUUUUUCUUAUGGCUUCCUCCUUUAAGGGGUCCGACCAUAUCAAGCCCCCAGACCAUGAAGGGCCAAGUAAUGGGGAUUGUUUGGAGAGCGGUAGGUAGCAUAUGGCUUUGGUUUGCAAAGAGCUGGCAACCGAUGCAAUGUUGAAUGAGGUCCUGUGCGUCUGCUCGAGCUGUCGGCCAGUAGAAACCUGUACGGAAGGCCUUACUUACAAGGGCCCGAGCUGCGGCGUGAUGGCCACCGAGUCCAGCAUGAAUUUCUGCCAAAAGUUGUCGUCCUUCCUCCUCGGAGAUGCGUACUCCGGUAGGGCUUUUCUUAUAAAGCUAUCCCUCGUGGACCUUAUAGGCUUUAGACCGCCGCACAAUGCAACGUGCCUCGUUUUGGUCCUCAGGGAGUUCUUGCCUAUUUAGGUAAGCCAAGAAGGGUUCUGUCCACGGGGCAAUGACGACCAUAAUCACGUGGGCCGAAGGUGUUCUCUCGGUGGCGGAGCCUUCGAUUACGUCAGAGUGUUCGGGGUUUGGUGUUGUGGCCGGAUCCGGACUAUUAUUGCCGAUCUCCCCUUCCCACACCACGGAUGGCUUGAACAACAUUUCCAGGAAGAUAUUAGGUGGGACAGGGUCGCGCUUAGUGCCAAUUCGGGCGAGGAUAUCCGCCGCUUGAUUGUUUUCUCGGACCACAUGGUGGAAUUCAAGCCCCUCGAAUCGAGCUGACAUUUUGAGGACGGCAUUGCGAUAAGCCGCCAUUUUUGGGUCCUUGGCAUCAAAAUCCAUUUAUUUGAGAUAUUGCGAGGUUCGAAUCCCCAUGCACUUCUAGGCGUUGAAUGCCCAUGGAGACUGCCAUCCGGAGACCAUGCAACAGGGCCUCAUAUUCGGCUGUGUUGUUGGAGUCUGUGUAUAAUAUUUGGAGUACGUAUUGGACUGUAUCUCCGGUUGGGGAUGUUAGGACGAUGCCUGCUCCCAGACCCGCCAGCAUUUUAGAGUCAUCGAAGUGCAUGAUCCAAUUGGAGUACGCGCCGUAUUCUUAAGGGAGUUCGGCUUCUGUCCAUUCGACGAUGAAGUCGGCCAGUACUUGUGACUUAAUGGCUCGCCGUGGUUUGUAUGAUAUGUCGAACGGGAGGAGAUCAAUAGCCCAUUUAGCAAUCCGGCCCGUGGCAUCGCGGUUGUUUAUAAUGUCAUUGAGUGGAACCUCGGAGACCACCAUAAUUGAACACUCUUGAAAGUAGUGUCGUAGUUUUCAGGAUGCCAUGAAGACCGUGUAUGCUAUCUUUUGAUAAUGUGGGUACCGGGAUUUGCAUGGAGUGAGGACAGUAGAUAUGUAGUAUACCGGCUUUUGAAGUGGGAACUUAUGUCCGACCAUUUCUCGUUCGACGACGAGCACUGCGCUUACAACCUGGUGUGUUGCCGCUAUAUAUAACAACAUUGGUUCGCCGAUAUUUGGCGCGGCCAAGAUUGGGUUGCUGGCCAAGGCAGCUUUUAAUUCUUCCAAUCCGGCCGUAGCCGCGUCCGUCCACUCGAAGUGUUCGGUGUGCCGAAGAAGGCGAUAAAGAGGUAAUGCCUUUUCUCCCAAUCGGGAGAUAAAGCGGCUUAAGGCAGCCACGCAUCUAGUCAAUUUCUGGAUUUGCUUGAGGUUUGUUGGGAUAGCCAACUGUGACAGAGCUUGGAUUUUAGCCGGAUUCGCUUCAAUUCCUCUGUUGGAAACGAUGAAGCCCAAGAGCUUUCCGGCGGGUACGCCAAAAACACAUUUUUCCGGAUUGAGCUUAAUGUCAUAUGUUCGGAGAUUGUCGAACGUGAGCCUCAAGUCGUCUAUCAAAGAUUCAACGUGUCUGGUUUUAAUUACCACAUUGUCUACGCAUGCCUCCACUGUUUUGCCGAUUUGUGCUUCCAGGCAUGUCUGAAUCAUGCGUUGAUAGGUCGCACCGGCGUUUUUGAGCCCGAAAGGCAUGGUGUUGAAAUAGAAGGGGCCGUAUGGAGUAAUGAAUGUCGUUGCGGCUUGAUCGGGCUCCGCCGUCUUGAUUUGAUGGUAUCCGGAGUAUGCGUCGAGGAAACACAACGAGUCGUGUCCCGCGGUAGCAUUGAUAAUUUGAUCGAUGCGGGGGGGAGGGAUCCUUGGGGCAAGCCUUGUUAAGGUCCUUAAAAUCGACACAUAUGCGCUAGGAUUUGUCCUUCUUUGGUACCAUCACUAGGUUUGCUAGCCAGUCUGGAUGUUUUAUUUCUCUAAUGAAUCUGGCCUCGAGUAACUUGGCUAGUUCUUCUCCCAUGGCUUGUCACUUGGGUUCGGAGAAACGCCGAAGAGUUUGCUUGACCGGCUUGUAUUCCUUUAGAAUGUUUAGGCUAUGCUCGGCCAGCCUACAUGGGAUGCCUGGCAUAUCUGAAGGAUGCCAGGCGAAGAUGUCCCAAUUCUCGCAAAGAACUCCCGCAGUGCGGCUUCUAUUGUGGGGUUCAGUUGUGCCCCGAUUGAUGCUAUUUUUGUAGGGUCCGUUGGGUGGACCUGGAAUUUGACUAUUUCGUUCGCUGGUUUAAAAGAGGUGGACUUGGGUCUUUUGUCGAGUAUCACGUAGUCCCUAUCCACUGUAGAGCACAGUGUAGUUAGUUCUUCAGCCGCGAGGGCUUCGGAUAACGCUUCGAGGGCCAGUGCAGCGGUUUUAUUUUCGACGCGGAGUGCUAUGUCCGGAUCACUAGCUACAGUGAUGAUUCCCUUGGGCCCGGGCAUCUUGAGCUUCAUGUACCCGUAAUGGGGUAUAGCUUGGAAGAUCGUGAAUGCUUCUUGCCCUAGAAGGGCGUGGUAUCCGCUACUAAACGGGGCCACUUGGAAUGUGAUUUCUUCGGACCUGUAAUUAUCCGGUGUGCCGAAUACCACAUCUAGUGUGAUUUUUCCCGCACAUCGUGCCUCCCGACUAGGGAUGAUUCCUCUGAAGGUCGUGCUUCUUUGCUCAAUGCGGCUCUUGUCUAUUUCCAUUUUUUCUAAGAGUCUCCUCAUGAUGAGGUUUAAUCCGCUGCCACCGUCCAUGAGUACUUUAGUAAGUCGGAAGCCGUCCACAAUUGGACUAAGGACCAAAGCGGCUGGAGCUCGGGCUAUGCGGAAUUGAGGUUCGUCACUGGCAUUGAAGGUUAUGGCCGUGUCAUUCCAUGGAUUUAUCGCUGUGACGUGGCAGACUUCGGCGAGGCUGCGAAGUGCCCGCUUGCGCCUAUUGUUUGAGGCGAAAGUAUCAAAGACUAUCAGUAGUGUAUUGUUAUUUUCCACGGGAGAUCCUCGCCGCUCCUGGCCACCUGCCGGAGUACCCAACAUGCUCUAAGGCUGUGUGUUGGCAUGGUAUCCGAUGUACUGUGAAUUUUGCAUGGCCCAUUGAGCCAUCCCUCCAAUACGGUUCCGCGCCAUGUAGUGGGUUUUGGCUUCUUUGUAAUUGGAUUGGGUGACUUACGAGGGUACACCCUUUUAGUUCAGACAGAGGGUUUAGUUAGAGCCGGAGGAUCCCAGAAUUCUGUUUGGGAUUUCCAAGUGCUUUCCGUCGCACAGAACUUCCGUACUAUGGACGCCAAGUCAGCGAAGUGUGUUAUAUCAUGACGACUUAUGGCGUUGAGGAUUCCCUUGUCCGUGCAAUUUUUGCAAAACAAUGAAAUUGUGUCUUCCUCGCGACAGUCCUUCGCCUUGCUUAUUGCAAGGAGGAAUCUGGCCCAAUAGUGAUGUACUGUCUCUUGGGGCUCUUGUCUAAUAUGGGAAAGAUCACUUAUGUGAGGGUGGGUGGGUAGAUUUAAGUCCAAACCCUGGCCCGGUCUGAGACCCAAAGGAGUUUCCGAGCUUGGUAGUUCGGGCUCUGGGACGUUUUCCAACGGUACUAGCCCGCAAUUCGAUUCCAGGUUUGAAGCUUGGGCCAUGUCCUCCCGUAGACGGGUAUCCGGCUCGGCAAGCGACUAGCAAUGGUGGCUAUCCUGUUCGCAAAAGAGAGCGAGAAGAGGAGGCAAAGCGCGAGCGAGAAACUAGAGAGCAACCUGCGCAAACAUUACUCCAACACCGUGUCCACUUCCCGGACUCCGCCGAGAAGAGGCCAUCACGGUAACACACUCAGUUGAUUCAUUUUAAUUAAGUUAAAGUUCAAGUUAUCUACAACCGGGCAUUAACAAAUUCCCAUCUGCCCAUAACCGCGGGCACGACUUUCAAAAGUUCAAAUCCCUGCAGGGGAGUCCCAACUUAGCCCAUGACAAGCUCUCACGGUCAACGAAGGAAUAGACCUCCUCCCGAGACGUUCCGAUUAGACUCGGUACCUCGGUUCUUCAAGACACUUCGACAGGUUAAAACAAGACCAGCAACACCACCCAGAUGUGCUGACAAAUCCCGAUAGGAGCUGCACAUAUCUCGUUCUCAGGGCACACCGGAUGAGCAAGACGUCGGGUAGGCCAGCCCAGAGUUGCCCCUGGUAGCCCCGGACAUCGCUCGGUUGGACCAACACUCAGAGGAGCACUGGCCCAGGGGGGCUAAAAUAAGAUGACCCUCGGGCUCCAGAAACCCAAGGGAAAAGAGGCUAGGUGGCAAAUGGUAAAACCAAGGUUGGGCAUUGCUGGAAAAGCUUUAAUCAAGGCGAACUAUCAAGGGGUUCCCAUUAUAACCCAACCGCAUAAGGAACACAAAAUCCGGGAACAUAACACCGAUAUGACGGAAACUAGGGCGGCAAGAGUGGAACAAAACACUAGGCGAGAGGCCGAGCCUUCCACCCUUUACCAAGUAUAUAGAUGCAUUAAGAUAACAAGAUAAUAUAAUGAUAUCCCAACAAGUAAAAGAUGUUCCAACAAGGAACGGCCUCCAAUCUUCACCUGCAACUAGCAACGCUAUAAGAGGGGCUGAGCAAAGCGGUAACGUAGCUAAUCAACGGUUUGCUAGGACAUGGUGGGUUAGAGGUGUGACAUGGCAAUUUGGGAGGCUUGAAAGCAAGUGGUAGGCAUCGUAGCAUUGGCAUAGCAAAAGAGCGAGCAUCUAGCAAAGCAAAGAUAGUAGUGAUUUCGAGGGUAUGAUCAUCUUGCUUGCAAAGUGGUCAGAGUUGACUGGAUCCUCGAAAGCAAACUCAACGGGCUCCUCGUUAGCGAACUCGUCUCCCAACUCUACCCAAACAAGACAAACAAGAAAACGGAACACAAUCAACCACGUGCAAAGCUCAAACAAUAUGAUGCAAUGCUAUGCGGGAUGCGAUGCGGGAUGCAUAUGCAAGAUUUGACAAGGGAUGCAUGAACCUGGCCUCAACUUGGGAAUCCAAGUGUGCCACUUGAAAGAUUAGAUGAAAACGCUUGAAAACGAUAUAAAGAACGCCGGAAUGGAGUUACGGUUUGGAAAUGGUAAGCGAUUCAAAUAUGACACUGGUCUGUGAUUACAACAAGUAGCCAUCUAAAUACAAUGAGAUGAACAAGUUACAGCACCCAAACAUGGCAACAAAAUACAUGGCAUGGAUGCAUUCAUGAUGCUUAACAAAAGUAUAGCACUGAGCUACGGCCAAUUUAUCCAUUAAGAGGUUCAAACAAGCAUGGCAAAAAUGCAUAUGGUAAACAGAUUUCAGACUUAGUGAAAUUAACACUUGUCUGGAAUUUCAGAUCAGGUAGCACACUUCGGAGCAACAAAACUACAUGCUACAGGACCUGAACAUGGCAAAGUAAAGCAUGGCAUGGAGCUACUCAAAGAGCUUAACAAAAGUCCCUUAGUGACCUUGAGCCAAAAAGGAUCAGAAAAUACAAUUGCAAGCAUGUGAACAUGGCAAAAAUAUAAUCAGUUUUCAAACUUGGUGAAAACUGGCACAUGCUGAAAACAGAUCUCAAGUAGGCAUGUUUACGAGCUCGAUGCACUCACUACAGAGUAAGUCAUGAUAAUCUAAGCAUACAUCCAUCAAGAAUACACAAAAUGCAAGCUAGACAUGGCAAGAACAAUAGCAUAGCAUGCACGGAUCAACUACAACAUCAUCGGCAAAAUCGCUAACAAGUAGACAAUCUGCCCAGAUUCACAAAGUAGCAAAAGUAGAGCUCGAUUGACUUAGGCUAGGGUGCUCCAUAAAUGCAAACAAAGACAUGGAUGGAUAGAGCACUACAAGAUUAACAAAACAUCCUUACUGAUCAUCCUCAAAAGAGGCACGGAUCACUAGGAAACAACAUGAACAUAUGGCCAUACGAGAUAAACAGCUCAAGGACUUAGUGGAAAUGCUAAGUCCCUGAAAUCAGCAUUACCAAGUGCCUCACGUUGCAAGCUUGUGCUAGUCACCACACACAUCACAAAAAAACAUGAGUUGCACCUCUGGAAAGAUGGCAAAACCCUUAACAAAACAUAUGUAGAACUCAUGGGCAUAUCAUGCACACAAUAAUCAUGGCAAAAAUGACAAAUCUCUAAAUGGAGUAGCAGAUCUGACAGUUAUCUCAAGUAGCACUCUUCUAACAGCACUUCGGGCAUCAAGAUGAACUCAAAUGAAAAUGAUGCAAUGGAAUGAAAUGAUGUACUCUCUGAGAUGAACAUUUUGAUAUGCUAUAUGCCAAAAACGGAGUUACGGGUGAGGAGUUAUAGCAUGAUGAACAGGAGCAUAUGGAUCUGAGAUCUGAGGACUUAGAAAAAAAACCACCUCGCGGAUCUAGGGUUCGGUGGCACGCGGCCCGAGGGGGGGCCGGAUCUCGCCAGAGUUGACCCGGAGCUCGCCGGAGUAGACGGAGGUGGCCGGAUCGGGCGGGAUCCGCCGGAUCCGGACCAGGGCGGCGCGGCGGCGAGGACUUGGGNNNNNNNNNNNNNNNNNNNNNNNNNNNNNNNNNNNNNNNNNNNNNNNNNNNNNNNNNNNNNNNNNNNNNNNNNNNNNNNNNNNNNNNNNNNNNNNNNNNNNNNNNNNNNNNNNNNNNNNNNNNNNNNNNNNNNNNNNNNNNNNNNNNNNNNNNNNNNNNNNNNNNNNNNNNNNNNNNNNNNNNNNNNNNNNNNNNNNNNNNNNNNNNNNNNNNNNNNNNNNNNNNNNNNNNNNNNNNNNNNNNNNNNNNNNNNNNNNNNNNNNNNNNNNNNNNNNNNNNNNNNNNNNNNNNNNNNNNNNNNNNNNNNNNNNNNNNNNNNNNNNNNNNNNNNNNNNNNNNNNNNNNNNNNNNNNNNNNNNNNNNNNNNNNNNNNNNNNNNNNNNNNGACACGUCCGGCCCGAAUCGGACGUGUCCGGCGGCGAGAGGUGGAAGACGACUAGGGUUUUGGGAGAGGAAGAAAGAGAAUUUCGGAGGGGUCUUUAAAUAGGCAUAGGAGGAGCUAGGAGAGUCCAAAUGAGGUGCGGUUUUCGGCCACGCAAUCGUGAUCGAUCGCUCUAGAUGAUGGAGAGGGUUUUGGUGGGUUUUGGGCCAACUAGGAGGGGUGUUGGGCUGCAACACACACGAGGCCUUUUCGGUCCCUCGGUUAACCGUUGGAGUAUCAAACGAAGUCCAAAUGGUAUGCAACUUGACAGGCGGUCUACCGGUAGUAAACCAAGGCCGCUUGGCAAGUCUCGGUCCAAUCCGGAAAUGUUUAAUCCCCACACACGAGAAAUGUAGAAAUGACCACCGGAGGAGAAUGAAUCGCCGGAAUGCAAAACGGACAACGGGGAAAAUGCUCGAAUGCAUGAGAUGCACACGUAUGCAAACGCAAUGCACAUGACGACAUGAUAUGAGAUGCAUGACAACGAUAACAACACACGGAGACAAAAACCCGAACCCGAGAAAAUAAAAUAACUUAACACCGGAAACGACAAGAGUUGGAGUACAAAUUGGGAAAGUUACAUCCGGGGUGUUACACUGGGUAUGUGGUUUGCUUCAUAAUUCAUGAAAUUCAUUCUGUCAUGCUAGCUUGAGCCCUUUAAUUACUAAUACUAUGUUCCUCUCUUUUAGGCGGGAUACAAUAUGGCACCGGUGCCAGAGGUGUUCGACCUCUAUGCCAUGGCCCAUACUGCCCUGUUCAAGAAGGCUAAGGCAUUCUUUGCGUCUGACCUCGAUCAUCUAGAGAACUUCACCAACAUCUCCUCCCACAACAAGCUCGUGAAGUACAGAGAUAAGGGGAAGGCGAGGAAAAGGGAGGACUUUAACCCGAGCGGGCCGUUUGAUCCAGAGCUGGUGAUGAUAUCUGGUGGCGGGAGGUCCCAUGGCUCGAUAGCCAUUGGAGAUGGACUUAUCUGUUGUCCUCGCACUCUCUGGGAGAUCAAGGUGUGCCAAACGAGCUCAAAUCCUGAGAUAAGGCCUCGUCCACGGCCGAUCGAGCUCGCCUUCCAGGUUAGUUAUACAUGGAUUUCUUUCAAGCAUUACAUUGUGUGUGCAGCCAUCGAUGAUUACAAUGCUAACGAGGAGUGGUGUUGCGGGCUUCUCUUCAGACUGAGAGAGAUGGAACCUAGGCGCUUCUGGUGGAGAGGGAGCUGGAGUUGGAGGAGAAGAUGACAGGGUUGAUGGAGGAGGAGAGGGCAUGGAAUGACAUGCAGAACCGGGCCAUGUACGAGCUCCUUGUGGUAAGUUUCUUCUUCAUAUUAGCCAAAUCAAGCAUGUAAUGUUCAUUUCAUUACUAACUAGUAUGACUGACCCGUGAAAACCAAAUGUGCAGUCUGUGUGCCAGAAGGCCGGUCAGACCCCUCCGCCGAUGCCAGAGAUUGCUCCAGGGACCACAGUGAGUUUAAUUUGAAUGGUUAUCAGUUACUAGUAUUAACAUUUGAGUGUCGUCAUAUUAACAAGACAUUGCAAAUGGUCUUUGGUGCAGCGUGCCUCCAGACAAGCAUCGCACGAUCCUUCUCCAGGUGGUGGCCCCUCCACGAGCCAUGACGGUGCUUCACCUCUGUGAUGAUGGUAAGUUUUCUCUAGUGUUUUCCUUACCAAAUGUAUAAAGACCUAGAUUUAGCUUUAUUUCCUCCAAAAUGCUUACCAUAAUGACCUAGACUUAGCUUAUAUUCCUCCAAAAAUGACAUAAUUAGCUUACUUAGCUCCAAAUUGAUCUAUACUUAGCUUUGUUUCCUCCGAAAUGACCUAAGUUAGCUCUAAUAUGCUAACUUAUCUCUAAUAUGCUUAGCUACCUAGGUUUGCUCAAUAAUGACAUACACUUAGCUUACUUAUGUAAAAAAAUGGCAUAAUUAGCUUACUUAGGUUUGAAAUGGCAUAACAACCUUGGUAACCUCAUAUAUGUCAUAUAGUUAGCUUACUUUCCUCAAAAAUGACAUAAUAAGCCUAAUUAGCUCCAAAAUGAUCAGUUUUACCUAAAUUAGCUCCAAAAUGACCUAAGUUAGCUCUAAUAUGCUUAGUUGCCUAGGUUAGCUCAAUACAGACCUAUACUUAGCUUACUUAUGUCAAAAAUGGCAUAAUAUGCUUAGUUAACUCAAAAAUGGCAUGAUUAGCUAGGUUAGCUCCAAAAUGACCCAUUUUACCUAGGUUAGCUCCAAUAUGAUCCAUUUUACCUAGGUUAGCUCUAAAAUGACCAAGUUUACCUAGGUUAGCUCUAAUAUGAUCCGUUUUACCUAGGUUAGCUCCAAAAUGACCAAGUUUACCUAGGUUAGCUCCAAAAUGAUCCAUUUUAGCUAGGCUAGCUCCAAAAUGAUCCAUUUUACCUACGUUAGCUAAAAAAUGGCAUAAAUACUUAUGUUAGCAUGAAAAUGACAUACCCUUACCUUUUUUCCUCCAAAUUUACAUAAUAAGCUUAGUUAGCUCAAAAAUGGCAUAAUUAACUAUGUAAGCUCUAAGAUGACACAAAUAAGGAAUAAGAAGAAGAAAAACAAGGAAGAGGGGAAAAAGAAAUAAUGGAAGAAGAAAGAGAAGAAAAAGAAAGAAUAAAAGAAGAAGAAUGAGAAGGAAAAGGGUAAAAACCUUCUUCUUCUUCUAGUCUUCUUCUUCUAGUCUUCCAAUCUUCUUCUUCUCCAAAAUGACCUAAGUUAGCUCUAAUAUGCUUAGUUACCUAGGUUAGCUCAAUAAUGACCUAUACUAAGCUGCUUUAUAUCAAAAAUGGCAUAAUAUGCUUAGUUCACUCAAAAAUGGCAUAAUUAGCUAGGCUAGCUCCAUUUUACCUAAGUAUGCUUACUUCUUCUUCUUGUUCUUCUUUAUUUUCUUCUUCUUCUAAUCUUCUUAUUCUAACUUUGUUAUUUCCCAUUUUGUAGAUUUCAUUCACUUGACGAAAGCUUGCAUUGAUGGAGUGCUUCUUAUCCCUUUCUCUGUUUCUUUUGUAUCGUGGAACUAUGCAUGUAUCGUUGGAUGAAACUAUUGUAAUAUAUAUGGUUGGAUGCCUAUAUGUUGAACUUUCUAUGUAUGAUGGAACUAUGCAUGUAUGAUGAACUUAUGUGUUGGAUAUCUUAUAUGUUUGCCCUGUAAUUGCCCAGUGAAAUAUAUCAUCUAUUUGCUUUGAAAAUGCUUGGAUAUAAGAAAAAAUAGAAAAAAAGAGGCAAUGCAGCCUCUUUGCCAUCUGCCACUGACGUCAAAGGGUUCUUUGCCGUCCGCCACUGACGGCAAAGAGGCCACGUGGCAGCAACCUAGGAGCUGACCAUUUGGUGACGGCAAAGGGGGGGGAAUGUUUGUCGUCCGCUGGCGGACGGCGAAGGCUGUCGUUAGCCACCUGAUGUGGCUAACGCCUAUUAGUUCCCGUCUAUUUUCGUUGUCGUCCGCCACUGACGGCAAAGAUUCUUUGUCGUCCGCUUUGAUGAAGCAUUCGGCAAAGAACCUCUUUACCGUAGCCCUCUUUGCCAGACAUCUUUGCCGUCGAUGGCGGUCGGCAAAGUGUUUUGUCGUUCGCUUUUGGUGCCUUUGCCGUUUGCCAUGGCAGAUGACAAAUAAGCUGAUUCCUGUAGUGACUAUGUAAACGGUGUCUGCACACAAAGAACAAAUACUUGCAACCCAAAGCAAUAAGAGGGGUUCUCAAUCCCUCCUCGGUAUUGAGAUAGAUAAAAUUGUAGUAGAUUGGAUAAAUAGACCUUGCAAAAAUACAAAAUAAAAUAAAUAAAGAAAAAGUGCAUCAAGGUAUUUUUGGGUUUUUGGAAUAAUAGAUCUGAAAAUGAUAUGAUAAAAGAUAGACCAGGGGGCAUAGAUUUCACUAGUGGCUUCUCUCGAGAAAAUAGCAUAAGAUGGGUAAACAAGUUACUAUUGGGCAAUUGAUAGAAGAGCAAUUAAUUAUGACGAUAUCCAAGGAAAAGAUUAGUAGACCGACUCAUGCAUGCAUGUACUACUAUUACUCCAAACAUCGACCGCUAUCCAACAUGCAUCUAGUGUAUUAAGUUCAUGGCGAAACGGAGUAAUGCAAUAAGAACGAUGACAUGAUGUAGACAAUAUCUUUUUAUCCUUAAUGGAAACAAUCCAUGCGUGCCUCGCUGCCCCUUCUGUCAAUGGUGAGGACUGCGAGAUCGAACCCAUCACAAAGCACCUCUUCCCAUUGCAAGAAAAAUCAAUCUAUUUGGCCAAACCAAACCAAAGUUUCGGAGAAGAAAUACGAGGCUAUAAAAAUCAUGCAUAUAAGAGAUCAGAGAAGACUCAAAUAAUAUUCAUAGAUAGAUCUGAUCAUAAACUUGCAAUUCAUCAGAUCCCAACAAACACAACGCAAAAAGUCAUUACAUCAAAUAGAUCUCCAAGAACAUCGAGGAGAACAUUGUAUUGAGAAUCAAAAAGAGAGAAGAAGCCAUCUAGCUAAUGCCUACGGACCCGUAGGUCUAUGGUGAACUACUCACACAUCAUCAGAGGAGCACCAAUGAGGAUGAUGAACCCCUCAAUGAUCAUGUUCCCCUCGGGCAGGGUGCCGGAAUAGGGCUCUAGAUUGGAUCUCAUGGUUCUGGAACUUACGGCGGCUGGAAUUUGAUACAUCUCCAUCGUAUCUAUAAUUUUUAAUUGUUCCAUGCCAAUAUUAUACAACUUUCAUAUACUUUUGGCAACAUUUUAUACUAUUUUUGGGGACUAACAUAUUGAUUCAGUGCCCAGUGUUAGUUCCUAUUUGUUGCAUGUUUUUUGUUUCGCAGAAAAUCCAUAUCAAAUGGAGUCCAAACGGGAUAAAAACUGAUGGAGAUUUUUUUGGAAUAUAUGUGAUUUUUGGGAAGAAGAAUCAACGCGAGACGAUGCCCGAGGGGGCCACGAGGCAGGGGGCGUGCCCUGGGCCCUCGUGGACACCCCAUAAGGCGGUUGGUGCCCUUCUUUCGCCGCAAGAAAGCCAAUAUCUGGAUAGAAAUCGUGUUAAAAUUUCAGCCCAAUCGGAGUUACGGAUCUCCGGGAAUAUAAGAAAUGGUGAAAGGCCAGAAUCAAAAGCGUAGAAACAGAGAGAGACAGAUCCAAUCUCGGAGGGGCUCUCGCCCCUCCGCCGCCAUGGAGGCCAUGGACCAGAGGGGAAACCCUUCUCCCAUCUCGGGAGAAGGUCAAGGAAGAAGAAGAAGAAGGGGGGCCCUCUCCCCCUCUCUCCCGGUGGCGCCGGAAUGUCGCCGGGGCCAUCAUCGUGUGACGGCGAUCUACACCAACACCUCCGUCAUCUUCACCAACAUAUCCAUCACCUUCCCCCAUCUAUCUAUAGCGGUCCACUCUCCCGCAACCCGCUGUACCCUCUACUUGAACAUGGUGCUUUAUGCUUCAUAUUAUUAUCCAAUGAUGUGUUGCCAUCCUAUGAUGUCUGAGUAGAUUUUCGUUGUCCUAUCGGUAAUUGGUGAAUUUCUAUGAUUGGUUUAAUUUGCUUGUGGUUAUGUUGCUGUCCUUUGGUGCCCAUCAUAUGAGUGUGCGCAUGGAUCACACCAUGGGGUUAGUUGUAUGUUGAUAGGACUAUGUAUUGGAGGGCAAGAGUGACAGAAGCUUCAACCUAGCAUAGAAAUUGAUGCAUACAGGAUUGAAGGGGGACAAAUAUAUCUUAAUGCUAUGGUUGGGUUUUACCUUAAUGAACAUUAGUAGUUUCGGAUGCUUGCUAAUAGUUCCAAUCAUAAGUGCAUAGAAUUCCAAGUCAAGGAUGACAUGCUAGCGGUGGCCUACAUAAAACUUGCUAUCGGUCUAGUAACGUAGUCAAUUGCUUAGGGACAAUUUCGCAACUCCUACCACCACUUUUCUACACUCGCUAUGCUAACUUUAUUGCUUAUUUACCUAAAACAUCCCCUAGUUUAUAUUUACAUGCUCUUUAUUAUCUUGCAAACCUAUCCCGUUACACCUACAAAGUACUUCUAGUUUCAUACUUGUUCUAGGUAAAGCGAACGUUAAGCGUGCGUAGAGUUGUAUCGGUGGUCGAUAGAACUUGAGGGAAUAUUUGUUCUACCUUUAGAUCCUAUUUUGGUUCAACACUCUUACUUAUCGAAAGAGGCUACAAUUGAUCCCCUAUACUUUUGGGUUAUCAAGACCUUUUUCUGGCGCCGUUGCCGGGGAACAAUAGCAUGGGGUGAAUAUUCUCGUGUGUGCUUGUUUGCUUUAUCAGUAAGUGGAUUUUAUUUGCCUUUCUAAGUUAUUCUCUAUCUUUAGUUAUGGAUAUGGAACGCGAAAUACCAAAAAAAAUAGUUGUACCUACUACACCAAUGGUUUAAGAACCACUCAAAAUCUAUCACACUCCUGAAGCUUUUUACUUGGAUCAUCUUCGAUCCCUAUGUGCUCGUGCUGAAACCCCAACUAGCUUAGUUGAGGGCAAAUCUUUAGAUGAGCAUGCUUGUUAUGUGCGACACCGCUUAUCUCAAAAAGGGAAAGUUUUACUGGAUCAAAUUCAUCGUUUGCAAUGCUAUGCUUGGAAUUUAUGUGAGAUAUAUGAUUUUACUUGUUGUUCUGAAGACCCUAAGAAACACCUUCCCUACCAAUGUGAGUUUAAUGAAAAUGGAAUCGUAUCUUCAUAUGUUAAGGGUGUUUAUAAUUACUAUGAUGUUCAACAAAUUGAAGAAUUUGUUGCUUUUAAGGGUGCUUAUGAAAUUGCUUCUUUGAUUGGGAAGUAUGAUGCUACUCUUUACAAAUCUGAAAUUUUUUCCAUACUUAAAUAUUGUUAUGAUAAUUAUGCUUAUAAUGCCUAUGUUAAACCAUAUAUUGAGGACUCCUCCGCUGUCCAAGAAGAGACUAAUAUUUUGCAGGAGUCUAUGGAAUAAGGAAUUGAUGAAACUGUGGGCUCAUUGGAUGAAAAAGAUGAUGAGGAGAGCGAAGAACAAAAGGAGGAAGAAUGGAUUAGCUACCCGUGCCCACCUUAUAAUGAGAGUAACUCGUCAACUCAUAAAUUGUUUAAUUUCCCUUCGAAUUUACCGAAGGAUGAAUGCUAUGAUGAUUGUUAUGAUCCCGUUGAUUCUUUUGAAAUAUCCCUUUUUGAUGAUGCUUGCUAUGCUUGUGGCCGAGAUGCCAAUAUGAAUUAUGCUUAUGGAGAUGAACUUGCUAUAGUUCCUUAUAUUAAACAUGAAAUGUUUGCUAUUGCACUUACGCAUGAUAGUCCUAUUAUCUUUCUGAAUUCUCUCGACUACACUAUAUCGGAGAAGUUUGCCCUUAUUAAGGAUUAUAUUGAUGGGUUGCAUUUUACCAUUGCACAUAAUAAUUUUGAUGAAUAUAAUAUGCAUGUGCUUUCUGGUCCUACUUGCAAUUAUUAUGAGAGAGGAACUACGUCUCCGCCUCUCCAUGUUUCCAAUAUGAUAAAAUUGCAAGAAAUUGUUUAUACUAUGUGUUGGCCUUUACUAUGUGUGCAUGAAUUGUUCUUUUAUGACAUGUCAAUGCAUAGGAAGAGAGUUAGACUUUGUUGUUGCAUGAUAUAUGUUAAUUUGUGCUCACUACUAAAUCACAAAUCAUUGUUAAUUAAAAUUGGCUUUGAUAUACCUUGGGAUCCGGGUGGAUCCAUUACUUGAGCACUAUAUGCCUAGCUUAAUGACUUUAAAGAAAACGCUGCCAGGGAGACAACCCGGAAGUUUUAGAGAGUCAUUUAUUUUUGUUGUGUGCUUUUAUAAAGUUUUAAAACAAAAAUAAUGUGCCAAGAUUUGGCUUUAGGAUGUUUACAUUGCUUGUUGGUUUGUGCGGUGCAAAACAGAAACUUUGUCUGUAGUACGUGAUUUUACAUUUUUUACUGGAACGUCAAAUGGUUCUGAAACUUUUUGCACUGUAUUUCUAUACAAAUUGUUUAUUUUUACUAAUUUUGUCGGAAUUUUUGGAGUAUCAUAAGUAUGGUGAAUGUUCAGAUUACUACAGACUGUCCUGUUUAAGAAAGAUUCUGUUUUUGAUGCAUUGUUUGCUUGUUUUGAUGAGACUAUCGAUUUCUAUCCGUGGAUUAAGCCAUGGAAAAGUUAUAUUACAGUAGAUACAAUUCAAAAACAAAAUAUGAAUUGGUUUUCAACAUUAUUUAGAGUAGUGAUUGGCUUUAUUAUACUAACGGAUCUUACCGAGCUUUCUGUUGAGUUUUGUGUGGAUGAAGUGAUCAAAGAUCGAGGAGGUCUAGAUAUGAGGAGAAGGAGGAGAGGCAUGAGCUCAAGAUUGGGGACACCCUAGGCACCCCAAGUAAAUAUUUAAGGAUACUCAAGCGUCUAAGCUUGGGGGUGCCCCGGAAGGCAUCCCGUCUUUCUUCAACAAGUAUCAGUAUGUUUUAGGAUUCGUUUCGUUCAUGCGAUAUGUGCAAAUCUUGGAGCGUCUUUUGCAUUUAGGUUUCACUUUUAUUUGAUGCACCAUGCUGGUAUGAGAUAGUCCAUAGUUGAUUUAUAGAAUUAUCUUUGCACUUCACUUAUAUCUUUUGAGUAUGGCUUUAUAGAAUGCUUCAUGUGCUUCACUUAUAUCAUUUGAAGUUUGGAUUGCCUGUUUCUCUUCACAUAGAAAACCGCCAUUUGUAGAAUGCUCUUUUCCUUCACUUAUAUUUGUUAGAGCAUGGGCAUAUAUUUUGUAGAAAUAAUUAAACUCUCUUGCUUCACUUAUAUCUAUUUAGAGAGAUGACAGGAAUUGGUCAUUCACAUGGUUAGUCAUUAAAUCCUACAUAAAACUUGUAGAUCACUGAAUAUGAUAUGUUUGAUUCCUUGCAAUAGUUUUGUGAUAUAAAGAUGGUGAUAUUAGAGUCAUGAUAGUGGGUAGUUGUGGAUUGUAGAAAUACUUGUGUUGAUGUUUGUGAUUCCCGUAGCAUGCACGUAUGGUCAAUCGUUAUGUAACGAAGUUGGAGCAUGAGGUAUUUAUUGAUUGUAUUCCCUAUGAGUGGCGGUCGGGGACGAGCGAUGGUCUUUUCCUACCAAUCUAUCCCCCUAGGAGCAUGCGCGUAGUACUUUGUUUCGAUGACUAAUAGAUUUUUGCAAUAAGUAUGUGAGUUCUUUAUGACUAAUGUUGAGUCCAUGGAUUAUACGCACUCUCACCCUUCCAUCAUUGCUAGCCUCUUUGGUACCAUGCAUUGCCCUUAGAGAGUUGGUGAAAACUUUGUCGGUGCAUCCAAAACCCGUGAUACGAUACGCUCUAUCACACAUAAGCCUCCUUAUAUCUUCCUCAAAACAUCCACCAUACCUACCUAUCAUGGCAUUUCCGUAGCCAUUCCGAGAUAUAUUGCCAUGCAACUUCCAUCAUCAUAUACAUGACUUGAGCAUCAUUGUCAUAUUACUUUGCAUGAUAGUAAGAUAGCUAGCAUGAUGUUUUCAUGGCUUGUCCGUUUUUUGAUGUCAUUGAUAUGCUAGAUCAUUGCACAUCCCGGUACACCGCCAGAGGCAUUCAUAUAGAGUCGUAUCUUUGUUCUAGUAUCGAGUUGUAAUAUUGACUUGUAAGUAAAUAAAAGUAUGAUGAUCAUCAUUAUUAGAACAUUGUCCCAUGUGAGGUUAUCAAAAUAAAAGUGGCCAAAGAAGCCCCAAAAAAGAGAGAGGCCAAAGAAGCCUAAAAAGAGAAAAAAAAUAAAAAAAUGAGUGAAAAGAGAGAAGGGACAAUGUUACUAUCCUUUUACCACACUUGUGCUUCAGAGUAGCACCAUGUUCUUCAUAUAGAGAGUCUCUUGAGUUAUCACUUCAAUAUACUAGUGGGAAUUUUCAUUAUAGAACUUGGCUUGUAUAUUCCAACGAUGGGCUUCCUCAAAUGCCCUAGGUCUUCAUGAGCAAGCAAGUUGGAUGCACACCCACUUAGUUUCAGUUUGAGCUUUCAUACACUUAUAGCUCUUAGAGCAUCCUUUGCAUGGCAAUCCCUACUCCUCGCAUUGACAUCAAUUGAUGGGCAUCUCCAUAGCCCAUCGAUUAGCCGCAUCGAUGUGAGACUUUCUCCUUUUUGUCUUCUACACACAACCUCCACCAUCAUAUUCUAUUCCACCUAUAGUAUUAUGUACAUGGCUCACGCUCAUGUAUUGCGUGAAAGUUGAAAAGGUUUGAGAAUGUUAAAAGUAUGAAACAAUUGAUUGGCUUGUCAUCAGGGUUGUGCAUGAUUUGAAUAUUUUGUGUGGUGAAGAUGGAGCAUAGCCAGACCAUAUGAUUUUGUAGCGAUAGCUUUCUUUGGCCAUGUUAUUUUGGAAAGACAUGAUUGCUUUAUUAGUAUGCUUGAAGUAUUAUUGUAUUAAUGUCAAAAGAUAGACUAUUGCUUUGAAUCACUCGUGUCUUAAUAUUCAUGCCAUGAUUAGAUUACAUGAUCGAGAUUAUGCUAGGUAGCAUUCCACAUCAAAAAUUAUCUUUUUUUAUCAUUUACAUACUCGAGGACGAGCAGGAAUUAAGCUUGGGGAUGCUGAUACGUCUCCGUCGUAUCUAUAAUUUUUGAUUGUUCCAUGCCAAUAUUAUACAACUUUCAUAUACUUUUGGAAACUUUUUAUACUAUUUUGGGGGACUAACAUAUUGAUCCAGUACCCAGUGCCAGUUCCUGUUUAUUGCGUGUUUUUUGUUUCGCAGAAAAUCCAUAUCAAACAGAGUCCAAACGGGAUAAAAACUGAUGGAGAUUUUUUUGGAAUAUAUGUGAUUUUUGGGAAGAAGAAUCAACGCAAUACGAAUCCCAAGGGGGCCAUGAGGCAGGGGCGCGCCCCAAGGGGUUAGGCGUGCCAUGGGCCCUCGUGGCCACCCCGUAAGGCGGUUGGUGCCCUUCUUUCGCCGCAAGAAAGCCAAUAUCCAGAUAUAAAUUGUGUUAAAAUUUCAGCCCAAUAGGAGUUACGGAUCUCCGGGAAUAUAAGAAACGGUGAAAGGCCAGGAUCAAAAGCGUAGAAACAGAUAGACAAAGAGACAGAUCCAAUCUCGGAGGGGCUCUCGCCCCUCCGCCGCCAUGGAGGCCAUGUACCAGAGGGGAAACCCUUCUCCCAUCUAGGGAGAAGGUCAAGGAAGAAGAAGAAGAAGGGGGCCCUCUCCCCCUCUCUCCCGGUGGCGCCGGAACGCCACCGGGGCCAUCAUCGUGUGUCGGCGAUCUACACCAACACCUCCAUCAUCUUCACCAACAUCUCCAUCACCUUCCCCAUCUAUCUAUAGCGGUCCACUCUCCCGCAACCCGCUGUACCCUCUACUUGAACAUGGUGCUUUAUGCUUCAUAUUAUUAUCCAAUGAUGUGUUGCCAUCCUAUGAUGUCUGAGUAGAUUUUUGUUGUCCUGUCAGUAAUUGGUGAAUUGCUACAAUUGGUUUAAUUUGCUUGUGGUUAUGUUGUUGUCCUUUGGUGCCCAUCAUAUGAGCGCGCGCGUGGAUCACACCAUAGGGUUAGUUGUAUGUUGAUAGGACUAUGUAUUGGAGGGCAAUAGUGAUAGAAGCUUCAAUCUAGCAAGAAAUUGAUGCAUACGGGAUUGAAGGGGGACCAAUAUAUCUUAAUGCUAUGGUUGGGUUUUACCUUAAUGAACGUUAGUAGUUGCAGAUGCUUGCUAAUGGUUCCAAUCAUAAGUGCAUAGAAUUCCAAGUCAGGGAUGACAUGCUAGCAGUGGCCUCUCCCACAUAAAACUUGCUAUCGGUCUAGUAACGUAGUCAAUUGCUUAGGGACAAUUUCGCAACUCCUACCACCACUUUUCCACACUCGCUAUACUAAAUUUAUUGCUUCUUUACCUAAAGCAGCCCCUAGUUUUUAUUUACAUGCUCUUUAUUAUCUUGCAAACCUAUCCCGUUACACCUACAAAGUACUUUUAGUUUCAUACUUGUUCUAGGUAAAGCGAACGUUAAGCGUGCGUAGAGUUGUAUCGGUGGUCGAUAGAACUUUAGGGAAUAUUUGUUCUACCUUUAGCUCCUCGUUGGGUUCGACACUCUUACUUAUCGAAAGAGGCUACAAUUGAUCCCCUAUACUUGUGGUUUAUCAGAAUUGUGUUUUGUCGACUCCCCUAGGGUUUUUGUAACAUUUGGGUAUUUAUAGAGUUGAGAGGCGGUGGAAAGGACUCCCGUGGGCCCCACCAUCCACCUAGGCACUCCAGGGGCCUCUGGCGCGCCCUGGUGGGUCGUGGGCCCCACAGGCCUCCCAUCUGUACUUCAUUGGCUCCCAAGCUUUCUUUUGGCCAGAAAAAAAUCUCCAAAAAAAUUUGUGGCAUUUGGACUUUGUUUGUACUGAUAUUCUGUGAAGUAAAAAAUAGCAACUCGCACUUGGCACUAUGUCAAUAGGUUAGUCCCAAAAAUUGAUAUAAAGUUGCUAUAAAAUGAAUGUAAAACAUUCAAAAAUGAUAAUAUUGAAGGAAAUAUGCCCUAGAGGCAAUAAUAAAGUUGUUAUUUUAUAUUUCCUUAUAUCAUGGUAAAUGUUUAUUUUUCAUGCUAGAAUUAUAUUAACCGGAAACUUGAUACAUGUGUGGAUACAUAGACAAAACACCGUGUCCCUAGUAAGCCUCUACUAGACUAGCCCGUUAAUCAAAUAUGGUUAAGUUUCCUAACCAUAGACAUGUGCUAUUAUUUGAUGAACGGGGUCACAUCAUUAGGAGAAUGAUGUGAUGGACAAGACCCAUCCGUUAGCUUAGCAUAUUGAUCGUUCAGUUUUGUUUCUAUUGCUUUCUUCAUGUCAAAUACAUAUUCCUUCGACUAUGAGAUUAUGCAACCCCUGGAUACCGGAGGAAUGCCCUGUGUGCUAUCAAAUGUCACAACGUAACUGGGUGAUUAUAAAGAUGCUCUACAGGUAUCUCCGAAGGUGUUUGUUGGGUUGGCAUAGAUCAACAUUAGGAUUUGUCACUUCGAGUAUCAGAGAGGUAUCUCUGGGCCCUCUCGGUAAUGCACAUCAUAAGAAGCCUUGCAUGCAAAGUGGCUAAUGAGUUAGUUACAAGAUGAUGUAUUACGGAAUGAGUAAAGAGACUUGCCGGUAACGAGAUUGGACUAGGUAUGAAGAUACCGACGAUCGAAUCUCGGGCAAUUAACAUACCGAUGACAAAGGGAAUAACAUAUGUUAUCAUGACGGUUCGACCGAUAAAGAUCUUCGUAGAAUAUGUAGGAGCCAAUAUGAGCAUCCAGGUUCCGCUGUUGGUUAUUGGCCGGAGACGUGUCUCGGUCAUGUCUACAUAGUUCUCGAACCCGUAGGGUCCGCAUGCUUAACGUUCGAUGAUGAUUUUGUAUUAUAUGAGUUAUUUGAUUUGGUGACCGAAUGUUGUUCGGAGUCCUAGAUGAGAUCAUGGACAUGACGAGGAGUCUCGAAAUGGUUGAGAGGUAAAGAUUUAUAUAUAGGAAGAUAGUAUUCGGACACCGGAAGUGUUCCAGAGGGUAUUGGGUACAUAUUGGGUCGCCGAAAGGGGUUUCGGGCACCCCAGGCAAAAGAUACGGGCCUAAUGGGCCAAGAGGGGAAACGCAGGAGCCAGCACGGGCUGUUGCGCCCCCCAUAUGGGCCGCACCAGGAGGAGAAGGAAAGAGGGGAAGAGAGAAGGAAGGGGAGGGAUUCGGCCUCCCCCUUCCUUCCCUCCUCCAUCCUCCUUCCUUUCCCCUCCAGAAAACAUGGUAACGGGGGCCGAAUUGGACUAGGCCCCCAAGUAGGAUUCUCCUACUUGGGGCGCCCCAAGGCUGUCCCCCUCCCCCUCCCCCUCCCACCUAUAUAUACGUGGGGAGGGGGCGCCUAGAACACACAACAACAUCUGUUAGUCAUGUGCGGCGCCCCCCCCCCUCCAUAGAUUACACCCUCGGUCAUAUUCUCGCGGUGCUUAGGCAAAGCCCUACGCGGAUCACUUCACCAUCACCGUCACCACGCCGUCGUGCUGACGGAACUCAUAUACUUCCUCGACACUCUACUGGAUAAAGAUUUCAAGGGACGCCAUCGAGCUGAACGUGUGCCGAACUCAGAGGUGUUGUACGUUCGGUGUUUGAUCGGUCGGAACGAGAAGAAGUUCGACUACAUCAACCGCGUUGUCAAAUGCUUCCACUUUCGGUAUACGAGGGUACGUAGACACACUCUCCCCCUCUCGUUGCUAUGCAUUGAUACGUCUCCAACGUAUCUAUAAUUUUUUAUUGUUCCAUGCUGUUAUAUUAUCUAUUUUGGAUGUUUAAUGGGCUUUAAUAUACCUUUUUGUAUUGUUUUUGGGACUAACCUACUAACCAAAGGACCAGUGCAAAUUGUUGUUUUUGCCUAUUUCAAUGUUUCGCAGAAAAGGAAUAUCAAACGGAAUCCAAACGGAAUGAAACCUUCGGGAGUGUUAUUUUUGGAACAAACGUGAUCCAGGAGACUUGGAGUGGACGUCAAGAAAGAAGCGAGGAGGCCACGAGGCAGGAGGGCACGCCUAAGGGAGUAGGCGUGCCCCCCACCCUCGUGGGCCCCUCGCAGCUCCACCGACGUACUUCUUCCUCCUAUAUAUACCCAUAUACCCUGAAAACAUCCAGGAGCACCACGAAACCCUAUUUCCACCGCCGCAACCUUCUGUACUCGUGAGAUCCCAUCUUGGGGCCUUUUCCGGUGCUCCGCUGGAGGGGGAAUCGAUCACGGCGGGCUUCUACAUCAACACCAUAGCCUCUCCGAUGAUGUGUGAGUAGUUUACCCCAAACCUUCGGGUCCAUAGUUAUUAGCUAGAUGGCUUCUUCUCUCUCUCUCUGGAUCUCAAUACAAAGUUCUCCUCGAUUCUCUUGGAUAUCUAUUCGAUGUAAUUCUUUUUGCGGUGUGUUUGUCAAGAUCCGAUGAAUUGUGGGUUUAUGAUUAAGAUUAUCUAUGAACAAUAUUUGAUUCUUCUCUGAAUUCUUUUAUGCAUGAUUUAAAUAUCUUUGCAAGUCUCUUCGAAUUAUCAGUUUGGUUUGGCCUACUAGAUUGAUCUUUCAUGCAAUGGGAGAAGUGCUUAGCUUUGGGUUCAAUCUUGCGGUGUCCUUUCCCAGUGAUAGUAGGGGCAGCAAGGCAUGUAUUGUAUUGUUGCCAUCGAGGAUAAAAAUAUGGGGUUUAUACCAUAUUGCUUGAGUUUAUCCCUCUACAUCAUGUCAUCUUGCCUAAUGUGUUACUCUGUUCUUAUGAACUUAAUACUCUAGAUGCAUGCUGGAUAGCGGUCGAUGUGUGGAGUAAUAGUAGUAGAUGCAGAAUCGUUUUGGUCUACUUGUUGCAGACGUGAUGCAUAUAUACAUUAUCAUGCCUAGAUAUUCUCAUAAUUAUUUGCUUUUCUAUCAAUUGCUCGAUAGUAUUUUGUUCACCCACCGUAGAAUUUGCUAUCUUGAGAGAAGCCACUAGUGAAACCUAUGGCCCCCAGGUCUAUUCUCCAUUAUAUUAAUCUCCCAUCAACUAGUUAUUUCUGGUGCCGUUUAUUUUGCUAUCUUUAUUUUCCAAACUAUACAACAAAAAUACCAAAAAUAUUUAUCUUAUUAUCUCUAUCAGAUCUCACUUUCGUAAGUGAUCGUGAAGGGAUUGACAACCCCUUUAUCGUGUUGGUUGAGAGGUUCUUGUUUGUUUGUGCAGGUACGAGGGACUUGCGUGUAAUCUCCUACUGGAUUGAUACCUUGGUUCUCAAAAACUGAGGGAAAUACUUACGCUACUUUGUUGCAUCACCCUUUCCUCUUCAAGGUAAAACCAACGCAUGCUAAUCUUCCAGAUAAGAUAGUGAUUGACAUAGUUCUCUAGUCACCAUCACCAAGCUACUAGAACUUCGUGAUGAACUAUAAUAUGAAAGGGAUGAAGAAAACGAUUCCCGAGCUCUUCGCGAUGCUGAAAUCGGCGAAGGUAGAAAUCAAGAAAGAGCAUCAAGUGUUGAUGGUUAAUAAGACCACUAGUUUCAAGAAAAAGGGCAAGGGAAAGAAAUGGAACUUCAAGAAGAAUGGCAAGCAAGUUGCUACUCCCAUGAAGAAGCCCAAAGCUAGACCCAAGCCUGAAACUGAGUGUUUCUACUGCAAAGGGACUGGUCACUGAAAGCGGAACUACCCCAAGUAUUUUUGGCGGAUAAGAAGGAUGACAAAGUGAACAAAGGUAUAUUUGAUAUACAUGUUAUUGAUGUGUACCUUACUAAUGCUUGUAGUAGCGCCUGAGUAUUUGAUACCGGUUCCGUUGCUCAUAUUUGUAACUCGAAACAUGGGCUACAGAUUAAAUGAAGAUUGGCUAAGGAGGAGGUGAUGAUGUGCGUCAGGAAUGGUUCCAAUGUCGAUGUGAUCGCCGUCGGCAUGCUACCUCUACAUCUACCUUCGGGAUUAGUUUUGGACCUGAAUAAUUGUUAUUUGGUGCCAGCGUUGAGCAUGAACAUUAUAUCUGGAUCUUCUUUAAUGCGAGAUGGUUAUUCAUUUAAAUCAGAGAAUAAUGGUUGUUCUAUUUAUAUGAGUAAUAUCUUUUAUGGUCAUGCACCCUUGAAGAGUGGUCUAUUUUUGUUGAAUCUCGAUUGUGGUGAUACACAUAUUCAUAAUAUUGAUACCAAUAGAUGAAAAGUUGAUAAUGAUAGUGCAACAUAUUUGUGGCACUGCCGUUCAGGUCAUAUUGGUGUAAAGCGCAUGAGGAAACUCCAUGCAGAUGGGCUUUUGGAAUCACUUGAUUAUGAAUCAUUUGAUACUUGCGAACCAUGCCUCAUGGGCAAGAUGACUAAAACUUCAUUCUCCGGAACAAUGGAGCGAGCCAAUGACUUAUUGGAAAUAAUACAUAUUGAUGUAUGCGGUCCAAUGAGUGUUGAGGCACGUGGCGGGUAUUGUUAUUUUCUAACCUUCACAGAUGAUUUCAGCAGAUAUGGGUAUAUCUACUUAAUGAAACACAUGUCUGAAACAUUUGAAAAGUUCAAAGAAUUUCAGAGUGAAGUGGAGAAUCAUCGUAACAAGAAAAUAAAGUUUCUACGAUCUGAUCGCGGAGGAGAAUAUUUGAGUUACGAGUUUAGCCUUCAUUUAAAAUAAUGUGGAAUAGUUUCACAACUCACGCCACCUGGAACACCAUAGCGUAAUGGUGUGUCUCAACGUCGUAGCUGUACUUUAUUAGAUAUGGUGCGAUCUAUGAUGUCUCUUACCGAUUUGUCACUAUCAUUUUGGGGUUAUGCAUUAGAGACAGCUGCAUUCAUGUUAAAUAGGGCACCGUCUAAAUCCACUGAGACGACACCGUAUGAACUGUGGUUUGGCAAGAAACCUAAGCUGUCAUUUCUUAAAGUUUGGGGUUGCGACACUUAUGUCAAAAGCUUCAGUCUGAUAAGCUCGAACCCAAAUCGGGGAACUGCGUCUUCAUAGGAUACCCUAAGGAAUCAACUAGGUACACCUUCUACCACAGAUCCGAAGGCAAGAUCUUUGUUGCCAAGAAUGGAUCCUUUCUAGAGAAGGAGUUUCUCUCGAAAGAAAUGAGUGGGGGGGAGUAGAACUUGAUGAGUUAGUUGUACCUUCUCUCGAAUUGGAGAGUAGCACAUCAGAGAAAUACGUUCUAGUGAUGCCUACAACAACAAGAGAGGAAGCUAAUGAUGAUCAGAUGAUGAUCAUGAAACUUCGGAUCAAUUUACUACUGGACCUCGUAGGUCGAGCAGAGCACAUUCCGCACCAGAGUGGUAAGGUAAUCCUGUCCUGGAAGUAAUGUUACUAGACCAUGACGAACCAAAAAAACUAUGAAGAAGCAAUGAUGAGCCCAGAUUCUGACAAAUGGCUUAAGGCCAUGAAAUCUAAGAUAGGAUCCAUGUAUGAGAACAAAGUAUAGACUUUGGUGGACUUGCCCGAUGACCGGCAAGCCAUAGAGAAUAAAUGGAUCCUCAAGAAGGAGAUUGACGUUGAUGGUAAUGUUACUAUCUACAAAGCUCGACUUGUCACAAAAAGGUUUUUGACAAGUUCAAGGUGUUGACUAUGAUGAGAUUUUCUCACUCGUAGCGAUGCUUAAAUCUGUCUGAAUCAUGUUAGCAAUUGCCGCAUUUUAUGAAAUCUGGCAAAUGGAUGUCAAAACUGCAUUCCUUAAUGGAUUUCUUAAAGAAGAGUUGUAUAUGAUGCAACCAAAAGUUUUUGUCGAUCCUAACGGUGCUAACAAAGUGUGCAAACUCCAGCGAUCCAUCUAUGGACUGGUGCAAGCAUCUCGAAGUUGGAAUAUACGCUUUGAUAAGGUGAUCAAAGCAUAUGGUUUUAUACAGACUUAUGAUGAAGCCUGUAUUUACAAGAAAGUGAGUGGGAGCUCUGUAGCAUUUCUAAUAUUAUAUGUGGAUGACAUAUUGCUGAUGGAAAUGAUAUAGAAUUUCUGGAUAGCAUAAAAUUAUACUUGAAUAAGAAUUUUUCAAUGGAUGACCUCGGUGAAUCUGCUUACAUAUUGGGCAUCAAGAUCUAUAGAGAUACAUCAAGACGCUUGAGAAGAUUUUCAAUGAAUACAUACCUUGACAAGAUUUUGAAGGAGUUCAAAAUGGAUCAGUCAAAGAAUGACUUCUAGCAUGUAUUGUAAGGUGUGAAGUUGAGUAAGACUCAAAACCUGACCAUGGCAGAAGAUAAAGAGAGAAUGAAAGUCAUUCCCUAUGCCUCAGCCAUAGGUUCUAUAAAGUAUGUCCAAACCUGUUGUGUGCCUUGUCAUGAUUUUGGCAAGGGGUACAAUAGUGAUCCAGGAGUAGAUCACUGGACAACAAUUAAAAUCAUCCUUAGGUACCUAAAAAGGACUAAGGAAAUGAUUCUCGGUAAUGGAGGUGAUAAAGAGUUCGUCGUAAAGAGUUACAUCGAUGCAAACUUUGACACUGAUCUGCAUGACUCUAGGUCUCAAUCUAGAUAUGUAUUGAACAUGGGAGCAAUUAGCUAGAGUAGCUCCAUGCAGAGCAUUGUAGACAUAGAAAUUUGCAAAAUACAUACGGAUCUGAAUGUGGCAGGCCCGUUGACUAAACUUCUCUCACAAACAAAAUAUGAUCACACCUUAGUACUCUUUGAGUGUUAAUCACAUAGCGAUGUGAACUAGAUUAUUGACUCUAGUAAACCCUUUGGGUGUUGGUCACAUGGCGAUGUGAACUAUGGGUAUUGGUCACAUGGCGAUGUGAACUAUGGGUGUUAAUCACAUAAAGAUGCGAACUAUUGGUGUUAAAUCAUAUGGCAAUGUGAACAAGAUUAUUGACUCUAGUGCAAGAGGGAGACUGAAGGAAAUAUGCCCUAGAGGCAAUAAUAAAGUUAUUAUUUUUUAUUUCCUUAUAUCAUGAUAAAUGUUUAUUAUUCAUGCUAGAAUUGUAUUAAUCAGAAACUUGAUACAUGUGUGGAUACAUAGACAAAACACCGUUCCCUAGUAAGCCUCUACUAGACUAGCUCGUUAAUCAAAGAUGGUUAAGUUUCCUAACCAUAGACAUGUGUUGUCAUUUGAUGAAUGGGAUCACAUCAUUAGGAGAAUGAUGUGAUGAACAAGACCCAUCCGUUAGCUUAGCAUAUUGAUCGUUCAGUUUUAUUGCUAUUGCUUUCUUCAUGUCAAAUACAUAUUCCUUCGACUAUGAGAUUAUGCAACUCCCGGAUACCGGAGGAAUGCCUUGUGUGCUAUCAAAUGUCACAAUGUAACUGGGUGAUUAUAAAGAUGCUCUACAGGUAUCUCCGAAGGUGUUUGUUGGGUUGGCAUAGAUCGAGAUUAGGAUUUGUCACUCCGAGUAUCGGAGAGGUAUCUCUGGGCCCUCUCGGUAAUGCACAUCAUAAGAAGCCUUGCAAGCAAAGUGACUAAUGAGUUAGUUACAUAAUGGUGUAUUAUGGAAUGAGUAAAGAGACCUGUCGGUAACGAUAUUGAACUAGGUAUGAAGAUACCGACGAUCGAAUCUCGGGCAAGUAACACACCAAUGACAAAGGGAAUAACGUAUGUUGUCAUAACGGUUCGACCGAUAAAGAUCUUCGUAGAAUAUGUAGGAGCCAAUAUGAGCAUCCAGGUUCCGCUGUUAGUUAUUGACUGGAGAGGUGUCCCAGUCAUGUCUACAUAGUUCUCAAACCCGUAGGGUCCGCACGCUUAACGUUCGAUGACGAUUUUGUAUUAUAUGAGUUAUGUGAUUUGGUGACCAGAUGUUGUUCGGAGUCCCGGAUGAGAUCACGGACAUGACGAGGAGUCUCAAAAUGAUCGAGAGGUAAAGAUUUAUAUAUAGGACGAUAGUAUUCGGACACGAAAAGUGUUCCGGAGGGUAUCGGGUACACAUCGGGUCAUUGGAAGGGGUUCCGGGCAUCCCCGGCAAAAGAUAUGAGCCUAAUGGGCCAAGAGGGAAAACGGAGCAGCCAGUAGGGGCUGUUGCGCCCCCCAUAUGGGCCGCACUAGAGGAGAAGGAAAGAGGGGAAGAGAGAAGGAAGGGGAGGGAUUCGGCCUCCCCCUUCCUUCCCUCCUCCUUCCUCCUUCCUUUCCCCUCCGAAAACAUGGUAAGGGGGGCGAAUUGGACUAGGCCCCCAAGUAGGAUUCCUCCUACUUGGGGUGCCCCAAGGUUGUCCCCCUCCCCCUUCCCCUCCCACCUAUAUAUACGUGUGGAGGGGACGCCUAGAACACACAACAACAUCGGUUAGCCAUGUGCGGCGCCCCCUCCAUAGAUUACACCCUCGGUCAUAUUCUCGCGGUGCUUAGGCGAAGCCCUGCGCGGAUCACUUCACCAUCACCGUCACCACGUCGUCGUGCUGACGGAACUCAUCUAUUUCCUCGACACUUUGCUGAAUCAAGAGUUCAAGGGAUGUCAUUGAGCUGAACGUGUACAGAACUCGGAGGUGUCGUACGUUCGGUGCUUGAUCGGUCAGAAUGAGAAGAAGUUCGACUACAUCAACCGCGUUGUCAAACGAUUCCGCUUUCGGUCUACGAGGGUACGUAGACACACUCUCCCCCUCUCAUUGCUAUGCAUCUCCUAGAUAGAUCUUGCGUGAGCGUAGCAAAACUUUUGAAAUUGCAUACUACGUUUACCAACAAAUAUAACAACAUGGAACAAACAAAAAUUAUAGAUACAUUGGAGACGUAUCUGAAUACCAGCACUAACAUGGAAAAUUUUCAAAGAAGUAAGGUAGAAUGUGGACUUCACCUGCCUCCUCUUAAAGUGCAAACCAGUAAACUUAUCCAUCCAUAAUUAACUCAGGAAAUUGCCUAAAAUAUGGUUUUUAGAUUGUUGAAAAAUUAGGCAAGUUAAUGAGUAAUUCCAACAAAUAAUUCAUGACUAAAACAGGAAGUAGCAUGCAUGUAUCAAACAUCCUAGACAUACCAACAUGAACAUCAUCAUCGAACAUGCAACAUCAACCACAGUAAGACAUUGGAUCAGAUUAGGCGCACAUACUGACCGUUUGAAGGUGCCUCCGUUGCUGCUCGUACGAUGUUGACGAUGUUAGUGAUGACUUGAUGCAAAUGGCGUUGAAGACGAUGAUGAGUAGCGCCGCCUGACUUGGAAGGAAGACAUCCCAUGGUGAUAGACGAUGAGCAGUCGUGCAAAGCACUUGCCAAAAACCUUAUUCACCUUCACCUGGUGCAGGAUCACAAGAGCGAGAGAUUUCAGAGACCUGCUCUCCUGCUCGCCAUUGCACGCCGGCGUUCGGGAUGGAGUAGACUACAACAGCAACGCAAGUGGAGAGAGGAGACAAAACCCUAGCUCGAUUUUUGGUGUGUCCUUGGCCGUAGCCGGUAAGCGCUAUAUAUAGUAGGACAUAGUGGUCCGGGCGAUGUACUGCGAGCACACCAUCAAGAUGUUCAAAGACGGUCGUUUUGCAGGGGCUUCAAUAUUUUUCUUGCGAGACUCGGGGACUUCAAUAUAGUUGUCUUUUUAAUCUGUGUGUGUUGCUGGUUUGGUCAUUUAUUUUAUGGAAAAGUCAUAUAUUGUACUCCCUCUGUAAACAAAUAUAAGAAAUUAAUGAUCUAAACGCUCUUAUAUUUUUUUAUGAAGGGAGUAGUCAAUUAAAAAAUGAGUUAAAAGAUUAUAACUGAAAGCCCAAGCUCUGCGGAAUUCCCCAUUAAUGGAGUCGCAACAGGCAGACGGUACAUGUCAGGUACACCGACAGAGGCGACCACUGAUCUGGUAGAACGUCGCAUGCGCCGUCAGGUGCACGGCCGCGCUCCCCACCGGCACCGUGAGCGAAGGCUGAUCCCAGAUCUCGGGAGGCGACGUGCAGGUAGAGGGGUUCCGUCCAUGGGGCAAAAGCCAAGCGUUCAAUUCUGCGAUAUCAAACGCCGGCACACAGGAACUAGAGAGACUGGAUUAGACUCCACUGUGACACACCAACCAUUUCGAAAGGAAAAGAAAACUGCGACACACCAUGGACAGCGAACAGCUAGGUCGGCGUGUUCCGACACUCGUUUGCCUUAAACAAAUUACACCCCGGGCAGCCGCUGCGCGCGUACGCGGACCCAACCACUCGCCGAUGGACGACACCCGUUCUCACUUUUCAGCGAACCAGAAGCUCGUGACUCUCCACUUGGCUGCGGCAAAACACACCGGACGAAGCAAAGGAUCAACAGUUUAGAACAGGGGAGCAUAUGCAGGUUCGGUCAUCUUUUCGCAUCGCAAAGGAAGAUAGAUGCAUGUGGAGCAAAGUAGCGCACAAAAAGAAGAUGCAUGUGGAGCAAAGUGGUGCUACCGUGUCACCCAUAAGAAAUUUAGAAAAGGAAAAGGUUUUGAUAUAGAAGAAAUAAGGGUCUGUUUAGGAUAUGUCACAUCUAAGAUUGAUGUCCACUCUGUUUAUGGUCUAUUUUUUUGUCUUAGUUUUUUUUGUUUCUUGUUGCUACAUUAUAUAUUUAUGGGAGAUUAGAUGUGACAUCCUUAAAAAACAUUUAGAUGUGAAUUAGACAAACUGAAGAAAUAAUGGAGAGGCUGUGGGCAGGCAGGCAGGCAGGCGCACCGCACACAUGGGCGGAGGAGGCCGACAGAUCGCAACGUAGCGCCGGGAAGGGGAGCUGCGUGCUGUCCCAGGCUGGUAUCCCGUUGCCGUCGCCACGUUCCCUCGCUUUCACCCACCUAAGUGCCCAGCCACCACUCUACUUACCUCGCCCGGCACACGCAAACGCGCGCCUCCAUCGGCCUGCCACUCGCAGUCGCUUCCCUUUCCCACCACGUUGACACCUCUUCCGCUCCGGGAAGGAGGCAGGCACGUAGACGUAGCGAUGGCGCCGCGUUUCCUGGCGUGCUUCGGCAGGGGCGGCGCGACGGCCUCGGCGCCGGAGCCUGUGGAGGACCUGGCCCCGGGCCCGGUGCUGGUGGAGCUCUUCUCCUCGCAGGGGUGCGCGGCGUCGCCUGAGGCGGACGCCCUGGUGGCGCGGCUGGCGCAGGAGUCCUCCGAGACCGGCGGCGGCGAGCGAGCGAUGGUGGUGCUGGGGUUCCACGUGGACUACUGGGACUACCGCGGGUGGAAGGACCCCUUCGCGGCCAGCGCCUGGACCGUGCGGCAGAAGGCGUACGUGGAGGCGCUCCGGCUGGACACGCUCUUCACGCCGCAGGUCGUCGUGCAGGGCCGCGCGGACUGCGUCGGCACCGAGCAGGACAAGCUCGCCCAGGCCGUCCGCGACGCGCCCCGCUACCCCUCGCCCGCCAUGAAGGUACGCACGCACGCAUGCUGCAUGCACCCACCACCUUAAGAAUUGUUGACGGUGCUCUGAACCGUGUGCGUGCUCUGCAGGUGAAGUUCCAGCGGCCGAACCCGAGCACGCUGCAGGCGUCCUUCACGGGCGCGCUCCACUCCCGCGUGGACGGCGGCGGGAGCGUGCUGGUGGCGCUGUACGAGAGCGGCGUGGUCACCGACUGCGGCCGCGGCGAGAACAAGGGCAAGUCGCUGCUCAACGACCACGUGGUGCGCCGGCUGGAGAAGGUGGCCGCCGUGCGCGACGGCGCGUCCGCCAGGAAGGCCGUGUCCGGGUCCGUCCAGUUCCCGCUGUGGGACGACUUCCGCGCCACCAAGUGCGGCCUCGUCCUCUUCGUGCAGAACUCGGCGCUGCAGGUGCUCGGCGUCCAGCACUUCGACCUGCCCGACAACGUCUGAUCGAGUGGCGGGCACCAACUUGCGGAGAGCGCAGGGGCCAGACGACCAGGGGAGCGUUGCACAAGUAUUCUUUGUAGAGUUUGAUUUGAUUGGCGUGCUGCGUUGUUGUAAUAGCACUUUGUAAGAGCACUCGUGUGAUCGAUUACUGGAACAAUGGUUGUAUCUUCUUGAAUAGACCAAGAUAGUACAGUAGUCUAUGGAACAUGCACAAAUGCGAAUAACAGAGAAAUCGAAGUUACACUAAGGUGCCUCUGAGAACCUAAAAUCAUUAAAUGAACCCAAAUGAUAACGCCCACGCGGGUGUCAUAUUUGCACAUCGCAAUUGAAAGAAACCACCAUAUUUGGGGCUUCUGUUACAAAAAAUAACCUGAUCGCUAAUCUUUUGCAAAAGCCAUCGCGCAUUCAGUAAAAGUUUUGUAGAUUGCACUGAACCUGCCAUUUGGCGCGGUUGAGGGCGUUUACAACACGUGGGGCCCAAUUUGGGUGACGUGUCCUAACGGACGCGCGGACGGCGCCGUUUGGUCCAAACCGACGCGGUCUGGUCGCACCGGACAGACCGACCGCCCGCACCCGACCAGACCAGGCCUCUCCCUCCAGCUCCAAUCCAUGGCGACGACGAAACCUGGCGGCGUGGACGGCGGCGGCGGAGUUGCUGCCGGUGGGGAUGCUCCGGGCGGCGGUGCUGGAGAUCCACCAGAGUUCUGCGGGAGCUCCAAUCCCUCGAGCGCGCUGCCUCUUCCCCAACCGUCGUCGCCGCCGAAGUCGUUGGAAUACGCGGCGGCUACUGCGUUCGCCCAGACGGUGAAGGCCAAUCCGACGGGCAGCCAACAUUUUGCCUCCUCCUUCGGCGAUGUGGAGUAAGUCAUCCUCCUCCUUCUUUGUCAUUUCCCCGAUUGGCAUUCUAGGGUUAGGGUUCUAGGGUUAGUUAGUGUUCUUGGGUAAGUGUAGUACGGUUAAGGUUCUAGGGUUAGGGUUCUAGCAUUAGGGUUAGUGUUAUAUGAUAUCCUCUCUGUCACAUGAUUGGUGGUCUCACGGAAAUUAAUUUUAGCAUGAGUAAUUUGACAGAAAUCCUAUCUGUCUGUUGUUUGAUCAAAUAUUGGUCUUCACCAACUUUAGUAUUGUAAAUUGAAUUAGAAAUUUCUGUUGCCACCAAUUUUAACAUUGUUAACUGAUUUUUUUCAACUUAUUAAUAGGGCUAUGAACUGACCCAUUUAACACCAAUCUGACCUCUUAACAAUAAUUUUAACAUUGUUAAAUGAAUUAUUUCAUCUUAUUCUUAUACCUGUUAACUGACCUACUUAACAACAAAAUUAAAUGAAUUUUAUCUGAAUUUGUAGCUUGGAUGAUGAAGAAUGGGAAGUGAGGUUCCAUUUCCUAGACAGAGAUAACUUGGAAAGAACAAUAUGUUUAUCAAACAUAACCUUCUGGAAUCUCAUUGCCCUAAUAGAGGUAGAAGGCUAUAGUUCAAGGGAUUUAUGUAUUAUGUUAGAGAUCCAGGAGUUGGGGUGUCAGGAAUGGAAGAAUUAACUGAUGAUGACAAGGUGGAAGAAAUGUUGGAUCACAUAGCUAGUAAAGGAAAGAAUGUUGUUAGCAUUAUAGUUAUGAGAAGUGAUGCACCUAGACUAGUUGAUUUGAACAUUGGUUAUGCUUAUGAAGAGCAGGUUUCUUUGUUAGAAAUAGGUGUACCAGUUAUCUAUGAGGUAGACAAUUCAGGAGUUCUUUUCGCCAGUCCAGUGAAACCCCAACCACAGCCAGUCCAAGUAAUGAACACACAGGAGAGCACUUGUUUGUUGAAGCAAAAGGGCCCAAGUGAACCUGAGUUUGCUUUGGACAAUAGUAAUGAGAGGCAUGAGUAUUUCAUGCAGACAGACCAAGAGCAAGAGCACAUUGAGCAGAUGAUGGAGCAGAAAAGAAAUGAAGAAAUUCAGAGGUACGGGAGUAAUAAGAUACAAAGAGAGAAGUACAAUGCAGCAAAAAGAAAACUCCCACAGCUGCUUGCUGAGGAGUUCACUGAUAGUGAAAGUGAGGAUGAAGAUCUAGAAGAUGAGGACAUAUUGGCUAGGUUGGAGGCAAUGAAGAGGCAUAGGGAUGAUCCACUAUAUCACUUUGAAGGAGACACUGAUGUAGAAGAGCUAUAUGGACCAGAGGAGGAGGAGGAGGAGAAUGAAGGAAGAGUUGAAGAGGAAGGACAGGAGGAGCCACUAGAUGAGGGCUUGAGAGGAGGAAGCAGUGUAGGAGGAAGCAGUGCAGGAGGUAGCAAUGGCACAGGAGGAAGUAAGAGGAGGGUGAAGGGGCCAACAACAAGAUCCCAUGCAAGUUUGGAUCAAAUCAUAGAGCAAGACUGGGCACCUUCAUUUGAUGAGGAGAGCAACCCAGGUGACCUAAGUCAGGAAGAGAAUGAUUGGGCUCAGCUUCCACCAUUUAAGCUACCAAAUGGUAGGAAGAGCAUAGCCAAAAAGAAUAAAGUUAGGGUUUGGUAUGAUGAGAAGAGGGAAAACCCACAAGAACAAUUUGUCAAGAAACUUUGUUUCCUAGAUGUGCAACAGUUCAGAAGGGCACUGCUUACAUUUCACAUCUCACAAAACAGGAACUACUCAUUUCAUAGGAAUUGCUCAGAUAGAGUUAUCGUAGUUUGCAGUACAGAUGACUGUCCUUUUUUCAUUGCUGCUUCCAAAAUUGCACAUGAGAAGACAUUUUGCAUAAAGAAAAUGAACUUGUACCACAAUUGUCCUGCUGUUGGAGAGAGCACCAAAGUGACUGCUAGGUGGUUGGCACAUGAGUGUGAGCAACAGUUAAGGUCUGACAUAAACACACCUGUCCAGGCAAUAAUGGACAAUUCGAAGAAAAACAUGGAAUUGAAGUGUCCAUUCACAUGGCCUACAGGGCAAGGAAAGCAGCUAAGGAAGUUGUCCAGGGAGAUCAGAGGGCACAAUACACUAGGAUAAGGGAUUACCUCCAAGCUAUGCUGGAUACCAAUCCUGGAAGUAGAUGCAUUGUUACAACAAAGUAUUUGAAGACUCAUCCUAGUAUAAACCCUAGAUUUCAUGGCUUGUUCAUGUGCCUCAAUGCUUGCAAAGAGGGCUUCCUAAAUGGUUGCAGACCCUUCAUAGGUACUUGCAUAAUUAUUUUCCCAACAUCUUUCCCAUUGCAUUUAGUUAUGUUUGGUACUAAUGUGUUCUGUUUGGUUUUAGGUGUUGAUGGUUGCUUUGUUAAGUUGACAACAGGGCAACAAAUAUUGGCUGCAACUGGAAGAGAUGGUAAUAACAACAUCUUUCCCAUUGCAUUUGCAAUUGUUGACAAGGAAGACACUGCUAGCUGGUCCUGGUUUCUAACCCAGCUCAAGUAUGCUCUUGGUGGUGAGUCAGGGAAGUAUGGCAACUACACUAUCAUAUCUGAUAGACAAAAGGUACCUCACACAUCAUCAUUCUUAUAUUUACUGAAGUUUUACCAUGCUUAGUACUAUCAAAUUGUUUGUUGUUAUACUAUAUUUUGAACACUAGUUAUUUAAACAGGGCCUUCUUAAAGCCAUAAACAAUGUCUUCCCAAAUUUCCCUCAAAGAUACUGCCUUAGACAUAUUUAUCAGAACUUUCAAAUAGCUGGCUUUAGAGGUGAAGAGUUAAAGAAGUAUAUGGAUCAGGCUAGUUAUUCAUAUACUGAGCAUGGUUUUGAUCAAGCAAUGGAAGGCAUGAAAAGAGAGUGUGAGGCAGCUUGGAAAUGGCUUAGAAAGAUACCCAAGCAUACAUGGGCUAGACAUGCCAUGGACAAAAAUUGUAAAACUAAUUUGGUUGUUAACAAUAUUAGUGAAGUUUUCAACAAAAUGAUACUUGAUGUGAGAGGGAAACCAAUUAAAACCAUGGUUGAUGGCAUCAGAACUAAAUUGCUAGUUAAGUUCAAUGCAAACAGGACCAAGACUGAGACAGCCAAGUGGCAGAUAUGCCCAACAUAUGCUGAAAAGCUAGAAGAAGCAAAACACCAUGCUAGAUACUGUCAGUCCAUCAAAGCAUGACCUGAUCUAUACCAGGUUAGCAGUGGAGAAAGCACAUAUGCAGUAAAGCUGCAAGUGCACACAUGUGGGUGUAGCAAAUGGGACAUGACUGGUGUUCCUUGCAAGCAUGGUGUUUCUGCAAUUAACAAGGCAAAACUUCAUCCAGAAGAUUUUGUUAGUGAUUUCUUCAAGAAACCAAUGUACCAAGAAGCCUACAUUCCAAUUAUGUAUCCUGUGCCUGGGCCUGACCUAUGGCCAAAUACUGGGACCCCUGACAUAGAACCACCGGUUUUCAGAGACAAGCCAGGAAAGAAGCAGACUAAGAGGAGAAGGAAUCAGUUUGAGAAGCCAGCUCCCAAGGAUACAUUAAGGAUGGCAACAAUAACCUGCAGCAAUUGCAACUUGACAGGUCAUAGGUACACUAGCUACCACAAAAAUCUGAAGCCAGCCCUAGCCAUGAGAAGGAACCAACACCAGGUUAAAUCUUGUGUAUAUAUGUUGUCACUGCAUGUUAAAUCUUGUGUAUAUUUAAUACUAUGUUCUAAUCUAUCUAUAUGUUGUCACUGUAGGAAAACAGGAGAGUUGAUGCACCAAUGGCAGCUCCAUCUGCUCCACCAGCAGCAACGGGAAGAGCUCCUGCUGCAACCAGUGCAACACCAAGGACAUCUCCAGCUGCAACUAGGGCUGCAACUAGGGCUGCACCUAGGGCGGCUCCUUCUGCUCCUGCUCCAACAAGGCCAAGUUCAUCUUCUGCUGCUAUUGAUAGGCCUAGUUCAUCUUCUGCUACUGCUACUAGGUCAAGGGUAAAGAGAACAUUCAUACCACCAAGAGUGUCAGGUAAUGGAAGAGUGAGAAAGCCAUCAUACAAGAUGUCUAAAUGGUUCAAUUGUUCUCAAGGCAGCAAGAAGUGAUGUCAUGUUGAAAUAUGUUUAAUUCAGCCUGUUUUGGCUAGUUUGUGCUGAAGAAUAUUAAGAAUUUCAUGUUGAAACCAGUCAGUUCUAGUCCAAGUGGUGGACUAUGUAAUGUACCUAAUGGUUGUGAUGCACUAUGGUACUCUGGUUAUGAUGAUAUGAUGAUGAACUUAUUAGUUAUGAUGUUUUCAAGAAGUUUUCGUUCUCUUGUUGUGAUGAUGAUCAUAGUUCCAUAGUUGAUAGGAUGAUGAUCUUAGUUUUCAUGGUGUUGAUAUGUUGGUGAUCACAGUUUUCAUAGUUCAUAUGAUGUUGAUCAUAGUCGACAAAACCCUAAAUGGAUCCACUUGGGCAUUUAGGGUGCCUCGGCGUCGACAAAACCCUAAAUGGGUCCACUUUGGGCAUUUAGGGUGCCUCAGCAUCGACAAAACCCUAAAUGGUAGCACUUGGGAUUUUUUGGUGCCUCAACGUCAACAAAACCCUAAAUAGAUCCACUUGGGCAUUUAGGGUGCCUUGGCGUCGACAAAACCCUAAAUGGGUCCACUUUGGGCAUUUAGGGUGCCUCGGCGUCGACAAAACCCUAAAUCGAUCCACCUGGGCAUUUAGGGUGCCUCGGUGUCGACAAAGCCCUAAAUGGUAACACUUGGGCAUUUUUGGUGCCUCGGCGUCGACAAAACCCUAAAUGGAUCCACUUGGGCAUUUAAGGUGCCUCAGCAUCGACAAAACCCUAAAUGGGUCCACUUUGGGCAUUUAGGGUGCCUCGGUGUCGACAAAACCCUAAAUGGUAGCACUUGGGCAUUUUUGGUGCCUUGAUACGUCUCCAACGUAUCUAUAAUUUUUGAUUGCUCCAUGCUAUAUUACCUACUGUUUUGGACUAUAUUGGGCUUUAUUUUCCACUUUUACAUUAUUUUUGGGACUAACCUAUUAACCGGAGGCCCAGCCCAGAAUUGCUGUUUUUUUGCCUAUUUCAGUGUUUCGGAUAAACAGAAUAUCAAACGGAGUCCAAACGGAAUAAAAUCUUCGGAAACGUGAUUUUCUCACCGAACGUGAUCCAGGAGACUUGGACCCUACUACAAGGGAUCAAAGAGGUGGUCACGAGGGUGGGGGCGCCCCGCCCCCCUAGGGCGCGCUGCCUGCCUCGUGGGCCCCUCAGUGCUCCACCGACAUACUCCUUCCUCCUAUAUAUACACACGUACCCCCAAACAAUCAGAAUAGGAGUCAAAAACCUAAUUCCACCGCCACAACUUUCUGUAUCCAGGAGAUCCCAUCUUGGGGCCUGUUUCGGAGCUCCGCCGGAAGAGGGCCGUCAUCACGGAGGGCUUCUACAUCAUCCUAGCCCCUCCGAUGAAGUGUGAGUAGUUUACCUCAGACCUUCCGGUCCAUAGUUAGUAGCUAGAUGGCUUCUUCUCUCUCUUUGAAUCUCAAUACAAAGUUCUCCCCCUCUCUUGUGGAGAUCUAUUCGAUGUAAUCUUCUUUUUGCGGUGUGUUUGUUGAGACCGAUGAAUUGUGGGUUUAUGAUCAAGUCUAUCUAUGAAUAAUAUUUGAAUCUUCUCUAAAUUCUUUUAUGCAUGAUUGGUUAUCUUUGCAAGUCUCUUCGAAUUAUCCGUUUGGUUUGGCCAACUAGAUUGGUAGUUCUUGCCAUGGGAGAAGUGCUUAGCUUUGGGUUCGAUCUUGCGGUGUCCUUACCCAGUGACAGAAGGGGGAGCAAGGCACGUAUUGUAUCGUUGCCAUCGAGGAUAACAAGAUGGGGUUUAUUUCAUAUUGCAUGAAUUUAUCUCUCUACAUCAUGUCAUCUUGCUUAAGGCGUUACUCUGUUUUUAACUUAAUACUCUAGAUGCAUGCUGGAUAGCGGUCGAUGAGUGGAGUAAUAGUAGUAGAUGCAGAAUCGUUUUGAUCUACUUGUCACGGACGUGAUGCCUAUAUACAUGAUCAUGCCUAGAUAUUCUCAUAAUUAUGCACAAUUCUAUCAAUUUCUCAACAGUAAUUUGUUCACCCACCGUAGAAUAUUAUGCUCUUGAGAGAAGCCACUAGUGAAACCUAUGGCCCCCGGGUCUAUUCUCAUCAUAUCAAUCUCCAUCACUUUUAUAUUGUUUUUCUAUUUACUUUGCUUUUACUUUUUACUUUGCAUCCUUAUAUCAAAAAUACCAAAAAUAUUCUAUCUAUCACAUCUCACUCUCGUAAGUGAUUGUGAAGGGCUUGACAACCCCUAAUCGCGUUGGUUGCGAGUAGCUAUCGCUUUGUGCAGGUAUGAGGGACUUGAGCGUGGGCUCCUACUGGAUUGAUACCUUGGUUCUCAAAAACUAAGGGAAAUACUUACGCUACUCUGCUGCAUCAUCCCUUCCUCUUCGGGGAAAACCAACGCAAGCUCAAGACGUAGCAAGAAGGAUUUCUGGCGCCGUUGCCGACGAGUCUACGCAAAAAGUCAAUAUACCAAGUACCCAUCACAAUCCCUAUCUCUCGCAUUACAUUAUUUGCCAUUUGCCUCUCGUUUUCCUCUCCCCCCAAUUCACCCUUGCCGUUUUAUUCGCCCUCUCUCUCUCCCUAUCCUCCCUCUCUGUUUGCCUUUUUGUUUGCUUGUGUGUCAGUUUGUUUGCCUGCUUGUCGUUAUGUCUGAAACUGGGGAAGUUAUCGCCAAUUUGGGCGAUAACAAUAUCAUGGAAAAUUCUGAUACUCCUGCUAAAGAACCUACCAUCUUUCAUACAAAAAAAUUCCGUGUUGGUAGUGGUAAUAUUAUUGGAAAAGGAGUUAUUCAAGAUUUCUUUACUUGUGCUGGUGCUUUACCUUCUAUGCGUAGUUCUAUCCUUCACAGAACUAGUAGUCUUGCGGACUCUAUUGCCAUGCUUGUAGUUGAACUUGAAAGACAAUUCAUGCACAUGCAUCCUUCUAUACAAAGGAUUUUUCUGGAAUUUUCUAAUAUUGAGCAUUCUUCUGUUAAGCUUGCCGCUACUAUCUUUUUGGCUCAUGAGUUUAGAUUCAUAAUAAGAAAAGCCAAAGAAAUAUUUACGCAUUAUAGGGUGGACGCUUGCCGUCCUCCCAUAGAGGCUAUCCUCUUUGAUCAAGAAGAAAUAAUGCGUUUUCAAUCCCUAGAUUAUGUUGCUUUCAAUGAAAAUCUUAGAAGAAAGGUUCCUACCAAUGUUUUAGUUGAUAGAAUUUCUGAUCUUAAUGAUGAUUUGGCUAUUUGAAAUAAUGAACUAGGAUAUUCUCUUGAAUAUAGGCUCACAAAGUUCUGUCAAAAAAAUGCUUAUAAUGAUGAAUUGGUGGUGCAUUAUUAAGGACCAAAGGAGGAACCUAUACCUCCCAAGGUUGAUCUUCGGGACUUUUGUCCCAUUAAAUUUAAUCCUUUUGAUUACUUUUGCUUGCCUCAAAGAAAACUUGCUGCCGAACAUAGAGAAUAUGAAAUGAGUUUCACCAAUCUAUCUUAUUACUAUGGCAAUACCUAGAUCUAUUCUUGCUCGUUAUGCCUAGCUAGGGGCGUUAAACGAUAGCGCUUGUUGGGAGGCAACCCAAUUUUAUUUUUAUUCCUUGAUUUUUGCUCCUGUUUAGUAAUAAAUAAAUUAUUUAGCCUCUGUUUUGGUUGUGUUUUUUGUGUUUAAUUAGUGUUUGUGCCAAGUAGAACCGUUGGGAAGACUUGGGGAAAGUCUUGUUGAACUUGCUGUAAAAAACAGAAACUUUAGCGCUCACGAGAACUGCUGUAAUUUUUAUUUGAAGAGUGUUACUUAGUUAAUUCUUUUUGGGAUGAUUAAUAGAUAAAUUCCUCACGUCCAGAAAUUUAUUUUAGAAUUUUUGGGAUUCCAGAUCUUGCGCUAGCUACAGAUUACUACAGACUGUUCUGUUUUUGACAGAUUCUGUUUUUCGUGUGUUGUUUGCUUAUUUUGAUGAAUCUAUGGCUAGUAAAAUAGUUUAUAAUCCAUAGAGAAGUUGGAAUACAGUAUGUUUAACACCAAUAUAAAUAAAGAAUGAGUUCAUUACAGUACCUUGAAGUGGUCUUUUGUUUUCUUUCGCUAACGGAGCUCACGAGUUUUCUAUUUUGAGUUUUGUGUUGUGAAGUUUUCAAGCUUUGGGUAAGAAUUUGAUGGAUUAUGGAACAAGGAGUGGCAAGAGCCUAAGCUUGGAGAUGCCCAUGGAACCCCCAAGAUAAUCCAAGGACACCAAAAAGUCAAAACUUGGGGAUGCCCCGAAAGGCAUCCCCUCUUUCGUCCACUUCCAUAGGUAAUUUACUUGGAGCUAUAUUUUUAUUCACCAACAUGAUAUGAGUUUUGCUUGGAGCGUCUUGUAUUAUUUGUGUCAUUGUUUGUUAGUAUGCGACAAUCAUCCUUGCUGUACACACCUUUUAAGAGAGCCAUACAUGAAUUAAAAUUUGAUAGAAUACUCUAUGUGCUUCACUUAUAUCUUUUGAGCUAGAUAAUUUUGCUCUAUGUGCUUCACUUAUAUCCUUUGAGCUAGAUAAUUUUUCUCUAUGUGCUUCACUUAUAUCCUUUGAGCUAGAUAAUUUUGCUCUAUGUGCUUCACUUAUAUCCUUUUGAGCAUUAUAAUUUUGCUCUAUGUGCUUCACUUAGAUCUUUUAGAGCACGGUGGUGGAUUCAUUUUGAAGAAACUAUUGAUCUCUCAUGCUUCACUUAAAUUAAUUUGAGAGUCUCUUAUUAGCAUGGUAAUUUGCCUAAUAAUAAUAUGCUUGGUAUUCAAGAUUUGUGAAACUUUAUUUUGAGUGUGUUGAAUACUAAGAAAAGAUUGAAGCAUGAUAAUUGUUUUGAGAUAUGGAGGUGAUAAUAUUAAAGUCAUGCUAGUUGAGUAGUUGUGAAUUUAAAGAAUACUUGUGUUGAAGUUUGUGAUUCCCGUAGCAUGCACGUAUGGUGAACCGUUAUGUGAUGAAUUCGGAGCAUGAUUUAUUUAUUGAUUGUCUUCCUUAUGAGUGGCGGUCGGGGAUGAGCGAUGGUCUUUUCCUACCAAUCUAUCCCCCUAGGAGCAUGCGCGUAAUACUUUGCUUUGAUAACUUCUAAAUUUGUGCAAUAAGUAUAUGAAUUCAUUAUGACUAAUGUUGAGUCCAUGGAUUAUACGCACUCUCACCCUUCCACCCUUGCUAGCCUCUCUAAUACCGCACACCUUUCGCCGAUAUCAUACACCUACCAUAUACCUUCCUCAAAACAGCCACCAUACCUACCUAUUAUGGCAUUUCCAUAGCCAUUCCGAGAUAUAUUGCCAUGCAACUUUCCACCAUCUAGUUCAUCAUGACACAUCCAUCAUUGUCAUAUUGCUUAGCAUGAUCAUGUAGUUGACAUAGUAUUUGUGGCAAAGCCACUGUUCAUAAUUCUUUCAUACUUGUCACUCUUGAUUCAUUGCAUAUCCCGGUACACCACCGGAGGCAUUCAUAUAGAGUCAUACUUUGUUUUAGUAUCGAGUUGUAAUCAUUGAGUUGUAAAUAAAUAGAAGUGUGAUGAUCAUCAUUCAAUAGAGCAUUGUCCCAAAAAAAGGCCAAAGAAAAAAGGCCCAAAAAAAUACAAAUAAAUAAAAAAGGGCAAUGCUACUAUCUUUUUUUCCACACUUGUGCUUCAAAGUAGCACCAUGAUAUAGCAAGUCUUAUAUAUUGUGCUUCAAAGUAGCACCAUGUUCUUCAUAUAGAGAGUCUCGUAUGUUGUCACUUUCAUAUACUAGUGGGAAUUUUACGUUAUAGAACUUGGCUUGUAUAUUCCAAUGAUGGGCUUCCUCAAAUUACCCUAGGUCUUCGUGAGCAAGCAAGUUGGAUGCACACCCACUAGUUUCUUUUCUUGAGUUGUCAUACAUUUAUAGCUCUAGUGCAUCCGUUGCAUGGCAAUCCCUACUCACUCACAUUGAUAUCUAUUGAUGGGCAUCUCCAUAGCCCGUUGAUACGCCUAGUUGAUGUGAGACUAUCUUCUCCUUUUUGUCUUCUCCACAACCACCAUUCUAUUCCACCUAUAGUGCUAUAUCCAUGGCUCACGCUCAUGUAUUGCGUGAAGAUUGAAAAAGUUUUGAAAAAGUUAGAGUAUGAAACAAUUGAUUGGCUUGUCAUCGGGGUUGUGCAUGAUUUAAAUCCUUUGUGUGGGGAAGAUGGAGCAUAGCCAGAUUAUAUGAUUUUGUAGGGAUAACUUUCUUUGGCCAUGUCAUUUUGAGAAGACAUAAUUGCUUUGUUAGUAUGCUUGAAGUAUUAUUAUUUUCUAUGUCAAUAUAAACUUUUGUCUUGAAUCUUUCUAAUCUAAAUAUUCAUACCACAAUUAAGAAGAUUUGCAUUGAAAUUAUGCCAAGUAGCACUCCGCAUCAAAAAUUCUCUUUUUAUUAUUUACCUACUCGAGGACGAGCAAGAAUUAAGCUUGGGGAUGUCUGAUACGUCUCCAAUGUAUCUAUAAUUUUGUAUUGCUCCAUGCUAUAUUACCUACUGUUUUGGACUAUAUUGGGCUUUAUUUUCCACUUUUAUAUUAUUUUUAGGACUAACCUAUUAACUGGAGGCCCAGCCCAGAAUUGCUGUUUUUUGCCUAUUUCAGUGUUUCGGAUAAACAGAAUAUCAAACGGAGUCCAAACGGAAUAAAAUCUUCGGAAACAUGAUUUUCUCACCGAACGUGAUCCAGGAGACUUGGACCCUACUGCAAGGGAUCAAAGAGGUGGUCACGAGGGUGGGGGGCGCCCCCCACCCUAGGGCGCGCCCCCUGCCUCGUGGGCCCCUUGGUGCUCCACCGACGUACUCCUUCCUCCUAUAUGUACACACGUACCCCCAAACGAUCAGAACAGGAGCCAAAAACCUAAUUCCACCGCUGCAACUUUCUGUAUCCAGGAGAUCCCAUCUUGGGGCCUGUUCCGGAGCUCCGUCGAAAGAGGGCCGUCAUCACGGAGGUCUUCUACAUCAUUCUAGCCCCUCUGAUGAAGUGUGAGUAGUUUACCUCAGACCUUCGGGUCCAUAGUUAGUAGCUAGAUGGCUUCUUCUCUCUCUUUGAAUCUCAAUACAAAGUUCUCCCCCUCUCUUGUGGAGAUCUAUUCGAUGUAAUCUUCUUUUUGCGGUGUGUUUGUUGAGACCGAUGAAUUGUGGGUUUAUGAUCAAGUCUAUCUAUGAAUAAUAUUUGAAUCUUCUCUAAAUUCUUUUAUGCAUGAUUGGUUAUCUUUGCAAGUCUCUUCGAAUUAUCCGUUUGGUUUGGCCAACUAGAUUGGUAGUUCUUGCCAUGGGAGAAGUGCUUAGCUUUGGGUUCGAUCUUGCGGUGUCCUUACCCAGUGACAGAAGGGGGAGCAAGGCACGUAUUGUAUCGUUGCCAUCGAGGAUAACAAGAUGGGGUUUAUUUCAUAUUCCAUGAAUUUAUCUCUCUACAUCAUGUCAUCUUGCUUAAGGCGUUACUCUGUUUUUAACUUAAUACUCUAGAUGCAUGCUGGAUAGCGGUCGAUGAGUGGAGUAAUAGUAGUAGAUGCAGAAUUGUUUCAAUCUACUUGUCACGGACGUGAUGCCUAUAUACAUGAUCAUGCCUAGAUAUUCUCAUAAUUAUGCACAAUUCUAUCAAUUGCUCAACAGUAAUUUGUUCACCCAUGUAGAAUACUUAUGCUCUUGAGAGAAGCCACUAGUGAAACCUAUGGCCCCCGGGUCUAUUCUCAUCAUAUCAAUCUCCAUCACUUUUAUAUUGUUUUGCUAUUUACUUUGCUUUUACUUUUUACUUUGCAUCCUUAUAUCAAAAAUACCAAAAAUAUUCUAUCUAUCAGAUCUGACUCUCGUAAGUGACCGUGAAGGGCUUGACAACCCCUAAUCACGUUGGUUGCGAGUAGCUAUCGCUUUGUGCAGGUACGAGGGACUUGAGCGUGGGCUCCUACUGGAUUGAUACCUUGGUUCUCAAAAACUGAGGGAAAUACUUACGCUACUCUGCUGCAUCAUCCCUUCCUCUUCGGGGAAAACCAACGCAAGCUCAAGACGUAGCAUGCCUCGGUAUCGACAAAACCCUAAAUGGAUCCACUUGGGCAUUUAGGGUGCCUCAGCAUCGACAAAACCCUAAAUGGGUCCACUUUGGGCAUUUAGGGUGCCUCGGCGUUGACAAAACCCUAAAUCGAUCCACUUGGGCAUUUAGGGUGCCUCGGCGUCGACAAAACCCUAAAUGGGUCCACUUUGGGCAUAUAUGGUGCCUCGGCGUCGACAAAACCCUAAAUCGAUCCACUUGGGCAUUUAGGGUGACUCGGCGUCGACAAAACCCUAAAUGGUAGCACUUGGACAUUUUAGAAAACCAAAAAAAUAUUCAAAUCGAGCAAAUGUUGAACCAAAAAAAAUUAGAAGUUACUGACCUAUUAAUUUUAGAAAACCAAAAAAAAUGCACAAAAAAUUUAGAAGUUACUGACAUAUUAAUUUUAGAAAACCAAAAAAAUGCAAAAAAAUAGUCUAGCCUGGGGCUCGAACCCAGGACCAGUGGGUAGUAACCAUGCGUUCAAUACCAAUGGGAUAGUGCUAGUGAUCUUGUUUGAGUAGCAUCCGUAAUUAUACUUAUAUUUAGUUAGGCACGCACUGUGUUGAUAGUGCGUUGAGGCCGUCAGCGUGGUGGACGUGCAUUUAGUAUAACUCAUCAUUUCGGUUUCUGAGCCUUUAAUACGUGUCCACCCACCACUCUCUCUGAUCACUCGCCCACUCGCCGCCCGCACCGCCCACUCCUCUUCCCCCUCUCUCCUAUCGAAACCACCGCCAACAACCACCGCAGUUGGACAUCGAAGAGCUCGCCGGCAACAACAAGGAGCUGCGCACGCAGUACAGGGAGAUCGCGUGAUGGUUCCCCAGUCCGGCGAUGCUGAGGAACCAUGCACGCGGCCUGGUGAAGGUAAUGACACCUGCCGAAAGGCAGCGUGCCUUCCCUGCUGGUCGCACUAUCCCGCUGGCGACCAUUCUCCUGUGGGCGAUGCGCGAGGUGCAGUGCUCCCCCGACCCCAGGCAGCAUGCACGUUGGUGGAUGUACUACUCAUCCACCACGCCGUCGGCCGCCGCGGAUGACAUCACCGACGUCGUCCUCGCUCCCCCAGCCCCCAUCAACUACACCUACUGGGAGAGGCGCAAUCCAUGGGUCCUCGGGCCAGACGACGACUCUGACGCCGAGUCCUCUGACGACUACGACGCUGACGCGUCUGACUACUACUCCUCUGACGACGAUGUGGAUGAGGUCUUCGUACUCUCCUCCGACUCCUCCAAUGAUGAGCCUGAUGUGUAGCUCCUGGCACCCGUCCUCGACGCCAUGGAGGGGCAAAAGAACAGCCCAAUUGAAGUGGAUAAGCUGCCGGAGGUCGCUAACAACCCAGAGCUCGUCGUCGUGAAUCAAGAAGAGGAGGGCGGCGGUGAAGAUGUGGUGGAGCUAGUGCCGACCAAGAAGAAGAGGGCGGCGGUGAACAACAAUGACGUGCGACGCUCCCAACGCCUGAAGAUGCUGAAGAAGGAGGAGUGACAUGUUGUCUUCAGUUUUGUCAGUAGAAGAAAAAGUUCAGUUUCGUCAAUAUGUUAGUAUGCCUGUUCUAUCUAUGUCAGUUCUAUCUAUGUCAGACUAUCUAUGCAGGUAAUAUCUAUGUAUGCCAGCAGUAUGAACUUGCUAUCUAUGUUCACUAUCUACUUGCUAUGUACUUGCUAUCUAUGUUAAGUUCUGCUUGCUAUGUACUUGCUAUCUAUGUUCAGUUAUGCGUGUUAUCUACUUGCUGUCAGUGUUAUCAUUUCCAAGUAUGUCACUGCUGUCAUCACAAACUAAACUUAAUUAAACUUGAUAAUUGAAACUGAUAAUUCAUGACAAACAACAUACAAUCCAAGGUUCAUUGCUACAGAAAUAGUAGAGUUCACCACAAUAAAGCUUAACACAUUACAAACUUUCCUCCAUAGCUACUACAAAAGACAUCAUUGACACACAUGGUCAGGCAACAACACAACUUAGUCCUCAUCACAAAUAGCCUUAAUCUGGUUAAGCUUCCUCUUGUUGCUAUCACCUAUUGUCUUGAGAUCAACAAUGCAGGAAGCAAGAGUACUCUUCUCCAUGGUCAACUUCUCAUUUAGUUUCAUCAGCUCAGCAAUGCAACAAUCCAGCUUAUCCUUCUCUUUCUUCAGGUCAGCAUAGCAAAUAUCCAAAGUCCUCUUAUCAGAGAUCAACUUUUCCUUCUCUUUAAGAUGGUUGAACUUCAAAUUCCUAAUGACAGUGGCUUGAGCUACAUGAAUUUGCUUUAACUGGUCAACAACAACCUUCAAUUUUUUGAUCUCAGCAUCCUUUGUCAUGCUGCUUUCCACAAUCACUGAAAUGUUCUCAGCAUCAUUCUUCUGGUUUACCUCAGGCUGGCUAUCCUUAUAAUCCAAGAGGUUGUUCACAUCUUCAACAAGCUUCUCAUAUGUCUCCUGCAACUCUUUUUUUUGCUGUGUCAGAUUGUGUACAGUGCAUGAAUGCUCCAGGCAUGCCAUCCUGUUAUUAUGCUGGCUAUCCUCAUACAUAAGCCACAGCUUAUGAAUAGCCUUCUACAGAUGCUCUGGCCAAUGCUCAUCUACCCACUACACUAAUCCACAAUUUGCAACACCCUACAACAGAAAAAGUCAGUUCAAAAUUACAGACAUUACUUACAAAUUCAGUUAAAUAGCUAAUUCAGAAUCAGAUUCAUUUAAUGAUGACUAAUUAUGAAAACUACAACUAAGAACAGUACCUAUGAACCCUAGAACUAAAUUCAGUAACUAUGAACCAUACAACUAAAUUCAGUAACUGUGAACCCUAUAACAUGAACAGUAACUAUGAACCCUAGAACAUGAACAGUAACUAUGAACCCUAGAACAUGAAUAGUACCUACAAACCCUAGAACAAGAAUUGGAAUGCUGCAAAGACACAACUUGAAACUUACUUCAGUGGCACAGGCAAUGAACCUCCUCACAGUGCUUAUCCCCUCAAAUGCAACAUAUUUCCUCCCUGGAUUCCCAUGCUCACAAAUCACAUUCAAGUCGUCAGUAAGACCCUCAAACGACGGCUCAUCAAUUGUAGCUGGGAUCUGAGAAAUCAAACAAAAACUUGUUCAAAUCGAGCAAAUGUUGAACCCUAGAAACCAUAUAACACAAAUGAGCAAUAGAAGGUUCUGACCUUGACAGGGGAGUCGUCGGAGGAGAUGUACUGCGCGGCGGAGCCCUUAGUGCUCUCGCUGUCGCUCCAGGACACCAUGGAGGCCGGCGGCCGGCGGCGACUGAAGAGGAGAGGAGCAAGAGGGAGGGGAGCGAGCAAGCGUGAGAGCAGAGAGAGCGAGCUAGAUGUGGUCGGGCAUGGGCGGUCUGUCUCUCGCGACCCGACCGCGUCGGUCUUAAGGUAACGGCAUCGUCCGCGCGUCCGUUUGGACACGUCACCCAAAUUGGGCCCUACCUGUCGGAAACACCCUCAACCGCGCCAAAUGGCAGGUUCAGUGCAAUCUGCAAAACUUUUACUGAAUGUGCGGUGGCUUUUGCAAAAGAUUAGCGACCGGGUUGUUUUCUGUAAGAGAAGCCCCAAAUGUGGUGGUUUCUUGCAAUUCACUCCGCACACGCCUUAAUCCACGUUAAUUCUGUUUUGCACGAAUCCUAAAGAAAUCUGUUAAAAUCUUAGUGCCAUGUGGGCAUCAUCGUGUGUGUGGGCGUGGAGAGUUCGCCCACAUGCCCUGCAGCACACGGCUUGCCAGCUGCGCUGUGUGGGCGAAAUAGUUUAUGCCCACACAAUCACCACGUAGUCCACACGCGUGUGAGCGAACUGCUUUUUGCCCACACGACGCUCGUACGUUGUUGGAUGGCAACUACAAUUGUGCGUACGUGGCAACUAGGUAAACACACAUGGCAACUAUGAUUUGUUGUUAGACGGCAACUGCAGUUGCACGUACAUGCCAACCAGAUAAACACACAUGACAACUGUGAUUAACCAUACAUGUCAACUAUGGUUGGAAAACACGUGACAACUAGGUAAACACACAUGGCAACUACUGCUUGACCAUAUGUGGCAAGUAGUUAAUCACACACGACAAUUAUGAUUUGAUUACAUGCGACAACUACCAUAAAUUAGACAUGGCAACUAUAGUUAACCAAAACAGAGAGAGUUGACAUGCUUUUACAGCUACAUUUUCCAUCCCGGAUAACUACAUCUGUCGUCCCGAAUGACAACUAAAUCGUCAUCCCGCAGGUACCUAACGUAGCUGCACCAGGACGUGUGGGCAUAUUUGCUUCGUGCCACGCGCGCGGGGUGGGGAUGUGUAGUACUUAUUGGACGUGUGGCAUGAAGUAACUGCGCCCACACGUGUGAGCAAUUCUAAUAUUUGCCCACACAUAACCCAUGUGGGCUGCCUUCUGCCACGCCACACAUGGUGUGUGGGCAAAUGUCUAAUAUGCCACACGUAUGGGCGUUAUCAGAACCCUAAAUGUAACAACACAAAAGGAAGAGUAGAAAGACCCACAAAUAUAAAUACACUACUUCUAUGGUGUAAGACGUGAUAAUCAUGUCAAAACGGGACACGACCAACCAAUUUUGGGGUAUAAUUAUUCCCAAUCUUCAUUAAGUCCACAAGUCCUAAGUGGCAUCUACAUGGAAAAAUAUAGUUGAUACAAGUUUAAAAGGUUCUAGCAAUAAGUCAAAGAGAGAUGCAAAAACUAAAGACAAAUAGUCCAAAGCCAAAGGAAGAACGCCCAAGAGGAAGAGGGUUGAGUGGGCUACUAAAUCAUGUAUAAUGCUUUACUCCCUAUUCCUAGUCUAUCAUGGAAAAAUAACCAAAAUUUACUUCAAAAAAGCUACCAUAACCAACAACACUCUUUAUCAUUUGUCAAUGGAGCUCUUGCCUAUUUACCCCCCUAGGAGAGCCGUCAUUCUAUCCUUAAGUAAAUACAAAAAGGGGAAAAGAAGUAUAGAGAUCUUCGCGAAGUCUCGCACCCCUAGAGUCGUGAAUGGAUAUGGAUAUCGUACUUUACAAACAUUAGCUUCUCUAGCUUUAUCAAUUGGCCUUCAUAUAAAGCCAUAGUACGCGACCCAUUAACAUUAUAUGUCACAAACACUAAUCAAAGAGACCCACUCACCUAGCUUCUUUUAGUGUUUGCUUAACCGAUUAUCUUUAGUUUUAUAGUUAUCUUCCGUGAUUGACUGUAAAAUAAACAUUGAGCAGAACAGUUCAAAAAUCACAUAUUGAGGCUACAAUAACAAUGAAAGUUUUACUAUGCUUCUCCACCAGGUUGUCCUAGCUAAACACACACACACAAAAUUUCCUUAGCCAGUAGUAAAAAUGUACUAGUAAUGUGGUUCAUGGGUUGUUUCUAGAGUGGAUGAUGUGGGUGUCUCUCGGUGGCUACUGGACUUGUUGCUCUACGUCGUAUUAACCUGGGAGCAGCUUUGGGGCGUUGUCUUCCCAAAGGUGUCAUGGUUUUUUAGCCUGCUAGACUAGAAAUAGAGCCGUGAGAGGCCACUUUCUCAGUGUUCUUCAUCCAACACGAAAUACGUUCUGUUGGGGAACAUAGUAAUUUCAAAAAAAAACUACGCACACGCAGGAUCAUGGUGAUGCACAGCAACGAGAGGGGAGAGUGUCGUCCACGUACCCUCGUAGACUGUUAAGCGGAAGCGUUAUGACAACGCGGUUGAUGUAGUCGUACGUCUUCACGAUCGACCGAUCCUCAGCACCGAACGUACGGCACCUCCGCGUUCAGCACACGUUCAGCUCGGUGACAUCCCGCAAACUCACGAUCCAGUAGAGCUCAGGGAAGAGUUUCGUUAGCACGACGGCGUGGUGACGAUGUUGAUGAAGCUACCACAGCAGGGCUUCACCUAAACACCGCUACAAUAUGACCGAGGUGGAUUAUGGUGGAGGGGGGGCACCGCACACGACUGGAGAGAUCUCAAUGAUCAACUUGUGUGUCUAGAGGUGCCCCCUGCCCCCGUAUAUAAAGGAGCAAGGGGGAGAGGCGGCCGGCCAGGAGGAGGCGCGCCAGGAGGAGUCCUACUCCCACCGGGAGUAAGACUCCCUCCUUUCCUAGUUGGAAUAGGAGAAGGGGGGAGGAGGGGGGAGAGAGGAAGGAAAGGGGGGGUGCCCCCCUCCUUGUCCAAUUCAGACUAGAGGAAGAGGGGGGGGGCGGCCUGCCUUGGCAGCCCCUCCUCUCUUCCACUAAGGCCCAUCAUGGCCCAUUAAACCCCCCAGGGGGUUCCGGUAACCCCCGGUACUCCCGUAAAAUCCCGAUUUCACCCAGAACACUUCCGAUAUCCAAAUAUAGGCUUCCAAUAUAUAAAUCUUUAUGUCUCAACCAUUUCGAGAAUCCUCAUCAUGUCUGUGAUCAAAUCCGGGACUCCGAACUACCUUCGGUACAUCAAAACAUAUAAACUCAUAAAACUGAUCGUCACAGAACUUUAAGCGUGUGGACCCUACGGGUUCGAGAACUAUGUGGACAUGACCGAGACACGUGUCCGGUCAAUAACCAAUAGCGGAACCUGGAUGCUCAUAUUGGUUCCUACAUAUUCUACGAAGAUCUUUAUCGGUCAAACCGCACAACACUAUACGUUGUUCUAUUUGUCAUCAAUAUGUUACUUGCCCGAGAUUCGAUCGUCGGUAUCCAAUACCUAGUUCAAUCUCGUUAUCGGCAAGUCUCUUUACUCAUUCUGUAAUACAUCAUCUUGUAACUAACUCAUUAGUUAUCAUGCUUGCAAGGCUUAUCGUGAUGUGUAUUACCGAGAGGGCCCAGAGAUACCUCUCCGACAAUCGGAGUGACAAAUCCUAAUCUUGAUCUAUGCCAACUCAACAAGUACCAUCGGAAACACCUGUGGAGCACCUUUAUGAUCACCCAGUUACGUUGUGACGUUUGGUAGCACACAAAGUGUUCCUGCGGUAUUCGGGAGUUGCAUAAUCUCAUAGUCAUAAGAACAUGUAUAAGUCAUGAAGAAAGCAAUAGCAGUAAACAAACGAUCAAGUGCUAAGCUAACGGAAUGGGUCAAUUCAAUCACAUCAUUCUCCUAAUGAUGUGAUCACAUUGAUCAAAUAACAACUCAUGUCAAUGGUUAGGAAACUUAACCAUCUUUGAUCAAUGAGCUAGUCAAGUAGAGGCAUACUAGUGACACUAUGUUUGUCUAUGUAUUCACACAUGUAUUAUGUUUCCGGUUAAUACAAUUCUAGCAUGAAUAAUAAACAUUUAUCAUGAAAUAAGGAAAUAAAUAAUAACUUUAUUAUUGCCUCUAGGGAACAUUUCCUUCAGUCUCCCACUUGCACUAGAGUCAAUAAUCUAGAUUACACAGUAAUGAUUUUAACACCCGUGGAGCCUUGGUGUUGAUCAUGUUUUGCUCGUGGAAGAGGCUUAGUAAACGGCUCUGCAACAUUCAGAUCCGUAUGUAUCUUGCAAAUCUCUAUGUCUCCUACCUGGACUUGAUCCCGGAUGGAGUUGAAGCGUCUCUUGAUGUGCUUGGUUCUCUUGUGAAAUCUGGAUUCCUUUGCCAAGGCAAUUGCACCAGUAUUGUCACAAAAUAUUUUCAUUGGACCCGAUGCACUAGGUAUGACACCUAGAUCGGAUAUGAACUCCUUCAUCCAGACUCCUUCAUUCGCUGCUUCCGAAGUAGCAAUGUACUCCGCUUCACAUGUAGAUCCCGCCACGACGCUCUGUUUGGAACUGCUCCAACUAACAGCUCCACCGUUUAAUAUAAACACGUAUCUGGUUUGCGAUUUAGAAUCGUCCGGAUUAGUGUCAAAGCUUGCAUCAACGUAACAAUUUACGAUGAGCUCUUUGUCACCUCCAUAAACGAGAAACAUAUCAUUGGUCCCUUUCAGGUACUUCAGGAUGUUCUUGACCGCUGUCCAGUGAUCCACUCCUGGAUUACUUUGGUACCUCCCUGCUAGGCUAAUAGCAAGGCACACAUCAGGUCUGGUACACAGCAUUGCAUACAUGAUAGGGCCUAUGGCUGAAGCAUAGGGAACACUUUUCAUUUUCUCUCUAUCUUCUGCAGUGGUCGGACAUUGAGUCUUACUCAACUUCACACCUUGUAACACGGGCAAGAACCCUUUCUUAGCUUGAUCCAUUUUGAACUUCUUCAAAACUUUAUCAAGGUAUGUGCUUUGUGAAAGUCCAAUUAAGCGUCUUGAUCUAUCUCUAUAUAUCUUGAUGCCCAAUAUAUAAGCAGCUUCACCGAGGUCUUUCAUUGAAAAACUCUUAUUCAAGUAUCCUUUUAUGUUAUCCAGAAAUUCUAUAUCAUUUCCAAUCAGCAAUAUGUCAUCCACAUAUAAUAUUAGAAAUGCUACAAAGCUCCCACUCACUUUCUUGUAAAUACAGGCUUCUCCAAAAGUUUGUAUAAAACCAUAUGCUUUGAUCACACUAUCAAAACGUUUAUUCCAACUCCGAGAGGCUUGCACCAGUCCAUAAAUGGAUCACUGGAGCUUGCACACUUUGUUAGCUCCCUUUGGAUCAAUAAAACCUUCAGGUUGCAUCAUAUACAACUCUUCUUCCAUAAAUCCAUUCAGAAAUGCAGUCUUUACAUCCAUUUGCCAAAUUUCAUAAUCAUAAAACACGGCAAUUGCCUACAUGAUUCAGAUGGACUUAAGCAUCGCUACAGGUGAGAAGGUCUCAUCAUAGUCAACUCCUUGAACUUGUCAAAAACCUUUUGCAACAAGUCGAGCUUUGUAGAUAGUAACAUUACCAUCAACAUCUGUCUUCUUCUUGAAGAUCAAAUUAUUCUCGAUGGCUUGCCAAUCAUUGGCAUGUCAACCAAAGUCUACACUUUGUUCUCAUACAUGGAUCCCAUCUCAGAUUUCAUGGCUUCAAGCCAUUUUGCGGAAUCUGGGCUCAUCAUCGCUUCCUCAUAGUUCGUACGUUCGUCAUGGUCAAGUAACAUGACCUCCAGAACUGGAUUACCGUACCACUCUGGUGCGGAUCUUGCUCUAGUUGACCUACGAGGUUUGGUAGAAACUUGAUCUGAAGUUACAUGAUCAGCAUCAUUAGCUUCCUCACUAAUUGGUGUAGGAGUCACAGAAACAGAUUUCUGUGAUGAACUACUUUCCAAUAAGGGAGCAGGUACAGUUACCUCAUCAAGUUCUACUUUCCUCCCACUCACUUCUUUCGAGAGAAACUCCUUUUCUAGAAAGGAUCCAUUCUUAGCAACGAAUAUCUUGCCUUCGGAUCUAUGAUAGAAGGUGUACCCAAUAGUUUCCUUUGGGUAUCCUAUGAAGACACAUUUCUCCGAUUUGGGUUCGAGCUUAUCAGGUUGAAGCUUUUUCACAUAAGCAUCGCAGCCCCAAACUUUAAGAAACGACAACUUUGGUUUCUUGCCAAACCAUAGUUCAUAAGGCGUCGUCUCAACGGAUUUUGAUGGUGCCCUAUUUAACGUGAAUGCAGCCGUCUCUAAAGCAUAACCCCAAAAUGAUAGCGGUAAAUCAGUAAGAGACAUCAUAGAUCGCACCAUAUCUAGUAAAGUACGAUUACUACGUUCAGACACACCAUUAUGUUGUGGUGUUCUGGGUGGCGUGAGUUGUGAAACUAUUUCGCAUUGUUUCAAAUGUAGACCAAACUCGUAACUCAAAUAUUCUCCUCCACGAUCAGAUCGCAGAAACUUUAUUUUCUUGUUACGAUGAUUUUCCACUUCACUCUGAAAUUCUUUGAAUUUUUCAAAUGUUUCAGACUUAUGUUUCAUUAAGUAGAUAUACCCAUAUUUUCUCAAAUCAUCUGUGAAGGUGAGAAAAUAACGAUACCCGCCGCGAGCCUCAAUAUUCAUCGGACCACAUACAUCAGUAUGUAUGAUUUCCAACAAAUCUGUUGCUCGCUCCAUAGUUCCGGAGAACGGCGUUUUAGUCAUCUUGCCCAUAAGGCAUGGUUCGCAAGUACCAAGUGAUUCAUAAUCAAGUGAUUCCAAAAGUCCAUCAGUAUGGAGUUUCUUCAUGCGUUUUAUACCAAUAUGACCCAAACUGCAGUGCCACAAAUAAGUUGCACUAUUAUUAUCAACUAUGCAUCUUUUGGUUUCAACAUUAUGAAUAUGUGUAUCACUACUAUCGAGAUUCAACAAGAAUAUACCACUCUUUAAGGGUGCAUGACCAUAAAAGAUAUUACUCAUAUAAAUAGAACAACCGUUAUUCUCUGAUUUAAAUGAUUAACCGUCUCGCAUCAAACAAGAUCCAGAUAUAAUGUUCAUGCUUAACGCUAGCACCAAAUAACAAUUAUUUAGGUCUAAAACUAAUCCCGAAGGUAGAUGUAGAGGUAGCGUGCCGACGGCGAUCACAUCGACUUUGGAACCAUUUCCUAUGCGCAUCGUCACCUCGUCCUUAGCCAGUUUUCGUUUAAUCCGUAGUCCCUGUUUCGAGUUGCAAAUAUUAGCAACAGAACCAGUAUCAAAUACCCAGGUGCUACUGCGAGCUCUGGGGAGGUACACAUCAAUAACAUGUAUAUCACAUAUACCUUUGUUCACCUUGCCAUCCUUAUUAUCCGCCAAAUACUUGGGGUAGUUCCGCUUCCAGUGACCAGUCUGUUUGCAGUAGAAGCACUCAGUCUCAGGCUUAGGUCCAGACUUGGGUUUCUUCUCCUGAACAGCAACUUGUUUGCCGUUCUUCUUGAAGUUCCCCUUCUUCUUCCCUUUGCCCUUUUUCUUGAAACUGGUGGUAUUAUUGACAAUCAACACUUGAUGCUCCUUCUUGAUUUCUACCUCCGUGGCCUUUAGCAUCGCGAAGAGCUCGGGAAUAGUCUUAUUCAUCCCUUGCGUAUUAUAGUUCAUCACGAAGCUUUUGUAGCUUGGUGGCAGUGAUUGAAGAACUCUGUCAAUGACACUAUCAAUAGGAAGAUUAACUCCCAGUUGAGCCAAGUGAUUAUGAUACCCGGACAUUUUGAGUAUAUGCUCACUGACAGAACUAUUCUCCUCCAUCUUGCAGCUAUAGAACUUAUUGGAGACUUCAUAUCUCACAAUCCGGGCAUUUGCUUGAAAUAUUAACUUCAACUCUUGGAACAUCUCAUAUGCUCCACGACGUUCAAAACGUCGUUGAAGUCCCAAUUCUAAGCCGUAAAGCAUGGCACACUGAACUAUCGAGUAGUCAUCAGCUUUACUCUGCCAAACGUUCUUAACGUUGUCAGCAGCAUCUGCAGCAGGCCUGGCACCCAGCGGUGCUUCCAGGACGUAAUUCUUCUCUGCAGCAAUGAAGAUAAUCCUCAAGUUACGGACCCAGUCCGUGUAAUUGCUACCAUCAUCUUUCAACUUUGCUUUCUCAAGGAACGCAUUAAAAUUCAACGGAAAAACAGUACGGGCCAUCUAUCUACAACAACAUAGAUAAGCAAAAAUACUAUCAGGUACUAAGUUCAUGAUAAAUUUAAAUUCAAUUAAUCAUAUUACUUAAGAACUCCCACUUAGAUAGACAUCCCUCGUAUCAUCUAAGUGAUCACGUGAUCCAUAUCAACUAAAUCAUGACCGAUCAUCACGUGAAAUGGAGUAGUUUUCAAUGGUGAACAUCACUAUGUUGAUCAUAUCUACUAUAUGAUUCACGCUCGACCUUUUGGUCUUAGUGUUCCGAGGCCAUAUCUGCAUAUGCUAGGCUCGUCAAGUUUAACCCGAGUAUUCUGCGUGUGCAAAACUGGCUUGCACCCUAGAUGGACGUAGAGCUUACCACACCCGAUCAUCACGUGGUGUCUCGGCACGACAAACUUUGGCAACGGUGCAUACUCAGGGAGAACACUUUUAUCUUGAAAUUUAGUGAGAGAUCAUCUUAUAAUGCUACCGUCAAACAAAGCAGAAUAAGAUGCAUAAAGGAUAAACAUCACAUGCAAUCAAUAUAAGUGAUAUGAUAUGGCCAUCAUCAUCUUGUGCUUGUGAUCUCCAUCUCCGAAGCAUCGUCACGAUCACCAUCGUCACCGGCGCGACACCUUGAUCUCCAUCGUAGCAUCGUUGUCGUCUCGCCAACUAUUGCUUCUACGACUAUCGCUACCGCUUAGUGAGAAAGUAAAGCAAUUACAGGACGAUUGCAUUGCAUACAAUAAAGAGACAACCAUAUGGCUCCUGCCAGUUGUCGAUAACUCCAUUACAAAACAUGAUCAUCUCAUACAAAGUAUAGCAUCAUGUCUUGACCAUAUCACAUCACAACAUGCCUUGCAAAAACAAGUUAGACGUACUCUACUUUGUUGUUGCAAGUUUUACGUGGCUGCUACGAGUUGAGCAAGAACCGUUCUUACCUACGCAUCAAAACCAUAACGAUAGUUCGUUGAGUUGGUGCUGUUUUAACCCUCUCAAGGACCGGGCGUAGCCACACUCGGUUCAACUAAAGUUGGAGAAACUGACACCCGCCAGCCACCUGUGUGCAAAGCACGUCGGUAGAAUCGUGUAAGCGUACGUGUAAUGUCGGUCCGGGCCGCUUCAUCCAACAAUACCGCCGAACCAAAGUAUGACAUGCUGGUAAGCAGUAUGACUUGUAUCGCCCACAACUCACUUGUGUUCUACUCAUGCAUAUAACAUCAACACAUAAAACCUGGCUCGAAUGCCACUGUUGGGGAAUGUAGUAAUUUCAAAAAAAACCUACACACACGCAGGAUCAUGGUGAUGCACAACAACGAGAGGGGAGAGUGUCGCCCACGUACCCUCGUAGACCGUUAAGCGGAAGCGUUAUGACAACGCGGUUGAUGUAGUUGUACGUCUUCACGAUCGACCGAUCCUCAGCAUUGAACGUACGACACCUCCGUGUUCAACACGCGUUCAGCUCGGUGACGUCUCGCGAACUCAUAAUCCAGUAGAGCUCGGGGAAGAGUUUCGUCAACACGACGGCGUGGUGACGAUGUUGAUGAAGCUACCGCAGCAGGGCUUCGCCUAAACACCUACAGUAUGACCGAGGUGGAUUAUGGUGGAGGGGGGCACCGCACAUGACUAGAGAGAUCUCAAUGAUCAACUUGUGUGUCUAGUGGUGCCCCUUGCCCCCGUAUAUAAAGGAGCAAGGGGGGAGAGGCGGCCAGCCAGGAGGAGGCGCGCCAGGAGGAGUCCUACUACCACCGGGAAUAAGACUCCCUCCUUUCCUAGUUGGAAUAGGAGGAGGGAGAGAGGAAGGAAAGGGGGCGUCGCCCCCCCCCCCUCCUUGUCCAAUUUGGACUAGAGGGAGAGGGGGGGCGCGGCCUGCCCUGGCAGCCCCUCCUCUCUUCCACUAAGGCCCAUCAUGGCCCAUUAAACCCCCGGGGGGGUUCCGGUAACCCCCGGUACUCCCGUAAAAUCCCGAUUUCACCCGGAACACUUCCGAUAUCCAAAUAUAGGCUUCCAAUAUAUAAAUCUUUAUGUCUCAACCAUUUCGAGACUCCUCGUCAUGUCUGUGAUCAAAUCUGGGACUCCGAACUACCUUUGGUACAUCAAAACAUAUAAACUCAUAAAACUGAUCGUCACAGAACUUUAAGCGUGCGGACCCUACGGGUUCGAGAACUAUGUAGUAAUGACCGAGACACGUCUCCGGUCAAUAACAAAUAGCGGAACCUGGAUGCUCAUAUUGGUUCCUACAUAUUCUACGAAGAUCUUUAUCGGUCAAACCGCACAACACUAUAUGUUGUUCUAUUUGUCAUGGUAUGUUACUUGCCCGAGAUUAUCCAAUACAUAGUUCAAUCUCGUUACCGGCAAGUCUUUUUACUCGUUCCGUAAUACAUCAUCCUGUAACUAACUCAUUAGUUAUCAUGCUUGCAAAGCUUAUAGUGAUGUGUAUUAUCGAGAGGGCCCAGAGAUACCUCUCUGACAAUCGGAGUGACAAAUCCUAAUCUUGAUCUAUGCCAACUCAACAAGUACCAUCGGAAACACCUAUAGAGCACCUUUAUGAUCACCCAGUUAUGUUUGUGACGUUUGGUAGCACACAAAGUGUUCCUCCGGCAUUCGGGAGUUGCAUAAUCUCAUAGUCAUAAGAACAUGUAUAAGUCAUGAAGAAAGCAAUAGCAGUAAACAAACGAUCAAGUGCUAAGCUAACGGAAUGGGUCAAGUCAAUCACAUCAUUCUCCUAAUGAUGUGAUCCCAUUGAUCAAAUAACAACUCAUGUCAAUGGUUAGGAAACUUAACCAUCUUUGAUCAAUGAGCUAGUCAAGUAGAGUCAUACUAGUGACACUAUGUUUGUAUAUGUAUUCACACAUGUAUUAUGUUUCCGGUUAAUACAAUUCUAGCAUGAAUAAUAAACAUUUAUCAUGAAAUAAGGAAAUAAAUAAUAACUUUAUUAUUGCCUCUAGGGCAUAUUUCCUUCACGUUCAGCAUCGCCAGGAUCGUCUGUCUCAUUUAUGGGUGUUCCUAUUUAAUGGUUGAGGCAACAAAGUGCCCCUAAAAGGCGCACUAGGCCUACUCUCAAAGCUUCUUCGCUCACUAGUUGCUUGCUACUCUGUUUUUCUAACUCGGCUCUUUUCUCCUGCCAACUCAAGAAAAAAUAUAGUACCGUCUUUAUAAAAACUAGUGAAAUUAAAAAAAACAGAUUAUAAAAUUAUCAUGAUUUUAAAAUUUUCUAGUAAAUUUAAAAAAGUUCAUAAAUUCAAAUAUUUUUUGAAUACUAAAAAAUUCCCAAGAGUUUAAAACAAUAAUUUGAAUAUUUUUUGAACUAAAAAAUGUUCAUGCUUCGAAAACAUGUUUGAGAAUUUAAAAAAUGUUCAUGAAUCUGACAAUGUCCAUGAAUAUGAAAAAUAUUCGCAAGUUUUAAAAUUUUGGCAAAAUUUUAAAAUAUUCAUGAAUCUAAACAUAUCCAUUGGUUUACAAAAUAUUAUUAAUUUGAAACAAACAAAAAUAUGACAACAAAGUACCAGAAAAUAUGAAGAAACCGUAAAAACAAACAUAAAAAUGAAAACAAAUCGGCGAAAAAAAAGAAAUACAAAAGGAGAAAAUGGGCUAGAAUCAUCUAGAACCUUCCCAAAACAGGAUGGAAGGUACAAAACCGGUAACAUGGUGCCUAUUUGGGCCGGCUUAAGAAUUGUUUUAGUCUAAACACGCCCUCUUUAUUAGUUGGUAACAAUGUUUAUCAGAAUACAACUAAUGGGAGGGAGUUGUAGGAGCCAAAUAUGUCUACCUACUGUAUGGCCUAGGGCAUGUUUAGCGAGACCGUGCGCCUCGAAAUUUGACUCCCCCCUCUUGAAAGAGAAGAAAAAAGACUAGAACUCCAACAUCAACGAUGAAAUCUCAUUCUCGUCAAGCCCUCCUCUGCCAUCCAUGAUGUUUUUCACAAUUCCUUUUCAAUCAGUCACCACUUUCAUAUGUUUCGUGAAGAGCAUUGCGUCUAGCAUGCCAAGGAAUUGUGAAAGGUAUUAUCUAGCUUUAGCCUGCUCAUUAGUAAAUGGGGCUUCCCGGGGCGUGCAUUCUAUACCAAAGGGCUACUAUUACACCCUACGGGGGUGAAAUAGGAAAUGCCCUCGCCUAUUGCGAUAUUGAACCUCACGUCGCCUCAAGCGUCCUUCCAGGCCAGUCCCAGUAUAAUGUGUAUCUACCACACACAGUUUCACAAAAAAAAUGAAAAGUUCACCACUCAUUAAAAAAUGUUCAUAUCAUUCAUAAAAAUGUUCAUCACACUAUUUAAAAAAAUCACGUGCUUAAAAUUAGUUUAUGACAUUGUAAAAAAUGUGCAUAUAUUAUGUAAUUUUAUUUUCUCAAUUUGUAAAAAAACAUUCAUAUGAUUCAAAAAAUGUUUAUGACACUUACAAAAUAUUCACAUGUUUAAAAAUAUGUUUUUGCGUGGAUAUUUUAAAAUGAGUUCAUGAUAUUUUUUUAAAUAAUCAUUAAAACGUAAAAAAGUGUUCCCGUAAUUGGCAGAAAACGUUCGUAACAUUCAAAUAAUAUCCAUGAAAUUUUAAAAAUGUUCACACAUCUAAAAAUAUGUCGCAUGACAUUGUAGGAAAUUUUCAUGAAAUUUAAAAAGUUAUCGACGUGUGUUUCAAAACGUUCAUUGUGUAUUAUUUGAUGUGCAUCUUAUAAAUGUGCAACAUGUAUUUAAAAAAAAUGUUAGACCUGUAUAUGGAAGAUAUUCAACAUGUAUUAAAAAGUAGAUGUGUAUAUCUGGAAAAAAUAAAUAAAGGAAAAGGAAACCGAGAAAAAAAACAAUGAAGAUAAACGUAGAAAAUGAAAAAUGAAAGAAAAACAUGUGAAAACUUUCCAUAACCACUCCCACUAUCUCGAUUGACAUACAUGGACUAGUUCUGCAUCGCAUGCGUUAACUUACUGCUGUACUGAACAUUCUAUAUCAUGAAGAUUGUUUUUUUUUUGUUGAGAAAUCCAUGAAGAUUUAUUGGUUUUUUUUAGGGAUAUGAAGAUUUAUCGGUAUAAACUCAUGAGCACACAUGAACCCAGAAAGAGCCCGGAGCAAGGCCACAAGACAACAAGAGUGUUUUUGUUCAAAAAAAAGACUACAAGAGUGUUUCCCUUUUCUCCAAGAAAAAAAACAAGAGUGUUUCCCAGGGUCAGUGGGGUCUCCUUGCUGCCGGGCCAAAGCCGCCCCGAUCGACUACCACCAAGUCCUGUACCCCAAAAAAACAAGUCCACUGUAGCUGCCCUCAGUCGCUCAAAAAAAAACUGCCCUAAAAAAAAGAAAUCCAAGCCCACUGUACCGAGACGUUGCCUGGCGGCCGGUACAGCAGCUUCCAAGCUGACACGCCACACUAGCGUGCCUUUUGCGAGAGGGACAGCCCUGCUCGCCCUCGCAUCGAGACACCACUCACUGUCCCACACCCGUCGCGACGGAGCGACCGGCGUCACGUGAAGCCACGUGAACCGGGGGCCUAUCAACCGGUCCACGGCUUUGUUUCAUUGUGCAGAAAUUUUUAUCGACCCCGAACAAAUCAUGGUGAUACAGGAGCAUCUUAAUAGUUUUCGUAUUCAUAGAAUAAUCAUAGUGUAAAGAACCUUCCUUUCUUUAGAAAUUUCAUAAAUCCUUUCAAACUUUCCCUUCGUCUACGGGGAAAAUAAGAAUUCCGUAAGGCCUUUUUUGGUUCAUACGAUAGGACUAUUGUAGGAAUAGGAAUCUUGUAAGAAAUGAGAUGACAUGUAUCUCAAAUUCUAUAAGUAUGAGUAGGAAUAGAAAACAAGAUGUCAUUUGAACACCAAAAGAAUUUUUUCAUUAAGCCUAGGCUUAUUUUUUUUUUUAUGAAAUGUGAAGGAUAGAAACCAAUCCUAUGUAGAAAUAGGAAUCAAUUCCUAUGAACCAAAAGGCUCUAAAAAAAUUCUAUAAAAAUCCUAUCCUCUAAAAUUUCUAUGAAAUUCCUCCAAACCAGGCCAAAAAGUGUCUCGUCUCAUCAGCUCACCACACCCACCACACGGCCACGGCGCGGCCGCUAACUGUCACGCCGCCGGCCGCCAUCCGCUGUUAGCCACUGUCGGACUUGUUAUCGUCGUUGUGCCACUGUUAAAAAUAUUUUUAGGAAAUGUGUUAAUAUCUCCAAAAUGUUAUAGACUCUGGAAAAAGGUUUAUGGGGAGAUAUUUUUGCUUCAGUUGCGCUACAGAGUUUCAAGUAGAAACUGAAAUAGAUCAAGGCAGGGCGCAGGACGUUGGAUCAAGUGCAUGAUGCAUCCAAAUAUGCUACGACCCCAAUGCUGCUAAGGGGCACCUGUUUGCCACCAGCGUAAGCUGAAACCAUCCCGUUUUCCAAUUAAUUUCAUGAAAUAUGUACAAGAAGUACUAGCAUUUGUAUGUACAGUACAUCCACCAUCAACAAUUUCCAAAGGUUUGCACAUGUUUGUUCCCCCUUCCAACCAGAAACAUACUGUGACGAGACAUGAUUGCUGCUACCCAAGUGCGCCCGGCCCAAGCUCAAGCCCAUCGAGGCCCCACAAAACCCACAUGUCGCUCCAUCCGUCCCCGCGAGGGCCGGUGCGGCGUCGUGAUCAGCUCGGGCCCCAGCAGCUGAGGUACAUGGCCUUGCGGAGCGACUCAUCGGCGCCGGCCUGCCUCCGGCCGUCGUCGGCGACGGCCCGCGCCGCCCCGAGCGCGGCGGCCUGGGGAGCGAGCCCGGCAAGCCGGUCCCGCGACCCCGCCCCCGCCGCCCUCUCCCUCUGCGCCCGCACGGCGGCCACCGUCGCUGCCACCCACACACGGCUCAUCUUAAAAUUCUACCCGAUCGGUUCGUUUCCAAAGUCCUCCUACUCUGUUCUCAGCUCGCUUCGCUCUCUUCUCUGUGCUGUGCACUGCUAGCUCUGGAGGUGUGAGAAUGGGGAAGAAGGGCCGGUAUUUGUAGUCCGAGCGAGGGCGGUUUUGGUCAUUGCGUCUGAUGGUUUCGUGGCUGCUGGUUUCGGUCUUAUCAGUGUGCGGUGGUGCGAUAUUGUCGCGGGAGAAAUGGGGCGGCAUGGCCGUGAGGGACCCAGCUCCGUGGGUCAGCUACAGGUGUCGAGGCUUAUCGCCGGGGGCAGUGGUGACUCAUCGUUUCCCAUGGCUGGCCGUGGGCUCCGCCUGCUUUGUCGCCUUUGUAUUCUCUUGUACUAUCCACUCUUGUCCACUUCCCCCGCACUUUGUUUGUUUACUGGAGUAGUCGUACAACGGAAUCGUGGUUGAGAGUUUUCCUUUGCGACAAAUCAUGGUGAGACUUCACAUGGUAAUUUGCUCAUCUUUUAUCGGAGACAACAAUAAUUGGUCUCAAACUGGAUCUUAUCACUACACUAAUCCCGCGUUUGGUGGUACUAUACGACGAUAGUAGUACUUCCUUCAUCACGGUUUAAAAAGCACAGUUAAAUUUGCGUGUGUUUUCAUAAUAGAUAAGGUUUAUGGCACAUUGCAUUUAUUUCUAGUAGCUAAUUAGUAUUUCGAUAUACUAUUUCUAUAUGCAUGCGUAGUGUGAAUGCUAUUUUUUAGCCCAUCUCAUAACCAAUAGAUAACAGUUGACAUGGCAAUUCUCCGAUUUUACUACCACGGGACACAAUAAUUGGUCCUAAUCGAGAGUAUGUCCAACAUCUCAACUUGUACCAGUACACUUUGAGAGUAGAUUCGACGAAGGGAAAUGAACAGGCUUAAAACACAUGCAUACGAGAGACACCAAUUCAGAGGUACUUUGACUCAAAAGAUUUCUAUAGAAUUUUUUAAGGUCAGAAUUCAUAAGAAUACUAGAAGGAUUGUGUACGCUUUGUUUUGCCCUUUGUGUUGUCGGAACUUCAUACAAAAAAAUUGGUUUGAUGCAUGCGUGAGGGUGAUGAUAGUGUAUGUUUUCUUUUUUUUUUAAUAAUGUGGUGUUUUGGUGGGCUUGUUCUAGAGGUGUGAUUCUGUAUUAAGCAACCUACAUGUAUUUUGAAAAAUUUCUUGUGAUGUUAAGCGCAUGUACUAUAUUAGUGAUACAAUGUUGCAUGUUUAUGAUUUUUUUUCAGGUGAUGAAAGGGUCAUAUGUUUUUAUAGGCUGACCAUUGCCGAUAGAUUUGAGAACUCAUUGACUCGGUUAAAAUCAUGAACCAAAUUCAAAAUUGGACACCUUAAUCAAAACCAUUGACCCAGUCAAAAUUGUGAACCAUAUCCGAAUUUUAACACCUGAAUUGAAUAAAAACUAUGAACCAAAUUCAAAACAACCACAAUCAAAGUCAUUGAUCUAGUCAAAAUUGUGAACCACGACCAAAUAGAACACCUCAAUUGAAUAAGAGAGCUCCAAAAUUAGGAGCAUAGCCUAUUUAUAUUUUAUAGAUGUGCUAUGUUAGGUUUUGAUCAUAUGAUUGGAUCAUAUAGGAUUUUUCCCAAAUGAAUCAUGUGUAUUGUAUUUCAUUAGAAAUCUAGCAUCCACUUCAACCUCCUUUUACGAUUCCUUUCUUUUUCUGUGACGUCAAGCACUCCAUGCUAAUCUUAUAGUCAAGCACUCCAUGCUAAUCUUAUAGGAUUCAAAUGUGCAUGUCACUUUAAUCCUAUAUUUUGCCUAUUCAUAUGUUUGAGAAUCGUGAGAAUCAAAGUGGGUCUUACAUGAAAAAUACCCUAUGGGCAAAGAGUAACUGUCGUAGGACAAUCGGUCCACUAUAAUCCUAUUAUCAAAUUGGAUGCAAUGAAGNNNNNNNNNNNNNNNNNNNNNNNNNNNNNNNNNNNNNNNNNNNNNNNNNNNNNNNNNNNNNNNNNNNNNNNNNNNNNNNNNNNNNNNNNNNNNNNNNNNNNNNNNNNNNNNNNNNNNNNNNNNNNNNNNNNNNNNNNNNNNNNNNNNNNNNNNNNNNNNNNNNNNNNNNNNNNNNNNNNNNNNNNNNNNNNNNNNNNNNNNNNNNNNNNNNNNNNNNNNNNGUCAUGACCAUAAACAACAACCACUCUUAGGAGGAGUAAACAACAUGCAAGUAAAACCAGCAAAUAGAUAAACACAAUAUAUGUCCUCUUUCAUUCUUGGAUGGUUGCUCUCAAACCAUUUACCCUAUUGCAUGAAACUUGGUAAAAUAUGUACCACAAUGUGAUGAUAUCAAAACUCCACCGCUAUCCAACAACAUUUAAUUGACCCCUAUGACUCAAAAUAUAAUCAAAUUAUACGCCUUUAAGUUUCAUAUAAACAUAUUAGACCAAGUCAUUUAUGAAACUAGAUGAUACCCCACGCGUUGCUGCGAGAAUUUGUUGCUAUAUAUUUUAAUGCGAUUUGGUUGAAUGAAAUUUUGCCAAGGUAAUUUGUUCUCUUUAGCAAUGCACAAUACUGCGAUCCAUGUAAAAAUAAUGCAAUGUUGCUAACAAAAAGGUGGAAUAUGAGUUUACCUCCAGUGGGUAGUAAGAGGCCAUAAAAAUUAGCUAGCAAUCAAUAUUACGUAUGUGGCAUCAGCUGUAUAUAAAGAACUCUGUCUAUGUGCACACCAUUGUAAAUUAUACUGAAUGUACUUUAAAAUAACUGUAAAUAUUUUUUUUCAAUUGGAAUUAAAAAGAAUUACAAAUGCCAUGCACCAUAAAGACUUAACUUACGUAUUCUCAUCUAUAAGAUCAGAGGACAGAGAGUUAGCCUUCCAUCCCAACAUGAAACUGCAAUGCAACAUCAGGUGGGAAAUGUCCAAAUGGGAACUGAAAAAGCGGGAUGAGGAAGAAUAAGUUCCCUAAAUAAGAAACGACAUUCGAACAUAAAAAACAUGUGCAUCCUGAUGCUUAUAAAAGGUAGAAGACUUUACAUCGCCUCUGUUUAUGCUAAGAGAAACCUCAUAUUUUGGCUCAUAUACGUCAAACAAAUUCAGUUAAGAAAGACCUCAGUCGCAUAGUAGAUCCAAGAAGAAAGCAUGUGAGCUAAUGUUUGGGAUGACUUGCCUGACAUUGAAGUGCGGAGAACUCAAACGGCAGUGUCACCAGUCCGCUACAGUGCCUCGGGUGGCGUCAUCAAGUACGCCGGCAGUUCGAUCUGCUAAAAAUUGAUGUGGAGACACCUCUAUUUUGGGCUUGAUUAGCCUUAUAGAUUGGGAUUGCUGGCUGUAGCACACGUAUAUCCUGAGAAGAUUUUUAAGGCUUGGGAUAUAAGAAUUUGGGGUCGGAGCAUGGUGUUAAGGGAUGACGAAUAAGGUUGAACUUUACCUCUGCAAAUGGGAGAAUGGACUCGAUAGGAGACUGUAGUUGGACGGCAGUCGGCAACAACGCAAAUCUCAUUUCAUCAGAACUCCCCACAUGUCGAUGGACUCGAGUUGGUCCCCCGUCCCAGCCAUGGGGACGCGCCCGGCGGCCGGCGGUACUCAGAGGCCGGACGGGGAGCACACAGGUGCCCGCUGUUUCCAGACGCCGCGCUAUGCAGAUGGGCGACAUCGACAGCAAGCUCAGAUGCUGCUGCGACAGCACGUUGGGGAGAUGCGAUCCUCCCAUCCCCUGCCCGCGGCCACUCCUUCUAUAUCCUCCUCCAUCCUCCUCCUAUCCCUUCUGCGUCGAGCAAGAUUUGAAAGGGGAUGAGGAUGCGAUGUUGAGGCACUUGCCAUGAUUUGGAGAGGCGAUCAAUUAUGUCUCUUCGGAUGCUUGCGUUAGUUCCAGAACAUAUGAGCCGUCGCAAGAUCACGAGUCAUACGGGCAUGCGAGACAACGCAGUAGUAUGCGGCUCGGGAACGUGACUCGCCGAAGUUGCCUCUAAUUUAAUUAAAAAACGUGAAGCGGACAGAAGAGAAAUUAAAUCAUCACAAAAAUAAGAUGAUGUGGCUAGACUAAUGAGGUGGAGUGAGAUGAGUGGCUGCAUGUUGAUUGAUGAUGUGGAUAGCUUGUAUGUCAAUAGAAAUAAGAUAGUGAGGAUCAACUAUUUAGGUAUUAUAGAUCUGAUGCUCCAAGCACCACAAACAACUAAUAAAGAUACAAUGCUCUUGAGCUAAUCCAACCAUGUCUAAGCCUCCAACGGACAAGAUCAGUGAAGAUCAAGAAGAAAUUAUCUAUGUGGAAUAGACUUCUCAUCUCAGGUUGUUGGACCACUUAUUUUUUUGCACCAGUAGGGAAAACAUGUUCCCUGGAAACUUCAGAUAGGGUAGGAACCUUAUAACUCUAUGGUUAAAUAUCUAUGCCUCUACUCCUCUUCGGCAUCUCUUACGCCAACAGAAGGGAGCAUCACACAACAUUUUUUGGACUCGUUGUAACAUUGAAGUACGGCACGCAUCAGUGCUCUCAUGAUGACUAACUUUCCAUACACUACUCCUUGAAUCCCCAAUAUUAACCCUAACAGAGGCACUGGCAUCACCAUGCAAUUAGAAACCCGUCAAUUAGAUGAUCACUUGAAAAAUUAAACAAAAGUGAUCAUUAGAGUAUGUAUGGUUGUUUUAAGUCAACAACAUUUGCGUAAACAACAAGAUAUUAACUCAAGAUUGCUAAAUUUGAAACAAUCUGCAUAGAUGUUCAUGGUUUGGUAGCAAAUUAGCAUGACUGUUAUAUAUACUCCAUGAAAUCAAUUUUGGACUGAAUGACAGAGCAAAUUAGAAGAGUUAACUCUUGUGGGGGAUUCAUAUGAGCAAGAUAAUGUUUGUUGCAGUAAUCUUUUGCAUUACAAUAAAAAUAAUCCAUGACUCCAUCUGCUUUUGACUUGGUGACUCUUGCUACCAAGCAAUAGUAUACACUCAAGUCAGUAAUGCCUCUCCAAAGUGGGGAAUGUUGCCAACCCUUGUUAAGGCGAUGAUUUGAGGAUGUUGCAUUGCCACUGACAAAAUUGAUAGCUCGCAUGAAAUAUGUAUGGUUACGAUUAGAGGCUAGUGAAUCUAGUAAAUGAUUAAUAAUCCACCAAUUCAUGUUCACCAAUUAUAAUUAUAUCCCGCAAGUCUCGUGACUCCUUUGUAUUUAGUGAUGGUACAUUCUAAGGGCAUUUCUAACCGAUCCCCUAAAAAUAGCGGAGUAUCCGGCGGAGUAAAAGCUUAGUGGAGUAUAUAUACUCAACUAAAAUUUCGUCGGACCUAGCCGAUCCCCUAUAUAUGACAGAGUAAAAAAUAGUUGCAUUUCAUUUUCGGCCAUCGAAACACAUUUCUUUGCUUCUUUAUUUCAUUCAACGACAUUGGAGUACAUAAUUCACCAAUUCUUUGCCACGAGAGCAAGACUAAGAAAGCAAGAACCACAAUUAGACAUUUCAAAAUAUAUUCAAUUUUCUUAACUGCUCCCACUAGUUGGAUUAAUAUCUUCUCUAUGUCUUCAUUGUUGAUCUGCGGCUUCUCGAUCUUGGACACUUCUUUCUUCUUUGAUUCUAAAGAAGUAGAUGUUGCUUCGCAUCUAAUCUCACCUCUAGUCUGAUCUCUAGCUUCGAUUUUAACAAUGAGCGCACAGACAUCUAUCAAAUUUUGUGCUAUCAACAGAUCAAUGUUUUCUUCCCAAUACCAAAACUUGCAUCCCUCCUACACACAAUUUUGAGCAAGCAAUGAGAUACCGAAAUUGCGUCGAAUCCGGUGUACAACCAAAUCAAAACAAGCACAUACCCCAUAAUUUGUGCACUUGAAGAAAACCUAUUCGGGAUGUUGCGGCGUGGUAGAAACUUGGCCCACCACCCGCCGCGUGCAGUCGUAUCACUGUAUGACCGGCAAGGUUGAUGUAGGGUGGCUAUUUAUAACCGAUGGAGCAAGCUCUAGGGAUGAUAUGACUAUUGGAGGCUCACUCACAACGUCAAGAUAACACAUGGCUAACUAUCAGAUUUCUAAACAGGCCACUCAUGUGGAUUGUCUUGCCACGCAAGACAUCCAGCUUCAGCGAGGCAUUGAACUAAUGGGUCCCGAAGAAUUACAUCUCGGACUUCGAAGCCAAAUGAACUCAUAUUUGAACUCUCAAAUUCUUCACUCGAAGAUUUAGGUUUGGAUUGAGCACACAUUAGAAGAGUUGAAUCUAACUUUCACUUAGACCCCUCUUAAUAAUAUGUUUGUCCUAUUUACUCAGAUAGAAGUAAAAACUAGUAAACAAAAGUCCAAUCUUUUGCUUCACAUUUGUCAAUGAACUUCGUGUUGGGGAAUGCAGUAAUUUCAAAAAAAUCCUAUGCACACGCAAGAUCUAUCAUGGUGAUGCAUAGAAACGAGAGGGGAGAGUGUAGUCCACGUACCCUCGUAGACCGUAAGCGGAAUCGUUAUGACAACGUGGUUGAUGUAGUCGUACGACUUCGCGAUCCGAACGAUCCUAGUACCGUAAGUACGGCACCUCCGUGAUCUACACACGUUCGGGUCGGUGACGUCCCACGAACUCUUGAUCCAGCUAAGUGUUGAGGGAGAGUUUCGUGAGCACGACGGCGUGAUGACGAUGAUGAUGAAUUUACCGGCGCAGGGCUUUGCCUAAGCACUAUGAAGAUUUGACUGGGGUGGAUUAUGGUGGAGGGAGGCACCACACAUGGCUAAGACAGAUGUUUGUUGUGUGUUCUAGGGUGCCCCCUGCCCCCGUAUAUAAAGGAGUAAGGGGGGAGGCCGGCCGGCCCUAGGGCGCACCAAGGAGGGAAGGAAUCCUCCUCCUAGUAGGAGUAGGGUCCCUCCUUUCCUAGUAGUUUCUACUAGGAGGGGGGAGGAGUGGGAGAGGGGAAGGAAAAGGGGGGGGGGCGCCACCCUCCUCCUAGUCCAAUUCGGACUCAAGGGGGAGGUGAAGGAAAUAUGCCCUAGAGGCAAUAAUAAAGUUAUUAUUUAUUUCCUUAUAUCAUGAUAAAUGUUUAUUAUUCAUGCUAGAAUUGUAUUAACCGGAAACAUAAUACUUGUGUGAAUACAUAGACAAACUAAACGUCACUGGUAUGCCUCUACUUGACUAGCUCGUUAAUCGAAGAUGGUUAUGUUUCCUAACCAUAGACAUGUGAUGUCAUUUGAUUAACGGGAUCACAUCAUUAGGAGAAUGAUGUGAUUGACAUGACCCAUUCCAUUAGCUUAGCACCCGAUCGUUUAGUAUGUUGCUAUUGCUUUCUUCAUGACUUAUACAUGUUCCUGUGACUAUGAGAUUAUGCAACUCCCGUUUGCCAGAGAAACACUUUAUGUGCUACCAAACGUCACAACGUAACUGGGUGAUUAUAAAAGUGCUCUACAGGUGUCUCCAAAGGUACAUGUUGGGUUGGCGUAUUUCGAUAUUAGGAUUUGUCACUCCGAUUGUCAUAGAGGUAUCUCUGGGCCCUCUCGGUAAUGCACAUCACUUAAGCCUUGCAAGCAAUGCAACUAAUGAGUUAGCUGUGAGAUGAUGUAUUACGAAACGAGUAAAGAGACUUGCCAAUAACGAGAUUGCACUAGGUAUUGAGAUACCGACGAUCGAAUCUCGGGCAAGUAACAUACCGAUGACAAAGGGAACAACGUAUGUUGUUAUGCGGUCUGACCGAUAAAGAUCUUCGUAGAAUAUGUAGGAGCCAAUAUGAGCAUCCAGGUUCCGCUAUUGGUUAUUGACCGGAGACGUGUCUCGGUCAUGUCUACAUUGUUCUCGAACCCCUAGGGUCCGCACACUUAACGUUACGAUGAUAGUUUCAUUAUGAGUUUAUAUAUUUUGAUGUACCGAAGGUUGUUCGGAGUCCCGGAUAUGAUCACGGACAUGACGAGGAGUCUCGAAAUGGUUGAGACAUAAAGAUCAAUAUAUUGGACGGCUAUAUUCGGACACCGGAAGUGUUUCGGGUAAUUUCGGAGAAAACCGGAGUGCCGGAAGGGUUACCGGAACCCCCCAGGGAAGUAUUGGGCCUUAGUGGGCCCGAGGGGAGAGAGAGGGCAGCAGCCCAGGAGGUGGCGCGCCCCCUCCCAUGAGGAGUCUGAAUUGGACUAGGGGAGGGGUGCGCGGCCCCUCUUUCCCUCUCCCUCUCCCUCUCUUUCCUUUCCCCUUCUCUCUUCCUAGUUGGACUAGGAAAAGGGUGUCCUAUUCCUACUAGGAGGAGGACUCCCCCCUCCUUGGCACGCCCCAAGGGACGGCCGGCCUCCCCCUUGCUCCUUUAUAUACGGGGGCAGGGGGCACCUCUAUACACACAAGUUGAUCUUCGUGAUCGUUCUCUUAGCCAUGUGCGGUGCCCCCCUCCACCAUAAUCCUCGAUAAUAUUGUAGCGGUGCUUAGGCGAAGCCCUGCGACGGUAGAACAUCAAGAUCGUCACCACGCCGUCGUGCUGACGGAACUCUUCCCCGACACUUUGCUGGAUCAGAGUCCGGGGAUCGUCAUCGAGUUGAACGUGUGCUAGAACUCGGAGGUGUCAUAGUUUCGGUGCUUGAUCGGUCGGGCCCUGAAGACGUACGACUACAUCAACUGCGUUGUGCUAACGCUUCCGCUUCCGGUCUACGAGGGUACGUAGACAACACUCUCCCCUCUCGUUGCUAUGCAUCACCAUGAUCUUGCGUGUGCGUAGGGAAAAUUUGAAAUUACUACGUUCCCCAACAGUGGCAUCCGAGCCUAGGUUUUAUGUGCUGAUGUUAUAUGCACGAGUAGAACACAAGUGAGUUGUGGGCGAUAUAAGUCAUACUGCUUACCAGCAUGUCAUACUUUGGUUCGGCGGUAUUGUUGGAUGAAGCGGCCCGGACCGACAUUACAUGUACGCUUACGCGAGACUGGUUCUACCGACGUGCUUUGCACACAGGUGGCUGGCGGGUGUUAGUUUCUCCAACUUUAGUUGAACUGAGUGUGGCUACGCCCGGUCCUUGCGAAGGUUAAAACAGCACCAACUUGACAAACUAUAGUUGUGGUUUUGAUGCGUAGAUAAGAUUGGUUCUUGCUUAAGCCCGUAGCAGCCACGUAAAACUUGCAACAAACAAAGUAGAGGACGUCUAACUUGUUUUUGCAGGGCAUGUUGUGAUGUGAUAUGGUCAAGAAAUGAUGCUAAAUUUUAUUGGGCCAUUUGCAUUUCUGUCCCUAACUCGAACCACCUAAUCAGAUAUACCCCUAAUUCGAAAGCCUGCUCAAAUUUGCCCCUCCGCCGUUAGGUGCCCUUAUAGAAAUGCCCUUCUACGCCAUUACCGUCCGGUCAAACAGCUUUGACCGUCCUAAAAAAAAUAGCAAAAAAAUCUAAAAAAUCUAAAUUUUUGUGAGAUCGAAGAUACUCAUGUGCCCAAGGUCUGUGCAAAUUUUCGUGCUAUUUGGACAUUCCAGGAGCUCGUGGCGAGAAAAAACAGUUAAUCUGCACGCUUGUGAACAAUAAAUUUGAAAUAAAAUAGCAAGAAAAUUUAAAAAAAUAUGAAUUUUUUUGGCAUCAAAGUGGCUUGGGUGCACAAGGUGCUUGCAAGUUUUUGUGAUCAAAAGACAUGCGAGGAGCUCUAGCAAGAAAAAAGAAAAUAGUCAUUUUUCCCAAGUUUUUUCCCGAGCCAAAUUUUGUUUUUUCUCCACAAGCCCCUUCAAUGUCCAAACACAACAAAAAUUUGCACGCAGCUUGCAGACUCGCGCCUCUUUGAUGCCAAAAAAAUUUAUAUUUUUUUAAUUUUCUUGCUAUUUUUUGAAUUUACUGUUCACAGGCUUACAUAUUUAUUGUUUUUCCUCUGACAUGAGCUCCUGGAAUGUACAAACAGCACGAAACUUUUCACGCACCUUGCAAACCUGAGUAUCUUUGAUCCCACAAAUUUUCAGAUUUUUUAGAAUUUUUUUGCUAUUUUUUCAGGACGGUCAAAGCCCUUUGACCUGCUUUGACCUGCUUUGACCGGACGGUAACGACACAGAAGGGUAUUUCUGUAAGUGCACCGAACUGCGGAGGGGCAAAUUUGAGCAGGCUUUGAAAUUAGGGGUAAAUCUGAGAGUGGGCGCAAAUUAGUGGCAUAGAUGUAAAUGUCCCAAUUUUAUUGUAUGAGAUGAUCAUGUUUUGUAACCGAGUUAUCGGCAACUGGCAGGAGCCAUAUGGUUGUCGCUUUAUUGUAUGCGAUGCAAUCGCCCUAUAAUGCUUUACUUUAUCACUAAGCGGUAGCGAUAGUCGUAGAAGCAUAAGAUUGGCGAGACGACAACGAUGCUACGAUGGAGAUCAAGGUGUCGCGCCGGUGACAAUGGUGAUCAUGACGAUGCUUCGGAGAUGGAGAUCACAAGCACAAGAUGAUGAUGGCCAUAUCAUAUCACUUAUAUUGAUUGCAUGUGAUGUUUAUCUUUUAUGCAUCUUAUCUUGCUUUGAUUGACGGUAGCAUUAUAAGAUGAUCUCUCACUAAAUUUCAAGAUAAAAGUGUUCUCUCUGAGUAUGCACAGUUGCCAAAGUUCGUCGUGCCCAGACACCACAUGAUGAUCGGGUGUGAUAAGCUCUACGUCCAUCUACAACGGGUGCAAGCCAGUUUUGCACACGCAGAAUACUCAGGUUAAACUUGACGAGCCUAGCAUAUGCAGAUAUUGCCUCGGAACACUAAGACCGAAAGGUCGAGCGUGAAUCAUAUAGUAGAUAUGAACAUAGUGAUGUUCACCAUUGAAAACUACUCCAUUUCACGUGAUGAUCGGUUAUGGUUUAGUUGAUUUGGAUCACGUGAUCACGUAGAUGAUAAGAGGGAUGUCUAUCUAAGUGGGAGUUCUUAAGUAAUAUGAUUAAUUGAACUUAAAUUUAUCAUGAACUUAGUACCUGAUAGUAUCUUGCUUGUUUAUGUUUAAUUGUAGAUAGAUGGCCCGUGCUAUUGUUCCGUUGAAUUUUAAUGCGUUCCUUGAGAAAGCAAAGUUGAAAGAUGAUGGUAGCAAUUACACGGACUGGGUCCAUAACUUGAGGAUUAUCUUCAUUGCUGUAGAGAAGAAUUACGUCCUGGAAGCACUGCUGGGUGCCAGGCCUACUGCAGAUGCUGCUGACAACGUUAAGAACGUUUGGCAGAGUAAAGUUGAUGACUACUCGAUAGUUCAGUGUGCCAAGCUUUACGACUUAAAACCGGGACUUCAACGAUGUUUUGAACGUCAUGGAGCAUAUGAGAUGUUCUAGGAGUUGAAGUUAAUAUUUCAAGCAAAUGCCCGGAUUGAGAAUAUGAAGUCUCCAAUAAGUUCUAUAGCUGCAAGAUGGAGGAGAACAGUUCUGUCAGUGAGCAUAUACUCAAAAUGUCUGGGUAUAAUAAUCACUUGAUUCAACUGGGAGUUAAUCUUCCGGAUGAUUGCGUCAUUGACAGAAUUCUCCAAUCACUUCCACCUAGCUACAAGAGCUUCGUGAUGAACUAUAAAUACAAGGGAUGGAUAAAACAAUUCCCGAUCUCUUCACAAUGCUAAAAACUGCGGAGGUAGAAAUCAAGAAGGAGCAUCAAGUGUUGAUGGUCAACAAGACCACUAGUUUCAAGAAAAAGGGCAAGGUGAAGAAGAAGGGGAACUUCAAGAAGAACAGCAAGCAAGUUGCUGCUCAGGAGAAGAAACCCAAGUCUAGUCCUAAGCCUGAAACUGAGUGCUUUUACUGCAAGCAGACUGGUCACUGGAAGCGGAACUGCCCCAAGUAUUUGGCGGAUAAGAAGGAUGGCAAGGUGAACAAAGGUAUAUGUGAUAUACAUGUUAUUGAUGUGUACCUUACUAGAGCUCGCAGUAGCACCUGGGUAUUUGAUACUGGUUUUGUUGCUAAUAUUUGCAACUCGAAACAGGGACUACGGAUUAAGCGAACACUGGCGAAGGACGAGGUGACGAUGCGUGUGGGAAAUGGUUCCAAAGUCGAUGUGAUCGCAGUCGGCACGCUACCUCUACAUCUACCAUCGGGAUUAGUAUUAGACCUAAAUAAUUGUUAUUUGGUGCCAGCGUUAAGCAUGAACAUUAUAUCUGGAUCUUGUUUGAUGCGAGACGGUUAUUCAUUUAAAUCAGAGAAUAAUGGUUGUUCUAUUUAUAUGAGUAAUAUCUUUUAUGGUCAUGCACCCUUGAAGAGUGGUCUAUUUUUGAUGAAUCUCGAUAGUAGUGAUACACAUAUUCAUAAUGUUGAAGCCAAAAGAUGCAGAGUUGAUAAUGAUAGUGCGACUUAUUUGUGGCACUACCGUUUAGGUCAUAUCGGUGUAAAGCGCAUGAAGAAACUCCAUACUGAUGGACUUUUGGAACCACUUGAUUAUGAAUCACUUGGUACUUGCGAACCGUGCCUCAUGGGCAAGAUGACUAAAACACCGUUCUCCGGUACUAUGGAGAGAGCAACAGAUUUGUUGGAAAUCAUACAUACAGAUGUAUGUGGUCCAAUGAAUGUUGAAGCUCAUGGUGGAUAUCGUUAUUUUCUCACCUUCACAGAUGAUUUAAGCAGAUAUGGGUAUAUCUACUUAAUGAAACAUAAGUCUGAAACAUUUGAAAAGUUCAAAGAAUUUCAGAGUGAAGUUGAAAAUCAUCGUAACAAGAAAAUAAAGUUUCUACGAUCUGAUCGUGGAGGAGAAUAUUUGAGUUACGAGUUUGGUCUACAUAUGAAACAAUGCGGAAUAGUUUCGCAACUCACGCCACCCGGAACACCACAGCGUAAUGGUGUGUUCGAACGUCGUAAUCAUACUUUACUUGAUAUGGUACGGUCUAUGAUGUCUCUUACAGAUUUACCGCUAUCGUUUUGGGGUUAUGCUUUAGAGACGGCCACAUUCACGUUAAAUAGGGCACCAUCAAAAUCUGUUGAGACGACGCCUUAUGAACUGUGGUUUGGCAAGAAACCAAAGUUGUCGUUUCUAAAAGUUUGGGGCUGUGAUGCUUAUGUGAAAAAACUUCAACCUGAUAAGCUCGAACCCAAAUUGGAGAAAUGUGUCUUCAUAGGAUACCCAAAGGGGACAGUUGGGUACACCUUCUAUCACAGAUCCGAAGGCAAGACAUUUGUUGCUAAGAAUGGAUCCUUUCUAGAGAAAGAGUUUCUCUCAAAAGAAGUGAGUGGGAGGAAAGUAGAACUUGAUGAGGUAACUAUACCUGCUCCCUUAUUGGAAAGUAGUACAUCACAGAAACCGGUUUCUGUGACACCUACACCAAUUAGUGAGGAAGUUAAUGAUGAUGAUCAUGAAACCUCAGAACAAGUUACUACUGAACCUCGUAGAUCAACCAUAGUAAGAUUCGCACCAGAGUGGUACGGUAAUCCUGUUCUGGAAGCCAUGCUACUAGAUCAUGAUGAACCUGCAAACUAUGAAGAAGCGAUGGUGAGCCCAGAUUCCGCAAAAUGGCUUGAAGCCAUGAAAUCUGAGAUGGGAUCCAUGUAUGAGAACAAAGUGUGGACUUUGGUUGACUUGCCCAAUGAUCGGCAAGCAAUUGAGAAUAAAUGGAUCUUCAAGAAGAAGACUGACGCUGACGGUAAUGUUACUGUCUACAAAGCUUGACUUGUCGCAAAAGGUUUUCGACAAGUUCAAGGGAUUGACUACGAUGAGACCUUCUCACCCAUAGCGAUGCUUAAAUCUGUCUGAAUCAUGUUAGCAAUUGCCGCAUUUUAUGAUUAUGAAAUUUGGCAGAUGGAUGUCAGAACUGCAUUCCCGAAUGGAUUUCUGGAAGAAGAGUUGUAUAUGAUGCAACCGGAAGGUUUUGUCGAUCCAAAGGGAACUAACAACGUGUGCAAACUCCAGCGAUCCAUUUAUGGACUGGUGCAAGCCUCUCGGAGUUGGAAUAAACACUUUGAUAGUGUGAUCAAAGCAUUUGGUUUUGUACUGACUUUUGGAGAAGCCUGUAUUUACAAGAAAGUGAGUGGGAGCUCUAUAGCAUUUCUGAAAUGAUAUAGAAUUUCUGGAUAGCAUAAAUGGAUACUUGAAUAAGAGUUUUUCAAUGAAAGACCUCGGUGAAGCUGCUUACAUAUUGGGCAUUAAGAUCUAUAGAGAUAGAUCAAGACGCUUAAUUGGACUUUCACAAAGCACAUACCUUGACAAAGUUUGGAAUAAGUUCAAAAUGGAUCAAGCAAAGAAAGGAUUCUUGCCUGUGUUACAAGGUGUGAAGUUGAGUAAGACUCAAUGCCCGACCACUGCAGAAGAUAGAGAGAAAAUGAAAGAUGAUCCCUAUGCUUUAGCCAUAGGCUCUAUCAUGUAUGCAAUGCUGUGUACCAGACCUGAUGUGUGUCUUGCUAUAAGUCUAGCAGGGAGGUACCAAAGUAAUCAAGGAGUGGAUCACUGGACAGCGGUCAAGAACAUCCUGAAAUACCUAAAAAGGACUAAGGAUAUGUUUCUCGUAUAUGGAGGUGACAAAGAGCUCAUCGUAAAUGGUUACGUUGAUGCAAGCUUUGACACUGAUCCGGACGAUUCUAAAUCGCAAACCGGAUACGUAUUUACAUUAAACGGUGGAGCUGUCAGUUGGUGCAGUUCUAAACAAAGCGUCGUGGCGGGAUCUACAUGUGAAGCGGAGUACAUAGCUGAUUCGGAAGCAGCAAACGAAGGAGUCUGGAUGAAGGAGUUCAUAUCCGAUCUAGGUGUCAUACCUAGUGCAUCGGAUCCAAUUGAAAUCUUUUGUGACAAUACUGGUGCAAUUGCCUUGGCAAAGGAAUCCAGAUUUCACAGGAGAACCAAGCACAUCAAGAGACGCUUCAACUCCAUCCGGGAUCUAGUCCAAGUGGGAGACAUAGAGAUUUUCAAGAUACAUACGGAUCUGAAUGUAGCAGACCCGUUGACUAAGCCUCUUCCACAAGCAAAACAUGAUCAGCACCAAGACUCCAUGGGUGUUAGAAUCAUUACUGUGUAAUCUAGAUUAUUGAAUCUAGUGCAAGUGGGAGACUGAAGGAAAUAUGCCCUAGAGGCAAUAAUAAAGUUAUUAUUUAUUUCCUUAUAUCAUGAUAAAUGUUUAUUAUUCAUGCUAGAAUUUUAUUAACCGGAAACAUAAUACUUGUGUGAAUACAUAGACAAACUAAACGUCACUAGUAUGCCUCUACUUGACUAGCUCGUUAAUCGAAGAUGGUUAUGUUUCCUAACCAUAGACAUGUGUUGUUAUUUGAUUAACGGGAUCACAUCAUUAGGAGAAUGAUGUGAUUGACAUGACCCAUUCCAUUAGCUUAGCACCCGAUCGUUUAGUAUGUUGCUAUUGCUUUCUUCGUGACUUAUACAUGUUCCUGUGACUAUGAGAUUAUACAACUCCCGUUUGUCGGAGGAACACUUUGUGUGCUACCAAACGUCACAACGUAACUGGGUGAUUAUAAAGGUGCUCUACAGGUGUCUCCAAAGGUACAUGUUGGGUUGGCGUAUUUCGAGAUUAGGAUUUGUCACUCCGAUUGUUAGAGAGGUAUCUCUGGGCCCUCUCGGUAAUGCACAUCACUUAAGCCUUGCAAGCAAUGCAACUAAUGAGUUAGCUGCGAGAUGAUGUAUUACGAAACGAGUAAAGAGACUUGCCGAUAACGAGAUUGGACUAGGUAUUGAGAUACCGACGAUCGAAUCUCGGGCAAGUAACAUACCGAUGACAAAGGGAACAAAGUAUGUUGUUAUGCGGUCUGACCGAUAAAGAUCUUCGUAGAAUAUGUAGGAGCCAAUAUGAGCAUCCAGGUUCCGCUAUUGGUUAUUGACCGGAGACGUGUCUCAGUCAUGUCUACAUUGUUCUCGAACCCGUAGGGUGCGCACGCUUAAUGUUACGAUGACAGUUUCAUUAUGAGUUUAUAUAUUUUGAUGUACCGAAGGUUGUUCGGAGUCCCGAAUAUGAUCACAGACAUGAUGAGGAGUCUUGAAAUGGUCGAGACAUAAAGAUCGAUAUAUUGGACGGCUAUAUUCGGACACCGGAAGUAUUUCAGGUGAUAUCGGGGAAAACCGGAGUGCCGGAAGGGUUACCGGAACCCCCCGGGGAAGUAUUGGGCCUUAGUGGGCCUGAGGGGAGAGAGAGGGCAGCAGCCCAGGAGGUGGCGCGCCCCCUCCCAUGAGGAGUCCGAAUUGGACUAGGGGAGGGGGGCGCGGCCCCUCUUUCCCUCUCCAUCUCCCUCUCUUUCCUUUCCCCUUCUCUCUUCCUAGUUGGACUAGGAAAAGGGAGUCCUACUCCUACUAAGAGGAGGACUCCCCCCCUCCUUGGCGCGCCCCAAGGGCCGGCCAGCCUCCCCCCUUGCUCCUUUAUAUACGGGGGCAGGGGGCACCUCUAUACACACAAGUUGAUCUUCGUGAUCAUUCUCUUAGCCGUGUGCGGUGCCCCCCUCCACCAUAAUCCUUGAUAAUAUUAUAGCGGUGCUUAGGCGAAGCCCUGCGAUGGUAGAACAUCAAGAUCGUCACCACGCCGUCGUGCUGUGGAACUCUUCCCCGACACUUUGCUGGAUCGGAGUCCGGGGAUCGUCAUCGAGCUGAACGUGUGCUAGAACUCGGAGGUGUCGUAGUUUCGGUGCUUGAUUGGUCGGGCCAUGAAGACGUACGACUACAUCAACCGCGUUGUGCUAACGCUUUCGCUUCCGGUCUACGAGGGUACGUAGACAACACUCUCCCCUCUCGUUGCUAUGCAUCACCAUGAUCUUGUGUGUGCGUAGGGAAAUUUUGAAAUUACUACGUUCCCCAACAGGAGGGGGCGCGCGGCCUGCCCUGGCCACCCCUCUCUCUCCACUAAAGCCCAUCUAGGCCCACUAGUUCCCCCGGGGGGGUCCGGUAACCCUCCAGCACUCCGGUUUUCUCCAAAAUCACCCGGAACACUUCCGGUGUCCGAAUAUAGCCGUCCAAUAUAUCAAUCUUUAUGUCUCGACCAUUUAGAUACUCCUCGUGAUGUCCAUGGUCAUAUCUGGGACUCCGAACUAUCUUAGGUACAUCAAAACACAUAAACUCAUAAUACUGAUCGUCACCAAACGUUAAGCGCGCGGACCUACGGAUUCGAGAACUAUGCAGACAUGACCGAGACUUGUCUCCGGUCAAUAAACAAUAGCGGAACCUAGAUGCUCAUAUUGGUUCCUACAUACUCUACGAAGAUCUUUAUCAGUCAAACCGCAUAACAACAUACGUUGUUCCAUUUGUCAUCGGUAUGUUACUUGCCCGAGAUUCAAUCGUUGGUAUCAUCAUACCUAGUUCAAUUUCAUUACUGGCAAGUCUCUUUACUCAUUCUGUAAUGCAUCAUCCCGCAACUAACUCAUUAGUCACAUUGCUUGCAAGGCUUAUAGUGAUGUGCAUUACCGAGAGGGCCCAAAGAUACCGCACCGACAAUCGGAGUGACAAAUCCUUAUCUCGAUCUAUGCCAACUCAACAAACACCAUUGGAGAUACCUGUAGAGCAUCUUUAUGAUCACCCAGUUACGUUGUGACGCUUGAUAGCACACUAAGUGUUCCUCCGGUAUUCUGGAGUUGCAUAAUCUCAUAGUCAUAGGAACAUGUAUAAGUUAUGGAGAAAGCAAUAGCAAUAUACUAAACGAUCAUAGUGCUAAGCUAACAGAUGGGUUAAGUCAAUCACAUCAUUCUCUAUUGAUGUGAUCUCGUUUAUCAAAUGACAACUCUUUGUUCAUGGUUAGGAAACUUAACCAUCUUUGAUUAACGAGCUAGUCAAGUAGAGGCAUACUAGUGACACUCUGUUUGUCUAUGCAUUCACACAUGUACUAAGUUUCCGGUUAAUACAAUUCUAGCAUGAAUAAUAAACAUAUAUCAUGAUAUAAGGAAAUAUAAAUAACAACUUUAUUAUUACCUCUAGGGCAUAUUUCACUCACUUCGUUAGCGUCAAAUGGGCAUUCCAUGUUCUUCAAUGUAUCCACACCAUUUUUAGGGGUCAUAACUCUUUGUUAAACCAAAUUCUCGGAGACUAUCACCUGUGUAUAUUCACAAACAUAUUAGUUCCUUAACUGUUUUGUCCAUAAAAUCAUUCAAAACCCUCAAGGGGCACUAGAUGCACUAAUGACACUAAUUAGUAGGUGUGUGUGUGCGUGAGAGAGAGAGAGAGAGAGUCUUGCCUUCUCUUAGCUACGAGAUGGUAUCUUAUGAAGAAAGCUAAGACAUUUGUCCAUUGUACAUGUUGUCUUAUCUUAUUUACAUGUUUUUAGUUUUAAUUUUGCAUGUCCCUCAAUUUUAGGAUGUUGUAGCAUUAAAUGGUAGAGAUAACACUAACAUAUAAUCCAUUGUUUAAGCAAACUGAGUGUAGCUCAUAUGACUAGGUUCCUUGUGGUUAAACCUGCCCAGCCGGAUUCAAGUCCUAUAUUGGAUACGUGUGGUUGCAUUUUAUUGUAUAUAUUUCAGACUUCUCGACACUAUUCUUUCGUAGGUAUGGUGUGCCCGUCGAUUAUGAGGCAUCUAUGGGGACUUUAUCAGUCUCAAAAUAUUUCUACUCGGUGUCUCAAAGGUGCUCAUAAGGGUAAUAUCUAUGUACAUGUAUAUGGAUGAGUGUGCGUCUACGUUUGUACUUUAUUCCUAAUAAAGAAACAUUGUAUAACAUGCAUAUAUUAGUGCCUUCACUAAAUAAUGUGCAACACACAAGAAAAGACCGUCUAAUCAACCAUUGUACAUGCCUUAAUAGAUUAGCUGAUAAACCUCACUUUAGGUGUGGAUCCAACCUUGCACCUAAAAUUUUCCAAUAGGUCUUUCAACACCAGGUUUGAACCAGAUGACGCCAUUUGCAUCUUGGUUAUCAUCCCCCCUUCUCGUUUGGUUGUUUGUUGGUCUCUUUUGCCCUCCUACAUUAGCCACUAAGCAACUGAAGAAGAGGGAAAUGGAGACUUAUGUCGAUGGUGAGGAUUAUGCCCGAGUGUCGAUGGUGAAGCAACUCUGGCGAGGUGUUGGCUGCAAUAGGACUGUAUUGUAAUCUAGUUUCAGCCUCUAUAUAGGGCCAUUCUUGUAAAAAGGAGGACAUGAAUGUAAAUGUUUUUUCUUUCCGAAUCCUCUUUGAAGUGGUGUAUCACUUUUGACAUAGCCACACAUUUUGGGGGGCUUUUUUUAAACACAGUACACAUGCAGACAUUCAUAUAUACGCACAUACAUUCAUCGCUAUGAACACACGCACGCAUACCCUACCACUAUGGUCACCUUCCAGAGACAAAGCCGGCACAUCAUUUUGAGAUUGACAAAGUCACCACAGACGUUUUCGUAGUCGACCGAACGUCUUCUCCCACCGAACGCACAUCGCCGCAAGGACCGGAAGAAUGCCAGGAAAAUGCAAGCACCAAUGUCAAGUGUGGGACUUGAUCUCUGGUGGGCAGGGGAUACUACUUUCUUCCUAACCAUUUAACCACAGGUUGGUUCACGCAUUUUGAGGGACCUUGGGUCGUGUUUCUCUUUUUAAAAAAGCUCCUCUUGGUUCGGCUCUUCUUUCGAGGAGCCAUCCGAACCAGUGGCUCAACAUUUCAGCUAAGAUAUCAAUGGCCCACAAGUGCUGAACUUAUGGACUGAGUUGGGCUCCUACAUCUCACCUAUGUAUCAAAGAAGUAGUGCAUCCAAAAUCGUAUGAGAAGAUAUAUAACCAAGUACUGAAUGAAAAUGCUAAAUGGAGGACGAGCACCAUAAAACUCUUUUUUCUGAAAAUUUCAAAAAUCAUAUUUUUGAAGUUUCAGAAAAUUCUAAAAAAUCACACACCUUCAUACGGAUGUAGUACACUACAUGUGUCUAAACUUUCAAAAUGAAAUAGAUUACUGUUCACCAUUUUGAAAAUCAUAACUUUGUUUUUUUAGUGUAGCUCUCACCAAAAUGUUUCAUUGCCAAACUUUAUACACAUGUAAAGUACGGUCAUAUGAACUUGUAGAAUUAUUUUAGGAUUUUAAAAACUAAAAAAAAUGUGACUUGAUUUUUUUUAAAGAGCUCCAUGGAGCUCGUCCUCGAGAACACCCUACUCCAAAAUGAAAAUGCUCAAAUGUAGUUUUUCCUGCUUGACCUCUACCGGAGGUACUAACUCGUUGUGGCUCUACCAGAAAGCAAAACCUUGAUGUAAUUUCUCUUGCUUGACCUCUUUCUUCUUUGAGUCCCUCACAAGUCACAAAUAAAAGAUCAGAUAAUUGGAUUUCAUACCGAGAGAGCGUAAUAGUGUUGACAUUUAUUGUCCGUCUUCUUUCAUUAGCUCAGACUUUUAAAACAACUAGCUGGUGGAUGAAAUCAGUUCGGUAUUCGAGCCAAGUGAUCUCCAGUUCAAGAUUCUGCCAACAUGGUAUUAUUAUUUUUUUGCGGCCUACAGCGGUCCCACGUUUAAGGACUAAAGAAGCUUAGACCUGAGGUGAAGUAUUGAAAUAUAUUGUUUAGUUAUAUCCAUCAGUUUAGAUUUUUGAAGUAAUUGGCCGGAGUAUGAAUUCAAUAAUAGUUAGAUCGAUACUCAGAAUCACGAGAUACUUUCGGCCAGAACUCCAGAUCAUGUAUUCACCCGUGUCAAAAGAAAAGUCAUGUAUUUACAGCUUGUCAACCUAGCCUAACAUGGGCCCCAGCAGCUGAGGUACAUGACCAUCCUCAGCGACUCCUCGGCGGCAACCGAGACGCCAUCGACCUUGACGGCCGACGACCGGACAGCCACCACCGGCAGGCCCCGCUUCGCCGCCGCCGAGCACGGCUUGGCCACCUGCUCCUUGAGCUCCAUGGCCGCUCCCAGAGUCACCGCCAUGUAUGCCUUGUUCGCCAUUGCAAACCUCAUUUCCUUGCCCUGAAAAAGAUAGAGAUCUCAAAAAGAUACGUGCUAGUUCUACUUCCACAGUUCCACUACCUGCAACUCAAAGUCUGUCUCUCAACUGUGACGUUUCUGGAGUGUUUGAUGUGUGGAGGGAGAAGGCAGGUGACAGGCAAGCCGUAUAUAUACAGCCGCUGCGACAACAUGGGCUAUUUUCAAUGGCCAAUUGUUUUGCAGGCAGCCGUGGAAACAGGUGGCGAGUAGACCACUGGUUCGUUCGAUCCAGUGGGUGUGGCUCCUCAUCCUGAGGCCGGUGCCUGGUUUGGAUAUGGACCUGCAGUUAUGGUCGCUUGUCUUCUCUGCAGCAUCCAGUCGAUGGUUGAUCCAUGAAAAUCGCAUGCAGAUACUGUUACUGAUGUGGAUAAGUUCUAACCGUGCUGACAUGGAACUUCAUCCUAAUCCGAGCUUGUUGCUGCAUGUGCCGCUCCGUUCUUUUCCUCUGACAUUGUCAAAGUAAACCAUCAGGAUGGGUACAGCUCUUCGUACUAGUUUGCCAUUGGCUAGUUAAACAAGUGAGAUAAGCAUCAAUCGCCAACGGAUAUGUGUAGCAGCUACCAUUUUUUACAUACGACAGGAGCUCUGCUAUUAUUCAAGAAACUAGUUGAAAAACAGUUUAUGUUCAGACGUACUCCCUUUUAGUGAUCUAAAAGAUCUUUUACUACACUAUUCCCUAGCAAUAUUUAGGAUAGUUUACGGAGGCAGUACAUAUUAGUUUUGCACGUCUCUUUCAGUGUUUUGGAGCUCUCACGGAUGCCUUUGCUUAGUUGACAAAACUAGCAUCACUAGCAAUAUUGUUAACCGGCUAAAGAAUCAACAUCGUCCAUAUCCGUCAGGUAUAAUUUUGGACGUCAUGUGCAGUUUAUAUUGUUCAUUAACUAGGAUUAGUUGUUGGGCCAGCCUUACCUAUUAACAGUAAUUAAACUGGCAAGGACUGAAGAUAAGUGCAUAAGUUACCAGUUGCGUCGCGUAUAUUAUAUGGAUUACAGAUCUUCUGAAUCUCAUCUGGUAACAUCAUUGUCGUUGCUUUCUGGUCACGCUCUACAUUUUUUUUCUGCACAAGUGGACAUCGCUGUCAAAAAGUUUGUUAUCCUUUGGACUUAGAAUAUUUAUGUUUCUGUUUGUAAAUGUAUGUCGUUUUGCAUUAAUGCAAACUUUCAAGCUUUUACAACUAAAAUAAGUAAAGCUAUCUAUGUUGAUUAAGUGAAAGUUGGCACUAAAUGGUUCAUUGUGUCGGACAGACUUUCAAAAGUAAUAUUCUGACAAUAUUUUUCUUCACAAUAUAUUGACAAUCUUCUGUGAUCAAAUUUGAACCUAAAAAUUGCAUAUUGUAGGAUAUGUACAUGUUCACAAGAAUAUACAUCUCUGCAUAGUGAAAGUACACUAGGAGGUAAUUUAUGUUCUCAGGAAAGUAAAUGGUGGAUUUUAUUGGCUCAAAUUAAAGCAUCAAGAGAAUGCAAAACACAAUAAACACACAUCUGACCUCUGCACAAUUAAGAUGCACACAUCCAACAUAAAUGCACGCACAUAAAAACAUGCCAGCAAAUAGUAAAUUCAUACAAGACCAAAGUUAUGCGUACGCGAGGAAAAAACCCCGUAAAACAAUCAAAUACACGGUUGGCAAAGUACAACAAUGACAUUGGCACCAACCAUCUCAUGACAUCACACGGACAACGAGAUUCUUCGACAUCAACACCUUAAAGGAGUGGCGCUCAAGCGCAUUCGUCACCGGAUCCUAAUCUAUUUUUUCACCCUGAAGAACCAGUCUAAGUACAUCCGAGUAAUGUCUUCAAUAAGGUAAUGAUGUAAAAACAUCAUCAUUGCCAGGUACAUAAACAACUCGAGUCUAACAUAGGCUUUUACCCUAGAGCCCGAGACCGGAUGCUCGAGUAGCACCACCACUUUUCCACGAUCUCAGUAGCUACAUGCGAUUUGCGACCCCGGCAGCUGCACAGCCAUUCCUCCGUGUCAAUCCAUUGUCCAUAGUUUACAUCUCACUACCAAAGACAACCACCGGAUCUGAGAGGAACCCUCACAAAGACUUUUCGGUGACCAUCGCAAUCCGUGGUGUGGCCACCGCUUUAGAAACACCAACGACAGAGCACACCACCUCGCCAGAGAGAGCUCUACCCAGGCCCAUUGGUCCAGGGGCCAACAUGGUCAAAAGAUCACAAAAGGCAAAUCACCAUUGCUGGAUCAGUAGCGAAUAGUCGCUAGAUCAACAUCGUGCCUCCCGAUUGAAGCACUAUGCACGCACCGAGCACGCCAGCCGUUGUGCCUCCCGACGAGCGUCGCUUGGGACACGUCGCAUAGCACGCCUGAUGUCGUGUCGCCGGGAUCAGAAGCCAAUGUCGCCAUGAUCUACGCCGCCUUGUCGGUGUUGCGAUGUACGCCAUGGGACAAGCCGAAGGCCGUUACCUGGGAGAUGCCGCAGAGCACGCCGGAUGUCGUGUCACCGGGAUCCAAAGCCGCCACCAUCGCGAUCCACGCCGCACUAUCGGGUGUUGCGCAGUGCCACCUAGGGGAGAGUCGGCGAUGGCCUAGGCCAUCUUGCCAUUAGACUGGUCAUAGUGGGAGUAACAUAGGUAGUAACAUAGAUGCCACAUAAGCAAAAUUGGUGAUGUGGCAAGUAGUUAAUGAGGAGAGAGGCAAAUAGAGUAACAUAAUAUGUUACCAUCACAUAGCGGUUUCCAAUGCAUAAUGAGUCUACAAAGUAAUAAAUGAAGGCAACUAUGUUACCACAUAUAUGACACUACCCACUAUGAAGGUAGUAACAUAGACUAGUAACAUAUGUAUGUUACUAGUCUAAGUUACUCUCCACUAUGACCAGCCUUAGAGCAACACCAUGCCUUGCUGGACUGAUCCCCAACGACCCACGCGAGAGAAAUUCCCGCCGCCGCUAGCCAACACGAGCUUUGCUUGACGAUGUUUGGCAGUGGCAACAGGGAGGGAGGGGCAAUGGCGGCGCUGCCCGCCUGAGCCGCCUCUCGGAGGGGAGGGGGAGGGGGGGAGGUAAUUCAUGUUAGUGAUAUGAUAUGAUCAAGUGGUUAAUUAAGCUAGUAAAGAGUAGGUGGAGAUACUGAUGGGUUCGACUAAAAAAAUAUACUUCUUCUAUUUUUAUUUAGUCCGCGUAUUAGCUUUGGUCAAAGUCAAACUUUGUAAACUUCGACAAAGUUUAUAAACAAAAAUAUGAACAUUAUAUAAUAACAAAUCAAUACCAUUAGAUUUAUUAUUGAAUGUACUUUUCACAUCAUAUAGAUUUGUUAUGGUAUAUGUUUAUAUUGUUUUUUAUAAACUUGAUCAAAAUUUUAUAAAGUUUGACUUCAGUCAACUGUAAUAUACAAAGUAAAUAAAAGCAGAGGGAGUACUGAUGAAGGGAUUAAAUUAGUACUAACAGAGUAGUUGUAGGAACUGCUGUUGUGUGCCGAUAGGUAUGUGUAGGAUAUCUCUCAUCUGAGAGUGAGCUUUACCUUUCUUUUCCUCCAUUUUAGAUUGAGUGAGCAUUACUUUUCUCUUCCUCCAUUUUGCAUAGGACUCCAGCUUAUUUGAACUCAAAAAAAAAACUUUUAUGUAAACGACCAAAUAUAAAAUCACCAAGUAAAUCCAUAUCUUGCAUAAGAAAUGGAAAAAGCUACUCUUCAGCCGGUGGAUGAACGCGCAGGAUCUGCCUCUUGCGUUGCCGUCGGAUCAAUUCUAAUCAAAUGCGCACGCAGGGCAUAAGUCUUGUGUAGACAAUUUUUUUGUAGCAAGGGUCUUGUUUCAAAAAGUUCCAGCAACAAAGGUCAUGUUUCAGAAAAAAAAAACUUUUGGUGAUGAAGUUUUUUCCAGCAACAAGGUUUAGUUUUAGAAGGUUUCUGCAACAGAUGUAUUGUUUCAGAAAUGGUUCGAUGGUGAAGAUUUUUUAUUCUGUAAUAGGGGUCUUGUUUCAGAAACAUAUCCCUCAUUGCAGAAAGUGUCAGAGGAGCGCACGACACUAGAGCUUGAAAGGCCAACCAUUGCAACAUGACACAUGUUUCAGAAACAUGGCUUCGGUUGCAGAAAUUGCCAAAGGAGUGCACGGCGUGAGCGCUUGUCGUUGUCGUGCUGGAGUAGACAUAGUUGCUCGGGGUGUUGGGUCAGAGAAGGCACGAUAACUCUGGUGGCCGGUGACGCUCCAUGGCCGAGGCGCUCAGGCCAUGACGGCGUGGCGGCGUUGUCUCUAUAGACCUUUGCAACAAGGUCCUUUGUUGCACAGCCCAUGAGCGCAAUACUCGGCUGGCUGGGCCAGUAGAUCAGAGCUAUUUCAGAAGGCAUCCAACGGUACUCGAGGCGGCCGAUCUAACUAGAUUAUCAUCCGGCGGACGCGUAGCACUGUCUAUAAGAAAUAGGCUAUUUCAGUAUCAAGGUAAAAUCAACUUCAGUACAAAAUUUCUUUGACAUAAUUGCCAAAUAAAAUAAGAUAUACUGUGUUUUGCACUUACAACUUAUUUUGAUACUCCCUCUGUAAAGAAAUAUAAGUAAACGUUCUUAUAUUUCUUAUUUUUUUUAGAAAAGGGGUAUUAUCCCGGCCUCUACAUCAGAAAGAUGCAUACGGCUCAUAAUUAAAAAACAAAAGCAGUCACAAAAAUCUCCAACAUCUGAAGGUACGAAAAGAAAACAAGCUACUCAAGCGAGCCUAAUCAAGAAGCCACAACCGGCUGGCAAAUAAAAUAGGAGCACUACAUGCCUAUCCUAUUACAUGACCGCCAUCCAAACCGGUUGAAAAUAUCCCGAGCUACCAUCUCCCAUCGGGUAGACACAGUAGCCAAACGCCCCCUGGCCUCCGUUGGAGUGAGUAACGACCACAUACGGAUCAAUGCUGUGGCCCUGAAGAUAACCUGCAAAAAGUGAAAGUUCGUUUUUCUGUUAAAAACCAAAUCAUUUCUGCAGUUCCAUACUGCCCAUAGCAAGGCACACACUCCGACACGAAUGUGUCUUGCUACAUCCAAGUUAACCCCGUCAAGCCAUGUUCCAAAUAACAUAUUGAUAGAGGUAGGUGGAGUAAUAUUAAAAGCAAUAUGAAUCGAACGCCAAAGAAUCUUAGCCAGCGGACAAUCUAGAAAGAGGUGCCUUAUAGUUUCGUUACAACCACAAAAGCUACACCUAGCAGAACCCAUCCAAUUGCGUUUUGCCAGGUUGUCUUUUGUCAAAAUGACUUGUUUAUGCACAAACCACAUAAACACUUUGAUUCGCAAAGGUACCUUAACUUUUCAGACGUGCUUCGAGCAAGGAAUGACACUAGUGUUUAUGACAUCCAGAUACAUGGAUUUGACCGAGAACCUGCCGUCCUUAGUCAGUUUCCAAAACAAUCUAUCUGGCUGCUGAGACAGCUGGACGUCCAUCAACCUUCGUACAAGAUGAAGCCAUGCCUCCCAACGAUGGCCUACUAGCGUCCUUCGGAAGCUAAUAUUGAGAGGCGUGGACUAUAAGACAGUUGCAACAUAGGCUUCUCGACGUUGAACAAUGUUAUACAGAGUAGGAUAUUGAAGUGCCAGAGGCGUCUCCCCAAGCCACGUAUCCUUCCAGAACCUCGUGUUAGCCCCAUCACCGACUAAGAUUUUUGCCCUGUUAAAGAAGAGGGGCUUGACUCUGAUCAACCCUUUCCAAAACAGAGAAUCAGUCGGGCGCACAGUCACCUAAGCCAAAGUUUUAGCCUGAAGAUACUUAUUUCGCAGAAUCUGAGCCCAUGUUCUAGACGAUCUUUUGUGAAAUGUUCUAGCCGAUCUAAAUAUCAAGUAUAAAGACAUAGGUAGUGUAAAAGACCCGGCAGAAGUUCUUUUGUGAAGCAGCAAAAGAAUCGACAAAAAAAAUUAACACAUCAUUAAGAAACCAUCAUAAGCAAGGCAGCUCUCGCAAGAGAUAAACGGAAGCUACGCAUAUGCACUUUAUUGUUCUGACAAGCCAAUUAAUUUAUCUGUUACACAGCGAGUACCGAAACAACCAAAGGUUAGCUUGUUCACUGGAGACCGAUCCUUCAAGCACAACUCUAAACUACCGCACACUAAACUAGCAGAACCUAGCAGUUUAUAAGAAUUAUCACAACACAUUGCUCAAGCCAUAUGCUGCUCUAGCACAAGAAGGUACAAUUUAC